AUGAGUUAAAUAACACACUAUGGUACAUUAUCAAACAUUGUCAAUUUCAACCCAUUUGUAUGAUGUGUAUACAUAAUUAUACAUUUCACAUGCAAUAAAAUAGCACUUGGAGGUUCUGAUUUCCUUUAUCUUUUUCAACUUGUUCCAGUCCCAAGGUACUGCUUAUGUUGUGUCAAAUCAUUCAACCUUAGGCAAGACUCGUAACUGCUGUUGUUCCCCCAUCUGACUCCCUCUAGUCAUAAGAGAAACUAUAUUUGUGGCCAAUAAAAUCCCAUGACUCCACUUUCCCACUUCAGGAUAUAGCAAUAAUGUGUAACAUAAUUGCAAAGCAUUUGAGAAAGGAAGAUAAAUUGCAGUCUUGUCAACUUCUCAAAAGCUAUAAUACUUAAAUAAAAUAUCAAUAUUAUCAAAAAUAGCCAAAUGAAUCAAUUCAACCUCUUCAAAGAUAUCUCAGUCAAAACUGAGCAUGGUCAAUCAUUCAAUGCACAAUCUUUUCUUAAAUGGAUGAUGGAUCUAAAGGUAUGGAGGGACGAUCAAUUUCAACAAUCAAGAAGGGAAAUGAAAAAAGAUUAAAGAAAAAAUAAGUCACACAAGGAAACUUCACAUGUAUAACCCUUUUUCAAAUACCUUUUGAGAGGCCAGAUUCACAUCUCAAACUAGAUAAUUUAACAAGUUAGCAAUUAGAAAAAUUGAAUUUAACUAAGGACUAUCCAACAAAAAGGCCAGACACCUUGUCAUGUACUCAUUUCUUCUUCUUUAGGUUAGGAAUACCAAUUAUGCUUUCCACAAGCUUUUUUCUAGUAUAAAUCUUUUCAAAUGGAUUCCUUCAAUCACUUUAUGCACAUUAGGCUCCAAACUUGGCGACAUUAUCACCUAAUAGAGCUCUUUCUAUGGCUGUCAGACACUUUAUAACACUAAUAGUUGUGCAUAUAUUCCCUACUAUAUCACCUUUUACAAAAAGAUGAUUUUGUAAUCGAGGAUGGCAUUUACUCCCCAGCCACAUAAGAAUCUAAUUCAGAUAGAUUAAUUAUGGUAGAGGAAGCCAUAAAUUAGACAAUCUCUUAAACAAAUCACCAAAAAUUGACAUGCUUUAUUGCAACCAUGCAUCACAGCCGAUUGCAUGCUGGUUCAAGAAUCAAGUACUGGCCUAACACAUUAAAUAAUCAUUUAUUAUUUUUUUAAUAUUAGGACAAGUUAUGAAAAAUUAUAGCUUCUACAGUGACAAAAUUAAGCACGGACCAAUCAACAAAGCAAACAAUAAUCAACAAAGAAAAAUAUCAAACAAGCUAAAAAUGCAAUGAGAGGGGACAGGAGAGACAAUGAACAGUGAAAAUCAAAGUAGAGGACUUAAGCAAGCAAACCUCAUCAAGCAUUGAAAUUAGCCUUGACUUCUUUCUUCGAUUGUCACUCCCGUCUCCAUCAUCAACAACAAUUCCACUGGCGUUCAAAUUCACCAAUGGAGGGUCCAUCAAAGAAGAAUCAACAGUAUAAUUUUUCUCAGCAAAAACUCCCUGACCCACAUCACAAAACUCUUCAAGCAACUGCUGAGCAGGUUUCAAGAAUCUUGAUCCCUUCAAAAUCGAAGCAUAUCCCGUAAAUGGCCCAAAGGGAAGUGAUGAAGUGCUUCUCGAGACCUCAUUCGAGGUCGAGCCUGAUGCUCCGGCAGCAACAGUGCUGCUGCUUGGAACUACAUAUCCAGUGCUUGUAACUCUAUGGUCUCCAUAAAUAGCAGAGCCAUAUCUUUGAAGAUUAAGCUCCAGAGGGAGACUGUUGUUCUGAGUAGUGUGAUGAGAAGAUAGAGAUAAAGCUAACGGUUCUGGUUUAAACAAAACAACUUCACUACUGCCUUCACCACCAUUAUAGGAUUGAUCAAAGUCUCUGAGCUGGUUUUGAAGAUUAUGUGGAGCAGUAAAAAGAAAGGGGUUGUUGUUAUUGUUAAUAUCAAGAAUGGAGCUAGGGUUUAAAUUAUGCAAAGUUGAGUGUGGAUCCAAAUAAGGAUGAUGAUUAUGAUGUGAUGAAGUUGAAGCACCACCAACAAAACCCAUCAAAUUGACACCUUCUUCUUUAACAACACAAACUGGGUUCGUUGCUUUAUUAUCUUGUUGUUGCUGAUGCUGAAACUCGUGGGCAGUUAACAAAUCUGAUGAAGAAAGAAGUGAGGAAGCAUCAUACAAAGGGAGUAACCCAGCUGCAGGUGCGGGGGCUGAUGAGGACGAUUCAACACAAACUACAGAUGGAUGGUUUUGAGCCACAAUUCGUAGCUUAUCUCUUCUGCUUUGUUGUGGGACAUGGUAGGGCUCAAAACCCUCUGCCAUAACAAACCCUGAUCAAAUCUUUAACACACCACUUACUUCUUCUAAAGAGACAUAGAGAGAGAGAGAAAAAAAAAAGGAAAAGGAAGGGAAGAACGAAAGACAGAGUGGGUUAUUAAAGAAAAGAAAAUAGAUAGAUAAUACUUAGAGAUGGCGAAAGAAAGGGAACAGUGAAAGAGAUGUGGUUAUGAUGAUCUUAUUUCAGAGGCUGAACUGAAAAUAUGGCAGAGAUACGUGAUGAAUGAAGUGAACCACGCAUCUUCAUAACACAGCACAACACAACAACACUUGUUACUUUACUUCUAUCAGUCACACUCACUCGCAUACUGCGUACACACAACACAAUACAAUUACAUAUAUAAAUGAAUAAACAAACCAAAAUCUUGGUUUCUUCACUCCUAUCACUCACACUUGUUACUUUACACAAACUCUUGGUUUCAGUUGGGCGCUGGAGAUGAGUGAUGAGAGAUAGAGCAUAGGGUUUCGAGCGACCGGGUAAAAGCACCGGCUAUAUCCGGUAAUAAUUGAACUAGAACUGUGCUGCUGAUAUUUCUGACAGGUUUUGGGGGCUUUUGUCCUUUUCUCUUUUAUAUAUAUAUAUAUAUAUAUAUGAUUUUGGGGGCUUAUUUAAUUAUUUUAAUCAAUUAAUUGGAGUUAAAAUUGUGUUAUUAUGUGAGAAGGGGAUGUGAUGACGCACGUGAGCUAGUAGAACAGGCAAACAGAGUGUGAUGAAAGAAAGGCUGAUGACUGAUUGAGUUUUGCCGUUCUCAACACUCAUCCUUCCCACUUUUGAUUCUCGGUUUACGAGGUUCUUUUCUUUUAGUUUAUUGUUAUUUUAAUUAAGCUGCUGUACCGUACAUCCGCCUUGGCCGUACAGCAGUAUGUAUUUAAAUUCUUUAAACUUUGAUNNNNNNNNNNNNNNNNNNNNNNNNNNNNNNNNNNNNNNNNNNNNNNNNNNNNNNNNNNNNNNNNNNNNNNNNNNNNNNNNNNNNNNNNNNNNNNNNNNNNNNNNNNNNNNNNNNNNNNNNNNNNNNNNNNNNNNNNNNNNNNNNNNNUUUUCUCUUUUAUAUAUAUAUAUAUAUAUGAUUUUGGGGGCUUAUUUAAUUAUUUUAAUCAAUUAAUUGGAGUUAAAAUUGUGUUAUUAUGUGAGAAGGGGAUGUGAUGACGCACGUGAGCUAGUAGAACAGGCAAACAGAGUGUGAUGAAAGAAAGGCUGAUGACUGAUUGAGUUUUGCCGUUCUCAACACUCAUCCUUCCCACUUUUGAUUCUCGGUUUACGAGGUUCUUUUCUUUUAGUUUAUUGUUAUUUUAAUUAAGAGUAUUUUUUAUUUUGUUUAUUUAUAUCAGCAUACGUAUUCUGUAAUCCGGGUGUUCUUUAAUUUCUGUUUGAUACGGACGGCCGUAGUUAUUAAAAAAAAAUGUUAAAAUCAAAUUUGUUAGUAUUGAAAAAGCAUGACGGUAAUAAUUUUGAUUAAAAUAAUAACGAUUUUAAUUUUAAAAGUUUAAGUGUGAGGUAAAAUUAAUAUAAUUUUUAAGUUUGAGUUACAUAUAUUUAUCAAAUAUUUUAUUUUGGUAAUUUUUGUCCGCCCAUAAUAUUAAACGGGAUCUUAAUUACUUAAUUACAUGCAUAAUUAUUUUCAUUUCAUAUCAUGUAGAACCCCUACUAAAACUAAUAUUUAUUCUUUUCCCUAUAAGUUUUCUUUUUGUGAGCUGCUGUUUUUUUUUCCUUUUCUAAAGAAUUAGGCAGAUGAAAAAUCUUAACAUUAAAUACUAAUCAUUGUCCUUUAUUUUGACUUAAAUUCAAGUGACUAUAGGCACAUUUCUACGUCUAGCUGAACUACACCCGAAAAACGAAUCCAAUAUACACUUAGGUAGUGUUUACUUGCGGGAGUAUGAGUGUGGAGUGUGAAUUUUUCCCACUCCAGUGUUUACUUACCUUAAAAAAGAGGGGAGUGAGAGUGGAAAUCCGUGGGUCUCACUCAAUUUUGAAGUGGGGAGUGAGAUUCCCACUCCCAUGGGGGGAGGUGGAAGUGGGAAUCCACUCUUUGUACUAUAUUAUCAAUAAUAAUAUUUCAUUUGUGUUGCUAUUAUUAAUAAUUUUUAUUCACAUAAUUUAAAUUAAAAUUAAUAAAAAAUUAUGAUUUACAUAAUUAAGAAUAUUAGUAAUUAUUAUUAAUUUAUAAAUAUAAUAAAAUAUUUAUUUUAUUUUCUAAAUAUAUUUUUUAUUAAUUUUUUAAUUACAAAUUAUAAUUCUGUACAUAAGGAUAAAAUUGUAAUUUAAAAUAAUUUACUCCCAAUCUAAGACAAAGUAAACAAAUAAUUGGGAUUCUGAUUGACAAUUAUACUUUCAUUUAGCCUAAGUAAACACCCUACUCCCACUCCCACUCCACACUCCUAAUCCAAGGAUUCCCACUCCUCAGAAUUCUCACUCCAAUCCAAAAAGUAAACGCAGUAUUAAAUGAUUUAAAGAAAGUUGGUAUGACCAACAAGUGUAUAGAUCAACUGACAUGAGACUGUUUCAUCUUAAUUAAAAUUUUUAGUUCGAGAUUUAAGAAUGCAGCUGCGUUAAAUAUUUGUUGGAAGAGUUUUACUGCCCUAGUGGUCCUACCCUACUUAAAUUUAAAUUAGUCAGGACCAAUGUGAUCUUUAAAUACUAGAUGAUUUAAUAUUAAAAAAAAAAGCUGAUAUGAGCAUAGAAUUCAUUCUUGAGGGAGGAGUAGGAGUUCUUAUGUUUGCAAGGCUUGACCCAAUUCUUGACCUUAAGGUCCUGAUUAGGAAAUGGGUUACCACUUAUCACUCAGGCUAUUACGGAUUCUAAUAACAUAUUUUGUUUAUUGAUCAACUAACAAUUUUAGUCGUCGUUUUUUUACCAACUAAGAAUCAAUAAAUAUAUCCAAUUCAAUUUUUAUAUUGUACCAAAAAAUAAAAAUAAAAUAUUAUUAAUUGCGCUCUUAUCUUAUUUAAUUCUAUCUAAUUCGACCUACUAAAUGUGCUUUUGAUGUUGUAAUGCUAUGUUGGUUAAACUGAAAUUACUGUUCAUUAGAAACAAGGAAAAAAAACCAACAAAGUGUUGGCUCCACUGACAAUGGAGUCCCUUUAAGUGGUUUGACUGGGUUUGCUCUCCAGUUCGAGUCGCAGGGAAGUCGCCCUUGUUGAGAGAACCUGUGCCUCUCGGUUCGAGCGAGAACUUCUAGUCUGAGUUGUGGUACGGGCUUAAAGGUGCCUCCCACAGUUAGGGCCCUCCCCAAGAUACCUCGUGGUCAAAAAAAAAAAAAAAACACGGAAAAAAAAAUGUCAAAGUUAACGUAAAUGAUGAGGUUGACCAAAAGAGGAAGGAGCAAAAUAUUAAUUACAUUUUACAAUGCUAGGUUAAAAGUGCCAUCGAUAAAUAGUUAAAUACUCAUUUUGUAAAUUAUGGACUAAUCCAAACGACACCUAGGGAAGCUUUUGGUAACUUAAGGGCAUGUAUACGUUGAUCAUGAGUUAGGUGAAUUAUCCCUGUUGUCAAAUUAUACCUAAUUAUUACAGCUGUGGAUUAGCUGACUAUUGUACGUGUUUUUGCCUUUUUAAUUAAUUUAUUCUUUGUAAUGCAUGCAUGGACGUGUCCUCUAUAAUUAGAUUCUAAGUUGGACACUUUUUCUUUAAUAAUGAAGAGAAAUCCCCUUUGCUAACACUGCUUUUAAUAACAAAGUAAGCUAUAAAAAGUUAAUAACAAUAUUGCACUUUAAGAUGUACCACUGUAGGUGCUCAUCAAGCAUGGAUUUGUAAUAUUGCCAAACAGUGAUCACGUAAUUAUGAUCAAUGCAUGAAUUAAAAGCCACCUAAUUUAAGCAGUAAUUCUUUUCCUUAAUUAUGAUGUACCAAUUGCCAUGUUCAGCACAGAGGUCCCAGUUAAGAGAGUUUUGAAACUUAUAUUGUCAGUCUGUCAAUUAUUUCAAUUAGAUCUUUUAUAUUUCAAAUUUGCAGAGUUAUUGAAAUAAUUUUUUUUAGGUAUUUAAAAUCAUUUGUUGAUUUUAUUAAUUUUAGAAUACAUCAGAAAUAAUACAAUUAAUUAAUACAUGUAUAAUAUUCAUAGAUGAAUUUUAUAUAAUGACCAACUAUAUGUUGAUUUUUUAAAGUAAAUGCACAUAUAUAAUAACAUCAUUUACUUAGCUAACAUGGUAUUUCGUAGGUAUUAUAAAAUUUCUCAAUUUUAUCAGUGCCAGCCCUUGUAGUAAGAAAUUAAAAUAUAAUCAUAAGCAAUUCUCCAAACUUAAUAUGCAUUUUGAUUACUCUCAUCACCAACAUUAUUUAUAUGCAUCGAAUCUUUGGUAAGCCCCCCUAAUAUUUAGCAUCAAUCGACAUUGGUUUUGGUUGCAUGGUUUUUUUUUUUUUUUCAUUUUAAGCAAUUCUAGGCAUCUCAAUGUCGAAAUUCUAAUUUGAAUUCCAACUAAUGUGUCAUUCAUUUAUUAUAUGGUAGUUAAAUAAUUUUAUAAUUUAUAUGAUUCAUCAUCUAAUAAAUGAGUGAUACACAUUUGGACUCAAUUAUUAUGAUCUCUAAUAUUAUUUUUUCAUCUUUUUCUUUUUGGGAUGUUAUCACUUUUUUACCUAAGUUUUUUUGACAUGUCGAAUCAGUACUAUGGUUUAGUGAAAAUUGAAUUUUACCACCAAAUGUUUAUGCUGUUAAUAUUUUAUCACCAUUCAGUUAACACAAUUAAAAAUUAGCUAAUGUUAUAAGGACAUUUAAGAAAUUUCAUGUUAAAGCCAAAGCGCACCGUUCAAUUGUAAAAGAUAGUAUUAAUUUCCCCAAAAGUUUUCUAACAUAUCAAUUCAGUAUCAAAGUUUCCCAAAAAAAAAAACUACUUUUCAGAACCUAAUGUUAAAGUUGUUAUCACUUUACCGCCAAAACAUCAACACAUUAAAAAACUUGUAUAUCAUAUGCGCAUUUAAGAAAUUUCACAUUGAAGCCAAAACAUUAACACGGUUGUUGAAUGAUGAAUGUUAAAUUUGGAGUAUUUGAUUGCCACUAUAUUGUUUGAAAUAGCUUAUGAUUGUCGGUGUUGAAUGAUUUUAUCAAAACUGAAGCUUUGGGCAUGUAUUACUUGGGAUUUGACAUUUGGAUACACAACGUGGUGUUUGUAUAAUAAAAAAGUAACCAUUUUUUUUUUAAUAUAACGGGCUACUUUUCUAAGAUAAUUUCUCCUUUAUAAUUUCUUUAUUUUCAAAUGACAAAAUCAUCUUUUAUACUCUAAGUUAAAUAUUUUGUUAUUUGUGUUUUGUAGCAAAGUGAUAACAACUUAAAUAGUAGAUGGUAAAACAUAAUUUUUAAGAUAUAUUGAUAUUGAAUUGAUAUGUUAAAAAAAAUACUUCGGAAAUUAAAAGCGCUUAAAAUCAUUGUACCAUAACAAAGUUCCAGCUGUUAUUUUGGUCUGAACAGUGAAGAUACAGACAGUGAUCGAUUCAAGAGAAAAACUCUACAAAGAAAAAAAAAAAGUACCUUCACUGUUUAAUAUAAAUUUUACUCAUUCACAGCAAUGCGCCAGCAAUUACCAAUAAGAAUUUAAUGAUAUCCAAGGACAAGGCAUCAUUUGAUUCAAUGCCAUCUUCCGUAAUCAUAAUUUCACUAACCAUAUUUUAACUAACAAAAUGUUUUAGGCUAGCUGAGCUGAACUUAUGAAAAUGGUUGGUGCCUCGUUUAAAUUAUAGCAAUUCGUUUUUCAGCAGUAAAAAGCGGCGAAAGGGAUUUAUUCAUAACUUUCAAGCCUUUUGACUUUCCAUUUUACCAAGUUUCAUCAUUAAUGAAAUUUGUAUCUAAUUCCCACCCAUAAUUGCGUGCAAAUUAAGCUGGCCUGGCCGCACAACUCGCUACCCAAUCGAUGAUGAGCUCAAUGUUCUGACAUCACACCAUCAAUUCCAUGUGCCCCACUUAUUUUCUGUAUUGAAAUUCAUUUUGGAACUUUUUUUCUUUUUGAUCCCUAACAUUUUUGUUUUUAGAAACAUAAAACAACUGGUAAUUAAACUUAAUUAAUAUGAGCAAAAUUAGAAUCUUAAAUCACUUCUACUCAUACGUAUACUAAUGGUCCAUUUGAGAUUGCUUUUGGGAGGUUUAAAAGUAAUUUUAAAAAUUUAAAAGUUAAUUUUAAUAUUUGGUAAAAAAAAUAAAAUUAUUUUUGUCAAAAUCAGUCUUUCUUACAGUUGAUUUUGAAAAGAAUGGAAUAAAUAAUUUUUAAAUUCUGAUUUUGAGAAUUAAUUUUAUCCUUUAAUACAAUUCCAUAAAUAUCAUUAAAAUUAUUAUCUAAACCCAAAAUUAUCCUUAUUCAAAUUGGAAGCAAAAUCAAUAUUUUAAUAAAUUUUUAUUACAAUUCAUCAAUAUAAAUUUAUUAAUAUCAAUUUGUUUGUCAAAUUAUUAUUAAAUUUAUUUCACUAUAUUAUAAAUUUAAUAAUCAAUUGUCUUAAGAUAAAAAAUAAAAUCAAUAUAUUGUAAAUUUUAUUUUUAGUAAAAAUUAUUAUAAUACACAAUUAAAAAUAUUAUAUAUACAUGUUUCUAUAUGUAUAAGUAAAUUUUAUCAUACAUUAUGUAUAUUUUAGUCAUUUAUUUUCUCUCAACAGUUUAAUUUACCAAACGUCCAUAACUGCUUCAAAACUCACAGUAUUUCUAAAAACAAAAUUUACCAAACACAUAACUGGUUUAUUCACAUUUGAUUAUUUAUACAGCACUGCUAACAACAAUUAUUUUAAAAGUUACAACAUUCCCAAACUAGUAAGGAUGUUCAGAAUCCAAUUUGAUCCGCUCAAUCCAUCUGAUCCGUAAAAAUCUGAUUCGUGGAUUGGUGGAUUUGAUUGGAUUGGAUUAAAAAUUUGAUAAUCCGUAAUCGGUGGAUUGGAUAUAGAUCUACUUUUGUAAAUCCUUAAAAAUCCACAAAUCUGUAAAAAAAAUAAAAGUAUUUAUUUAAUUAAAAAAUAAAACUUGUAAAUAUGGCAUUAGUACUUACUACUAAAUAAAUAAGUUAAAAUAUAGUUACAAAUAUAGCUUAAAUAAACAAAUAUAGCUUCCUAAAUAGUUAAUUUCCAUGUUCUGAUCUAAACGAAUGAGAUUUUUUUUAUUUUGGUGUGUUAUAUUUUGAAACUUUAAAUGUAUUUUAUACCUUUAUUUAAACAAUUAAUUUAUUUAAAUCUUAUUUAAUUUUAAAUUUGAUCAGCAGUAAAAUUAUUUUUAUAUUAAAUUUUUUAUUUAGUUAGUUCGUAGAUUGGACAUAAUUAAAAAAUUUUUGUCUGCAAAUCAAUCCACAAAAUCAUGGAUCUAUAAAAUCCGAUCCGCGAACACCCCUACAAACUAGCCCUAAGGUCUCAUUUAGGAUUGUGUUGAAAAGCUAUAAUAGUUUAUUUAAUAAGUUUUGAGAAGACUGAUUUUUGAUAAAGUUUUUAAAAGUUGCUUGUUUAAUAAAUUUCUCCAUUUUGACAGUAAGUUUUAAAAGUAGAUAGAUGAUUUUUUUUUUUUUUAUAAACAACUUACCAAAUAAGGCACUACACCUUUUUAAAGUUCUUAUUACAAUCUUAAUAUUCUAACAAAAAAGAUAAUUAUAUCUUUUUUUCCAAAAAUCCUAAUAUACAAAUAAAAUACAAUUUAAACUUAAAUUUAUUUUAGUUAUUAUAUAAUAAAGCAACACUUUCAUAAUAAAAUUUACUAUAUGCAUGUAUUUUGGUUUUUAAACUUCCAACAAUUGCAGUAACAUAGUUUACCACACACCAAGUUCAUUUUUCAAUCAGCAACUUACUUCAUCUCCAAGACAUAAAUAAUUUAUUUCAUUAAUCAUUACAAUCCUAAAUGAAAUACACAAACAUUUUGAUCAUUGACAAAUAUUCAAAAUUUAAAACUUGUUGUUCCUUACAUUAUAUUCUCUAAGAUUUUUUUUUAUGAUAAUGCCUACAAAAUUCUCUUUUCAAUUGGGACUAGGAAGUACAACUUGUAGUUGGUCCUACGUUUCCUAUAUAAAGAAGAAAUCGUGUAGUUAAGGGGAUUCUUACUUGUACAAAUGAUACUUCGAGUUUGGAAUGAGUAUGAAGAAAUUAGCGAUACUUUUUUAUCUUUUGAGUUGUUCCAUUGGGUCGGUCGCUCAGGACCUUUGGUUUCUACCUAGACCUAAUGAAAAAUGCAAUACCAUUUCUUCUAGACUCAUUCAAAAUGAUUCUGAUCUAGUCCAUAGCUUGUUAGACGUAGAAAGCGCACUGAUGGGGUCUUUGCGAGUAGAAAAAGAUCAUAGUCGAUUUGAAAAUGAUCAAGUGGCAUUGCUUCUUUGGCCCGAAUCAAAGAAUCCGUUAGAUAUGAUGCAAAAAGAAUCUUAUUUUAUUGUUGAUCAUAGAUUUUUUUGAUGAAAAGUACGAUUCGUAGUUUGAAGAAGAGGAAUGAGAAUGAAUCCUCGACCCGCAACGGAUAAAGGAAGAUUUAUUCAAUCACAUAAUAUGGGCUUCUAGAAUAUGGAGCACAACUUGUAGUUGGUCCUACAUCGGCUAUACCAGAGUACCUUCGAAACAAAUUAGGAUAUUUUUAUUUGAUGGUAAAGAAAAAAUGUGAUUAAGAAAACCCAAAUAGAUAUAUAUUAACUUUAUUGGAAAUUAAGAAUAUUCGUCAAAUAUUUAGAUUAGUCCACGAUAGGAGACAAAACUAAAUAUUAUCAGCUCUUGUUUUAAGUGGAAAAUCAUCAGCUCUAGUUUGCAAAAAGAUUAAAAGAUGCAUGGCUGCUUACUGUGUGCCGAUAAGUGGAUGUACUAUUAGAAGUGAUGGCUAUCUACCGAUAUACAGCGGUAAUCAAACCUGCCUCUAUUUAAACCAAUAAUAAUAAUAAUAAUCAAACUCUAGCUUCAUCAAUUCAUGCUCUCACGAGUCAUUGAAAAGCACGUAUUGUAAAUUUGCAUGAAAGUCUUCGGAUAAUGCUUUUAUACGUGGCACGUGAUGACAUAAAAUUCAAGUUCAGGUUGCGAAAAGUCGACAUGCAUAACACAUGAUUAACUUGUGUGAUGUAAGUUUUGUGCCCAACCUAUUUAAUAAUUGUAUUAAAAAAUUAAAAUUUUAAAUUCGAUUCUAAAAAUAUAUAAAUAAGUGAUACAGCGCAACCCAUUUAGUAAUUGGAUAAUCAUAUCAUGUAAUAUAACACGGUUCAUUAAUAUGCUGAUACAUAUUUAACUCAAUUUACAUGAAUAUCACCCAUCUAUUAGCGCAAUUAACACAAAUUACAUUCAUUUAUAUAUCUAAACAAUUUUGUUCAAUGAUAUUGUAUAAUAUACAUACUAAAUUGUAAGAAUACUAUUUAAUUUUAAGUGAGUAAUCACAUCAAAAUCACAUAAUGGAAAUUUAAACAAAUAUAUACAUUGUUAAAUAUUAUUUAACACCGGUCUUUUUUUUUUUUUUUUUGAGUUGGAGGAUUAAUGUGUUGAUAUAAGACAAUUUUCUAUUUAAUAAUCAUAUCAUGUAUAAAACAUGCUAAAUAAAUUGUCAAACUUAAGUAAUUGCUUUUUUUUUUUUGAAAAAAUGGGGUUCUAAAAAGAGCUAAAGAACAACUGAGCGGGGAUACAAGACCCCGUACGAGUCAUGAGAUAAAAAGGACCUAACCCCUAGAGGAGGCGUAGGGUACACAAUAAGGCCAAGAGGGAGAGAAAAAGCGAGGUUCGCCAUAUAAUCUACAGCAAAAUUAGCUUCUCUAUAGAUAUGCGAGAGGGAAACUUGCCAGUCCAAAUUAAGGUAAUCCUUGAUGGCCUGGAUUAAGGGAGCAUAUUCAUUAGAUGUUACCGAAGGUCUAGCCACCAACUGAGUAACACACAGGCUGUCUGUUUCAACUUUCAAUCUUCGGAUGCCAAAAUUCCAUGCAGGUUGCAGCCCCUGAUACAAACCCCAAAGUUCCGCGACCGUGACAGAGCAAGAGCCAAUCAUCAUCCCAAAUCCGGUUAACCAACGACCUAGGUGAUCCCGAAUCAGACCUCCUGCGGCAGAAGUGCCAUGAAUCUUGUGAGCCCCAUCCGUGUUCAAAGUACACCAGGGCCAUCCAGCCAUACGGGGGGAUGCCAAGAAAUCCACUUGUGAACCCUUGUGUUCUUUAUGAUCAACAGAUGAUUAUGAAGCUUUUGAAUCUCCUCAGCUCGUGUAUGAACAUCCACCAACAAAGCUGACGGCACCAUUAACCUUUGGUGAAAGAGAAACUGAUUUCUCCAAAACCAAAUCCGCCAUAAGGCAACACCAAAGAAAAUUUCCUAGUUGGACACAUUCCCCACCAUACUUGCAUCACCCAAGUUCAACCGAAGCCAAUAGUGAAGUCGAGAGUUAAAAAAAUUGUGCCUUUUGCUUGUAGGAAUAAUAUUGAGCCAGAAUUGUUUGACCAAAGGGCAAUCACGAAGGCCAUGAAUAACAUCUUCACACACAGCUCCACACCGGUCACACCGAGAUGAGAUGGAUAAGUGACGCCUGAUCAGUUCAGCUAUUGUUUUCAAACCAGCGUGGAACGUUUGCCAUAAGAAAACUCGCAUGCUCUGAGGGCCUUUCCAAUGCCAUAUCAGCCGCCAAGCUCUAUCUGCAGCAGCUGGAUUAUGAACGGAGAGAGCUAAAUAGGCAGAGCUAGUGGUAAACUGGCCAUGCUUUGAGUGAGCCCAAAAGAUGGUAUCCGUGCCCUUCGCAUGUGAUGGGGGGUGAAGAGCAGCGAUUUUGAGAAUUAUGUUGCUUGGAAGAUAUUGCUCGAAACGUGACCAAUACCAACUCCCAUUAAUGUCCACGAGAUCAGCCACCUUGCAAUCUAAAAUAUCCAGAGGAAUGGUGUUUGUUGCAUACGCAAUUAAGGGAGCAUUACUGGUAGCCUAAAGAUCCCACCAGAAACUAACAAAUUUUCCAUUACCCAAACUUCAGCGCCUACUCGCAAGAACCUCGCUCCAAACAUGACCAAGAGAUUUCCACAAGUGAGAGCCAUAGUGGUUAGGAAGCACCUGAGGCAAAUUGUGGCGAUCCACUCGAUAUUUUGCAGAUAGGACCUGGACCCAUAAACUGUUGGGAGAAGAGAUUAUGCCCCAGGCUAGUUUCAUGUGAAGAGCUCGAUUGAUCAUGGCCAGCGAUUUAAAGCCAAGGCCGCCAAAAGCUUUAGGCUUACACACAUUACGCCAACUAACCAUGCUGAGCUUCUGCUAAGGAGAUGAGCCACUUCAAAUGAACCUCCUACAAGCUCUAUCAAUCCUCUCACGGACACCACUAGGGAGGGACAAAGUUUGCAUAACAAAAAUGGGAAUAGCUUGGAGAACUGACGAAGCGAGAGUGAUACGGCUAGCCAGAGACAGGUGGGACGCAUUCCAGCCCGACAGUUUUUUCUCUACCUUGUCUACAAUGUUUUGAAACAUGCUGGAAGAGACUCUUGAAUGAUGGAGUGGAACCCCAAGAUAUUUGCCAAGAUCAAAUGUAAUCGAGAAACCGAGGAAACCCAAAAUUUCAGAAAUGUCUUUAUCACCCAUGUUCUUGGAAAAAAAUAGCAGAGUUUUAUUUGCAUUUAUUUUGGCAUCCGAGCAAGUACAAAAAUCAGCUAACACCGCCGAAAUAACUCUAGCUUGCUCAACAGUAGCCUCUGCGAACAAGAGAAGGUCAUCAGCGAAAAAAAGAUGGGAUAGAGGUAUACCAUUGCGAGAUAACAUAAUCGGAUGCCACUUUCCAGCAGUAAUGGCGUUAUGAAUUCCAUUACUGAGGCGUUCAAUACAAAGGACAAGAGAUAGGGAGAUAAGGGGUAUCCUUGACGAAUUCCUCUCGAAGGGGAAAAUUCCUUAGUAGCCUCUCCAUUCCACAAAACCCUCAUGGUCGCUGAAGUAAUGCAAGCCAUAAUCACUUGAAUAAGAUCGGAAGGAAUCCGAGCUUCACGCAAAGUGUCAAUGAUGAAUUCCCAACUGAGGCGAUCGUACGCUUUCUCUAAAUCAACCUUGAUGGCCAAGAAACCAGUAGCGCCCGUCUUUCUGCGCAUAGAGUGCACAACCUCCUAGGCAAUCACAAUAUUUUCCAUAAUGUGGCGGCCAGAGACAAAACUGGUCUGAUGAGGGCCAACCAGAUGAGGGAGAAUAGACUGAAGACGGUUUGCAAUAACUUUUGUGAUUGUCUUGUACGCGACAUUGCAGAGGGAAAUCGGUUGGUACAUCUUAAAAGAAGACGGGCUUUCUGACUUGGGAAUAAGAGCAAGUAACGUUGAGUUCAGCCCCCCAGGAAGGUGUUUGUUCUGAAAAACUUCUUUCACCAAGCGACAAAGAGAAGAGCCAACGGUGUUCCACUGUGUCUGAUAAAAAAUGGCAUGAAAACCAUCGGGACCUGGGGCUUUCAGCGGGUACAUUCUGAAAAUAGUUUUUUGAACUUCAGCAUCUUCCACACCCUUAUUUAAAGACUGCAACAAAUCCUCCUCAAUAAUGGGAAAGCAGUUCGGAUGAGGGUAAUGCCGGAAGUCCAGGGAAUCGCAUGACUACAAAGACGAAUAAAACUGUAUACCAUGCGCUUUUAUCUCAUUUUGAUCAUAAAACCAGACCCCUUCAUUGUUUUGGAUAGCAGCUAUAUUGUUUUGUCUCCUUCGAGUGAGUGUUUUGUGGUGAUAAUAAGAGGUAUUGCGAUCCCCGAGAAGCAGCCAAUCCUUCCGAGACUUUUGGUGCCAAAUAAUUUCUUCUUGAGUAAGAACCUCUUCAAGAUCAGCUUUUAGUUUUUCCUCAAGACGCGAAAGACCCUUAGAAAAAUAACUCUCUAAAGCUCGCUGAAUACCUCCCAACCGAGCCAACAAACGGUUUUUCCGCCAAAAAAUAUUACCAAAGCUUUGCUUAUUCCAGACUGUAACCUUUGAACGAAACUGAUCAGCAGUAUCUAAAUGGUGGAGAUUUUGGUCCCAAGAUUCAGCCACGAAAUCCUGGAAGCCCUCAUUGGUGAGCCAAGCUACUUGAAACCUGAAAGGACGAGAAUGCAAAUUCCUCGAAGACAGCCCGUUACUCCUCACUAGUAUAAGUCUGUGGUCAGGGCUUAAUUUCGGGAGAUGAAAAAUAGUUGAAUCAGAAAAAAUACUAGCUCGCUCGCUAUUGCAAAUAACGCGAUCAAGGCGCUUGAAGAGGCUUCCACGGGACCAAGUAAAACGAGGCCCAUGAAACUGAAGAUCAUGCAUGCAGUUAAGCUGGAACCAAGACUGGAAAAAAUGACAAGCACCCGAGCCUGUAGGAGAGCCAUCUUUCUUCUCCGAAUCAUAAAGAAUAGUGUUAAAAUCCCCACCCAACAUCCAAGGGCCAUGCACCGUUCUAGUUAAAUUAUUGAGCUCACUCUAGAGGAACUUCCUGCGUUGAGGGUUGGGACUAGCAUAGACAGCUGUCAACCAAGAGGGAGCGGUAUUGUUAUUGGAUAACUUAAUAUGGACGAAUUGAGAGUGGCUGGCAACAAUCUCAACCUGAAAAAGGUCUCUCCAAAUGAUCCAAAUGCCCCUAGAAAAACCCUCUGCUUCCACCUGAAAGGAUUUGUCGAAGCCACUUCUCUUAAUAAAAUUAUCAGCCUUAUUGCCACUGAUCCGAGGCUCCAUCAACACAACCAAGGGAGGCUUGUAAUUCCGAACCAAAGCCAAAAAAGAACGUCGAAAGGACGGUAAUGCUGCACCUUGUGUAUUCCAAAACAUGGUUGUGAUAAACAUAGUAAAUAAUAGAAAGAGGAGGAAAGGAGUUUUACUGCGAGGACUUGAAAACCUCAACCUCCAUUCCAUUCUCAGCUCCAACUGAGCAGUCAUUGGCAACUAAAGGUGAUCUGUUGCGGCUUGUAACUAGGGGUUCCUCAAAUUCAGCAGAAGUUUCCCAACUGUUGAAGUCACAAAAAGUGUCUUUGUUAGGUGGUUCAUCAGCAAGAGAAGGAUCACCAACAGGCUGCGAAGGGUGCUGAGCGAUAGCCUGCGGGGCCAAAGCCACCUUGGGGAAAGAGACGACCUUGUGAUGGAGAGGGUUAAGGGUUGUUGGAACGGGCACAAGAACGGGAGCUAGAGAUUUGGAAUUGGACUAUUUGGGCCAUGCAUGUGGAAGGGCCAUUAGGUUCGAUGUGAGGUACGGGCGUGGGGAAAGUGUCACGAUUCGCAUGCAUGCCAUGCACAGUUGGGGACUGACUGCUGGGGUUGGAAUAUUUGGAGAAGAUUUGAAUGUUUGGAUCAAGGUUUUCAGUCGUGGGUUGGCUGGGAUAGAUGGGAUUAGUGGCUUUACGAGUAGGGAAUUUCCGGAUGUGAAGAUUGGUGGGUUUCUUUUUCAUAGUUCGAGAUUUUGGGCCAAGGGUUUGGGUGUUUUCCGGAAUAAAUAUUGUAGGUUCCCGUUGAGAAAUAGCAUCUUUAUCAUAAGCCUGAGGGUGCAUGUCCUCGUUCGUCAAAUCAGCCAACGCAAUGAAACAGGACUGCGAAAUUCCAGACCUGUUUCGGUUCUUGUCCAUGGCUUUGAGUGUGUCUUUGUCUGUGAUUAGGGGUGGGCAUUUUACCCGAUCCGACCCAACCCGACCCGACCCGACCCGAUAAAUUUUGGGUUCGGAUCGGAUCGGGUCGGGAUCGAUUUGAAAUUUACAAACCCGAUCGGGUUGUGAUCGGUUCGGGUCAAACUUGACCCGAUCUGAAUACCCGAUCGGGUUCUAAAAAAAAAAAAACGUAAGCUAACAGUCUAAUUGUCUAACACUGCACACACACAGAGCAAUGGUUUCAAACUUUCAAUCACUUAAGUUAACACUAACAGUAGCAGCAAACUUGCAGUAAACAAAUUUAAGAAGAAGAUGUUUAACACUUUAACAGUUUAAGCUACAGUCAAUGAGUCAACACUCAACAGCAACUACACAAGUCACACACAUACGCUGCUCGCUCGGCUGCUGCACAACGCACACACACACACACAACUUGUCACAAGUUGCACAGCACACAGCCACACGGCCCAUACACACAUACGCUAGCUGCUGCACACACAUAGGGAUGGCAAUUGUACCCGCAAACCCGCAAACCCGCCUAAAUUUAAUAUUUAAUUGUAAUGUUAAUCAUCCGUUAAGUUGUUAAGUACAAGUAACUUGGACUUGAAAUUAAAGGAUUCUGCUGUACGGCCAAGGCGGAUGUCCAAAUAGCAAAAGGCUCAAAGUUGUGUAUGUGUGUAUAUGGCUCAUCUCUUAUUCUAAAGUCAUAACCUAAAGAAAACUAAAGGUAUUUUCCUUCGAAUUAGUAUUUGAAAAUAUUAAUCUUAAUUAUUAUUUUAGGCAUUGUGUUAGAUGGGUGCUUAUGGUGGUGAAUAAAAUAAAUAUAUUCUCUUUGAUCUUGUUUUAAAUGAUAAUAUGAAAUGUAAUUAUUAUUUUUAGAUAUUAGUUUGUGUUUUUUAAAUAGAUUUGUAUAAUUUAUACUUAAAUUUGAGAAUUUGUGUUGAAUUGAUGUGGAAAUUUUAAUUUUUCAUUUACACUGUUUAAAUAUAAAAUUGAAUAUGUUAUAUGGAACUUGAGGUUAUUAUUAUAAAUUUAUUUAUUAAAUAUUUGUGAUUUUAAAUACGGAAACCCGCAAAAAAUCCGUCGGAUACCAUUGCGGGUUUGGUAAUUGUUAAAACCCGCUGCGGGUGGGUUUUUUUAAAAAAAUUAAAAUCCGCUGCGGAUUGCGGGUGGGUUUGGUAAUUUAAAUUUUGUGCGGGUUUGGGUUUGGUAAUGGCAAACCCGCUGCGGGCGGUGCCCAUUGCCAUCCCUACACACACACAACACAACUACACAAGUCACAAGCUGAAGCUGCACACUUGCACAGCACACACACAGAAUGACAGAAUAGAACAGAACAAAACAGAACAGAACACACACGAGCUGCACAGCACACACACACGUUGCACAGUCACUCAGGUCUCAACAAUUCACUCGCAAACCUAACACACACACACACACACGCUGUCAGCCACAACUCACAAGUUCAAACAACUAAACAAACACAAACAACUUAACAACAGAACAAGGCAGUCGCAACCCGCAAGUCUGCAACCACCAACCAGCCACCACGAGACGGAUUUGUUGCUGCCAGCUGCUGAAGAAAUCACGAUCUGUUGCUGCCAAGUGAAGUCGCAACCAGCCGUGAGCCGUGAGCCGUCCGCAUCUCCGCGAUUUGCUACUGCCAACUCCCAAGUGAAGCCGCGAUCUGCUGCCAAGUGAAAUCCUGUCCGUCCAGCAAUGAGCCGUGGCCACCGAUCUGCUGCUUGAAGGCCGAAUCCUCUCCACUCGAACCCGAUUUUGAAGCUUUCUGGUUUCCACCUUCCAUUUUGAAGUUUCAAGCUUCAAGCUUCAAGCCUUCAAGGCUUCAACUUUAUUGAAGUUCCCAAGUCGUUUCAGACUUUUAAUUUACCUUCAGUUCACUUCACGACUUCACGCCUCACGGUAUAUAACUAUAUAUACACUAUAUAAUUAAUUAAUUAUAUAUAUGCUAAAUAAUUUAUUACUUUAUUAUGUAAUUGAGUAAUUGGUUAAUGGUUAUUAUUUAAUUGUUGUAAUUAACUAAUUAUGUAUUUAUAAAUAUUAGUAAUAAAAUCAAGGAAAUUUUGUUAAUUAUUGAGCUCAUCAGAAAUUAUUUUUUUGUCAUAUAUAAAAAGGAAUUGAUGAUUGGUUUGGUGGGUUUUGUUUUUAUUUCAUUGAUUAUUAAUUUUUUAUCGUUGGCUCUCUUUAGCGAAUUAACCUAUAACAAAUUAACAAUCAAGCACAAAGAAUAUAUUUGAUUUUUUAUGAAUAAAUUAGCACAUUAGGUAGAUUAAAUAUUAAAAUUAAGUAUUAUGUUGUAUAUAUUUUAUAAUUAUAAUGUGUUAUGUAAUUAUGUGUACUUGUGCAGUAGCUUCAAGCUUUCAACCCUAAAAAAAUUAAUUAAUUCAAUUAAUAUUUUAUUGUAUGUUAAUCAUCUGUUAAGUUGUUAAGUACAAGUAACUUGGACUUGAAAUUAAGGGAUUUAAUUUAUAAUAAGAAAUAAGAUAUAGAUAGACAAAUAAUAUCAUAUUAUUAUGGGGAAUAGACAAUUGGAUAUUAUAAAUUAAUUAAUUAAUCAUGAAUUUCUUACUUUUUGUUUAUGAAGCAUGAACAACUUGAAUUGAAAUUACUAAUUUUUGUUUAUGAAGCAUGAACAACUUGAAUUGAAAUUACUAAUUUUUGUUUAUGAAGCAUGAACAACUUGAAUUGAAAUUACUAAUUUUUGUUUAUGGAUUAUGUUAAUAAUAUUUAUGUGUUUUGAUUUUUGAAUUAAUGAUUAUUAAUUAUUAUUUUGAAUAUUCAAAUGCUUGGACACUCAAUAUCGAAUUCAAUGAGUGACGAUGAAGACCAAAGUGUACAAAUGGAAGGAACCCAUAGAGGAAAGGAAAAGGCGAAGCGGAAAAGACCGCCAAUGAAAAAAAGAUCGGCAGUAUGGAAUCAUUUCACUUUACUCGAAGAUAAUCCAAACAAAUGUAUGUGCAACUAUUGUGGUAAGCAAUAUCAAUGUCAUUCAAGGCUUGAUGGGAUUACAAAUAUGACAAGGCAUAUAAAGACAUGUGAAUCAUACAAGACAUUUCAGACACAACAAAGUGGAAGUCAACAAAAUUUGACAUCCGAGGGCGGCAAAGAAAAUGCAAGUAAUUUGGUUUUGGGUAAAGGAUGGAGUCAAGACGCGUGUCGAAGGGCAGUAACUAAAAUGAUUAUUAUGGGUGAGUUGCCGCUCAGUUUUGUAGACAACAAAGGCUUUAGGUAUUUUUGCAGUGUAGCUAUCCUUCAGUUUGUUAUGCCAUCUCGAAGAACAAUUGGUAGAGAUGUUAUGGAGUUAUUUUUGGAGGAAAAGGCAAUGUUGCAGAGUUUGAUUUGCAACAACAAGCAGCGGGUGUCUCUUACAACUGAUUUAUGGACUUCUGUUCAAAACAUGAGCUACAUGGUGAUUACAGCUCAUUUUAUUGAUAGUGAUUGGUGUUUGAAUAGAAGGAUUAUUAGUUUUAGCGCCAUCGAAUAUCAUAGAGGGAAGUCUAUUGGUAAAAUGAUAGUGAUUGAUGUUUGAAUAGGAGGAUUAUUAGUUUUAGCGCAAUCGAAGAUCAUAAAGGGAAGUUGAUUGGUAAAAAGAUUGUGGCUUGCCUACAAGAUUGGGGGAUAAAGAGGUUGUUUGCAAUAACUAUUGAUAAUGCCACUGCAAAUGAUGUUAUUUGAUGUUGAUGACUGCGCUGAAAUUUCAAGCGGCAUUUGAUAGAAUGGCAGAAGUGGAUAAACCUUAUGAGGCAUUCUUUGCUGAGAAAGAAAAUAAUGUUAGAAGGGUGGGCCCACCUGGACCGGAUGACUGGGAGAGUGCUGAACGGAUUGUGAAGUUUUUGAAGGUAUUUUAUGAUGCCACAUUAUUGUUUUCUGCCUCUUUGAGUGUGACUUCUAAUCUUUGUUAUGAUACUAUUGGCUUAAUUGAGAGUUCAUUGACUGCACUGCAAGAAAGUACUGAUCCUUGGGUGUCCUCUAUGGCUUAUAGUAUGAGGGAAAAAUUUGACAAGUAUUGGGAGUCCACAGGAAAGAUAAACAAAAUGUUGAUUAUUGCCUCUAUUCUUGAUCCACGAGCGAAAAUGGAUUUUGCUAAACAUAUUUUUGAGAUCAUUUUUGGCAAUGAUAGUUUGAUGGUUAAACAAAUGACCAAAGCAGUGAAGGACUUGUUGAAUGAGUUUUAUGAUGCAUAUAUUCAUUCUCCGUACACCAUCGAUGUAUGGUGAGAGUGGUUUUAGUGGCAGCUAUGGAGGUACAAGUUCUUCUCAACGUUUUACAACUGAGACUAAUUUGGUGGAUGGAUGACGGUUUUCAAGUAUCUCGCCCUUUCCUUGGAUAUGUCAGGAAGGUUUCUAUUCAGAAUGAGAGUAGAAGAGUAGUAUCUGAGGUGGAAAGGUACUUGAAGGACCCAGUUGAAGAUCCCAGCAAUCUUAAACUUAAUGUUUUGCUUUGGUGGAGGGUGAAUGGAUCGAGGUAUCCAAUUCUUGAGAAAAUUGCAAGAGAUGUCCUUGUUGUUCCUAUUUCCACAGUGGCAUCUGAGUCUGCCUUUAGCACCGGGCGUCGUAUUAUUGAUGAGUAUAGGAGUUCUUUAACUCCGGCUAUGGUUGAGGCAUUGAUAUGCACUGAAAAUUGGCUGCAGUCUAAACUUUUUGCCAAUCCCAUCUACAACCUCCAAGAAGAUAUCAAGGAGUAAAUAUUUCAUGCAGUCUAAACUUUUUGCCAAUCCCGUCUACAACCUCCAAGAAGAUAUAAAGGAGCAAAUAUUUCAUAUGGAAUUACAAGAAGGUAAUGUUUUUAAUUUUUUAUCAUACAUUAAAUACAUAAUAUAUUUAAAAUGGAUUAUAAUUUUAUAUAGAACAUCUACAUAUUAAUUUUUUGAUAUUAUCGUACUAUAGUUUUUUGUUGUAAUUUAAGCUCCUAUAAUUAUAGUUGUUAUAGUUUUAAAUUUUAAGUCUAAUUUGUAAUUGUUUUAGUUAGACAAGUUGAAGUUGAUAGAAUGUUAUUAUUGUCUAAUAUUAUUAUUAACUUGAUUUGGUGAUGAAUGCCAUAAAAUAAGCAUGAUAUAAUAGAAAUAUAUAAUCAAGUGUGUAUUGAGAAAUUUGGUAAACAUAUAUAUUUAUUUGUAAUUAUAAAUUUAUAAUGAUAUAAUAGAAAUUAGAAAGAUUGUAACACCCCUUAGUUUAAUUAAAGAUAUGAAUUGGAUUUAUUUAUUUGUAUUUGUGUUUGAUGUGUAACCUUAUGAAUUUGGUAUAUUUGCUCAAUUUUUUAUAUGAAUUGAGUUUGUUCAUUUGGAACGUGGCUUAAGGAAAAUAUUUAUUGUACGUUUUCUCAAUCUUUCUCUAGGCAAUCGGCACUUGAACUUGGAGUUCAAAAUUUUCAAUUUAGAAUUUGUCAAAGUACUUGCAUGGAGCCAUGGAGGAACCAAGGUGGAGGAACCAAAAAAGCUUAUUUAGUUUUAAUGUUUGAACUUUGAAUUUUGUGAUUUAUGUUUCUAAACAAUUUAAUUUUGUGACUUUGUGAAUUUGUGUUUCAAACUUUUAAAGACUAAUAUUUGGAAAUUGUGCUUUGGACUUUGUAAGUUUGUAUUAAUUUUAACUUUUAUUAAGUUUGGAACUUUGGAUUUUGUUGAUUGAGCAAAUAAUAGUCCUAAUUCUACCCUCCAAGUCUAAGCCAAUAGACAAAUAAUCCUAUUAUAGCUUUUUAACUUUAUUCAUUUGAAUUAAUGACAUUUUCUUUUCUUUUUUUCAGUUGACAAUUAGUAAAAAUGACUACGAUUAAGAAAAAUGUCUUAAAACUUUCAUAAAAAACUACAAUAAUAGGAAAAAAAGAACUCAAAGAGUCAAAAUUGUAUUAACCGAAUUUGACCCGAAUUGACCCGAUUUCAACCGAUUCGAACUGACCCGAACUCAAUCCUGCCCGUUUUAAAUCCAACCCGAUCCAACCCGAAACCCGAUCGGGUUGACCUGAACCCGAUUUUGCCCACCCCUAUCUGUGACUUUGCAAGGGCGCGAUUGACGGGCUACUACCAUCCAUGACCCAAACUUUGGCUUCUGGCAGUCCAAAUCUUCAGUCAACACAAUGUCGUGCUUGUCAGCCUCUGUUAAAGAAUGCUGAUCAUACUUAGCCAUGUGAGUAAUAUCUGCACUGUCAGGGCAUGCUUCCCUAUAAUGACCAAAUUUACUGCACCCAAAACAGAUUGUUGGCAAGUUUUCGUAUUCCACCUUCUGAAUUCGACCUUCAAGGUUAAACUGUGAUAUAAGAGGCUUCUGAAGAUCCAACUCAACCGCAGGACGAGCAAAUUUACCCCUCUGUGCCGUAAUUGUGUUGGAAUCAAUUUUAACAACUGGGCCAAUAAUUUGCCCUAGACGCCGAAUGAUAUGUUUAUGGUAGAAGUGGAUAUUCAUCUCGGAUAAACGGAUCCAAGCCACUAUGUGAUCAAUUUUAUUGUUGACCACAUCAAAAUCUGGAGUCCAUUUCUGCACUGACAAAUAUUGACCCAUAACUGUCCAUGGUCCCUCCAUAAGAGCAAACUCAACGUCCUUUGCAUUGUUGAAACGGAUUAGGAAAUAGUCGUUGGCUAGGUCUAUUAUAUCAAAACUUGUGGUGGAGCUCCAAACUUUGUUCAACCGGAAACUUAAAGCACGGUACCCCAAGUUGCGCCCUAAUGUCUUGACCACCACGAAGUGUUCCCAGGGUUCCACUAGACGAUCAUGAAUUCGGCUAGAAAAGGCUAUGUAUGGCAUAGGUUCUUCCUCCCUGAAAGUCACAUCUUCCUCCUCCAACUCCCAAUCAUCCUGCCGACCAAGACUUACAUUCUCUGAAUGCCCCUGAGUAUCCAUUAGCACGUCACGGAAAGAUAAGGGAGAAGGGUUAUCUCCAUCCACCCCUUGGGCCCUAAACUUUGCCUUCGUAGCGGAGCGGUCUCCCGCCAGCAGCGGUUGAGCGACUUUGCCAGAGCGCAUAACCAUGAGAAACCCUAACUUGUAAAAGCUUUUUAACAAGUAAUUGCUUAUUUAUUUAGGUCUAACUCAUUUACUGACGUAUUUUUUUACUACAAAAAAAUAAUUAUAAAUUAGAAUAAAUACAAUAAUUAAAAAAACCCAUUUAUUAUUGAUUUCCGGUAAAUAGGUAAUGUCAGAAUUUGCCAUCUCUAAAUUCAGGCAUACGGUUUGGAAAAUAAAACCACGAAAUUAAAAUAAAAAAUUAAGAGUACAUCUCGGGUAAUGGGGAUUGGUUAUGAAACGAGUUAAAGUAUUGACACGUGGCGAUCAUACACUCUGACAAGAGAUCCAAGAUCCAACAGUGGAAAAUGCUUUUUUUUUGAUGGAUUGAUUGAUUACUGAUUGAUAGAUGGAUGCUAAAGCAGGAGCAUACGACGUCGUCAUGGCGUCGAUCUCUUUCGCUCCUCUUUUUUUUCCAUCUUCAAAUUUCUGUACAAAAUCUUUUGCUUCAUCCAAAGUCCAAACACACACCAUCAAAGCAUCCCCCACCAGCCACCAGCCACCAGCCACCAGACCCAGACAGACUCCCCCGAGUUUGCCGCCGCUCCUUGACCAAACGGAUUCCCAUAAUCACCGUACAGUAUCCGGGGAGUGAAAGCCACUCUCUCCAUAAUAACGGCUCGUGCCUUACACGCGCUGUCGAGUGAGCUUUUUGCUCUCCACUUUUGACACUAUGUAUGCAUACGUAAGUACAAAGUACACAACUAAAACUAAAAAAAGCAUCUGAGCACUAAUCUUAUUGACUAGUGAAGAGCUGCUGCAACUGAUUAAUGGCGUCACCUGUUGCGUGAAGGAGAGAUCUGUACAUUACACUCGCGCUUACACAGCAUGUAAUAAUAAUAAUGAUGAUAAUAGAAAAUAUACUAUAGCGUCACUGUACAGUAAUUUUUAUUUUUUUUUGGGCUCAGGGAUACGUCACUGUACUGUAAUAAAAGCUAAAGGAAAGGUGAAAUUAACAAAUAAAAAGAAAUGAAUAUAUAUUUAUGUAUAUGAGAUAUGAUGAGAAAGUGGAGUACUUUCACCUUACGUUAGCAGCACCGUCGGAUGCGCCUCGAAUGUCGUAUUCAAACCUGAUCAUCUGUUGCUGUCUCAAGUGACUGUCCGCAGCCUGGCCCCCUGCGGGAUCCUAACACUUCAGCUACUGCUACGUGUUACUAGGCCUACAUCUAUCUAGUACUAAUGAAAGUGAUGUUUCGUCAUUAACAACUUUUGCUUAUAAUUUUUGCUGCUCAUUGAACAACGAUUUUCACUUUUUUAAAAAUUUCUAGCUCCUCUUAAACAUGAAUAAUCAAUGUCAAACACUAAAUUACAUUAAUGUAACUUGGUGUUUGCCACUUAAUUAAUUAUAGAGCUACGCAACAGUUGAACAAAUUUAUUUUGGUCACAAAUUCGUAUGGUAAAAUAUGAUUUUUUGAUUGAAAAUAUUCUUUAAAUAUAGAGUUAUUACAUUUUUCAAAUCUAAUUUGAUAAUUUUGAUUCUUAAGAGAUAGAUAGACAUAUUGUAGACAUAGUAUAAUAAGCAAGUUUAGUUAUCUUACAUAAUUACGUAAGGUAUAUAACUCUUUCUCAAUUGGUUGGUGAAAAUUUAACAGUCGUAGAAAUAUAAGAUAACAAAAUCUUAUUAUGUAAGAUUACAUAAUAAGAUUUUGUUAUCUUAUAUUUCUAUAGUCGUUGAAUUUUCAGUAAAUGGUUAUGAAAAAGUUAUAUACCUUAAAUAAUUAUGUAAGGUAAUAAUACCCUUAUUAAACUAUUGUAUGUGUUUGUCUAAAAUAAAAUUUGUCUAAAGAAAAAAAAAAGGGAAAGAAGAAGAUUUGAAUUUAAAUUUAAAUUUAUUGAUAUUACAGUCAUAAAUUUAUUAAAAACGAUUUGCAUUGGCAUAACAGUGAUAACGAGCGAAUCCCGAAGACAUCUACUCCAACAAAUUAUGAUGUAAAUUUCUCUUCAACUUAUCGAGUAAAGUCGCCAAUCUUAAUUGAUCAAGACAGGUCUCGUCAUAGUUUUAUUAACAUUUUAGUUUCACAGAAAGAAAUCAUAACGAUGGUAUUAAUUCUGUGCCGAACUUGCAGGUUGAGGAUGAGGAAAUAAAUGGAUAGUUUUUGCAAAAGAAAAAGUCAUUGAAUGAACAGAUUAAAAAACAAAAUCAAGCCUGCUACUACUGUUUUUUCGGGGUCCAAAUGGCCCACGCCUGAUUCAUAAUAAAUAACAAGAAGUAAUCAUAUAAUUUUUUUUUCUAAUAUGAUUUUCUUUUUGAAAGGCAGAAUAAUUUAAUAAAACAAAAAACCGAUGCAAGACAAAUUAUACGUACAAACAUUGUAAUUUACCCCCAAAAAAAAAAAUCGAAUUUAAUCGAACCAUUGUAAAUGCCUGUGCCUGUCGUGAUAUUUUAAGCUUAUGUGAAUACUGUCAAGAAAAAUAAUUGUUUUUAUUCUUACAAGAAUUUGGCGGGGGGAAAAUGGGUAACAUGUGCAGCCUGCCAUAAUGGAGGUUUUGAACUCCAUGGACGGAAGCCGCUGAUGAGACUUUGGUUCCCUCAUUCAGCGACCUUCAUAAUUGGCACUAUCAGAUUUGAAGGAUUCUGAUUUUAACCAAAGGAUGCCUUUUUGAGGAUAAAAGACAACUCUAUGAGACUAUGACAUAUCAUCCAAGCAAUUUGGUAAGUUAUAUAAUAGUGUAACUUACAUUCAUACAAGAGAGAUGUUUUCAAUAACUUAAGUGUAAUUUAGUUGUCACACACUCUCUAAGAUUAUUGAAAACAACUAUUGGUUGAAUAAAAGUUACAUUAUUACGUAAUUUAACUACACUUUAUAAAUUAUGAAGUUAAAGUAGAAUUUGACAAGAAAUAUAUAUGUAUAUGUAUAAAGUAAAAUAAAUAAAAUAAAAUAGGUUCUAUGCGAAUUGAUAAAGCUUGUGUUAGCUUGUUAUUCAUGAAUCCAGACGCCCAGUUAAUGUUUAGUUUAUUCAGAUUUAGCUUAAUGGUUUUUAAAUAGUAUUUUUCAAGUUGACAGUGUGUGCUUCAAUUUUAGAUGAGAUAGGGACAAAAAAAAUAAUCAAUUUAAAAUUUUCUCACGAUUUACCCUUCAAAAAAAAAAUAAUAAUAAUAAAGAUUAAUUAGUAGAAAAAUGUUAAAUGUACCAAAAGCAGUGAAUAGAUAAGUAAUAAUAUUCUAUCAACUUUAAGGCUUAUAGUAUUGGUUUAACAAAGAUAUAAUAUUGGUUUUACGUUAUAAUUAGGACUAUUUUCUUAUUCAACUUUAAGGCUUAUUUAAAUAAUAAUGCACACAUGUUAAAAGAUUUUCCAAAUCCUAAAUUAAUUUAUGUUAGCCACUUGUCACGGGCUCGCUUGGCACUCAAGGUGGAUACACUUAGAAGUGGGAGUUAACUUAGAAAUUGGGCCACCAAGACAACUAACUAGCUGGGGUGCACUUAGCAAAACCCCCACCAAGGCCCAAAGUCCACCAAGGCCCAAAGGUCUAGAACUCUCUACAUAUUAUCCAUUCACUAGAACUUUCUAGGACUCACCACUUGGGUCCCUUAGUGUUUUGCCACUUGUAAUAGAAUUCUCUAGAAUUAGGCAUUCCACCCCCUAUAAAUAUGGGUGAACACCCAUCAUUCACACAACCACCAAUACACCCACACAACACACCUAGCACACUAGCUCUCAAGCUCUCUUGUACAAACACUCUUGUAAUUAUUCAAAGUGUAAUACAAUCAUCUUUGGCCAUUCCACUCUUACUUCCCUUAACAUUUUCUCCAAGUGUGUGUGCUUGGCUUGUUUAGGGAGUAAUCUAGGCUUACUUGGCGACUCACACGCUAAGGUCGCUCAAGUGCCGCACGGGAACUUGCUGCGCAAAACUAUCACCCCGUGACACACUGCCUUCAUGUUAGAGUUAGGAUUAGCUUCUUAUUUAACUUUAAAGCUGAUAAACUUGAUGACAAAUUAAUUGUUUUCUACAUUUGAUUGAAAAAGUUAAAAGAGCAAUGUUUUUUUCCAAGUGUAAUAGAGUAACAGUUGCUAAAGGAAGCACUUUCUCAUUUAGUUAGUGCAUUCAAUUUACGGGUCUUGUCUGUCUCCAGGGAAUUUAAUUUCAAGGGUUUCAUACUAUUAUUAGUAUUACAUUAAGAAAUUACCGGCCCCUAAAAUUAUAUUUAUUUUUAUAUUAAUUAUGAUCAUUAAAUUUAAAACAUAUCAACGGCUAAAAUUUUGUGGGACAUAAUAAAUUUUUUAUUAAGAUUUUUCUUGUCUCUUAUUUAUUAUUUCCCCUACGCCAACAUUUUAUUCCUUUUUUUUUUCUCAUCAUUAAAUUUUUUUCUCUCGAAAUCAAAACAAAAAUAACUCUUAAGAUCGUGGGUGCAAAUGCCUAUAUCCGUAUUCAUUUGAUAGAAAACAUCUCUGUUACCAACCCUUACCCAUUGUGGGCUUAAACGGGUGUGGGUUGGAUUCCCUAAUAAAAAUUAGAGAUACCCAUCUCUUUCACCUAUCCUUUAUAUCCCCUUUUAUUUUUUAACAUCUACAUAUAUUUAAAAAAGAAAAAAAUGAUAUCUCAACUAUUUAGCUUUAGAUGAACAUGCUACACUUUAUACUAAAAUAUUUAUAUAAAAAAAAUCAAUUUUAGGUAAAUAUUAAUUAUAAUUUAAUGGUUGUUAGGUUCAAUUUUAAUCAAUAUAUUACUAAAUAUUUAGAUUGAGAACAAAAUACUCCACUUUAGCAUUUCCUUAUCCAUCCUUCACUUUUUUCAACUAACCUUAGUUUGAGCACUGUUCUAUCAUUUGUUUCUAAUUAUGUGAAGAUUUAGAUGGUUUAGUAAUGUCUAGUUCACUAAAUGAUUAAAAUCUUCAAGUAAAUGUUUAGGAUAAUAUCAUAUUAGAUCGAUUUUCUGAUUACUAAGUUAUUAAGUGCUAAUAUCAAUGUUUUAGGGUUUCAAAAUUUCAUUUUAAUAUUUAUUUGAUUUUAACUUUUAAGACAAAAAAAAGAGUCAAUAGCCAAAUAUGUUUAGUGAGCGGUACGAGUAUUAGUGUUUUACACCCGACCUGACCCGUCCAAUCAAUGAGCAUAAAGCGUUAUACUUGUAACCAAUCUUUUUUAUAAAAUGAAGGUAAAAUUAGACCCCAUAUCCAAUUUUCACAUAACGGACCCCUACACCAUCAAGGAUUUUUGCCAUCCCUACAUUCAAUGGAUAAAUUUAGAGGCCAAGCCAUGAGAAUAGAAAAGUGAAAAAAAAAAAUGCUAAGAAAACUUAGGAGAGAGAUAUCAUGUUUUAAAAGGAAACUAAUGAGGAGUGGAAAAGUACAUUAAUUAUAGUUGUUAGUAAGCAUUUGUGUUAUUAAUUUCACAAAAUCUUGACCGUUGAUAUGUCUUAAAUCUUAUAGUUAUAAAUUAGUGUAAAAAUAUGUGUAAUUUUAGGGAACUGCUGAUAUAUUCUCAGGAAAUUAAGAUAGUGGUUAGCUUCAAGUAAUUGGCAAUAAACAAAAAAAUAACAAGAAUAGUGAGAACAAUAAUAGAGGAGAUGUCCAGCCUAAUUGGGUCCAUAUAUAAUCGCGUAAAGAUGAAGUAAUUCUGUCAUUAUAUUGAAAAUCUCACUCCCUCAAUGUUUUCCACAUCAAAUCAGGAAGAUAUAGACACCAAAUAAUAAUGAAAGACUUUAUAUUGUAUUUCGAUAAUUAAGCCAUAAGAUUAAAGUGAUUGAUUCCCAACUACCUGUAAUGAGAAUAUACAUUCGCUCCAAAUAGCCCAGACAAGAUCACACAAUAUGUUACAUGUCAUUUACUCAAUAUCCUUUUUAGUGAUCUUCAAAAAAAAAAAAAUAUGCUUUUUAGUGCGGCCAUGAAAAUGCCACAUGACCUAAAAAGAAAAGGGUAAAAAGAUAACGUUGGAUCUAGAAAGAGAAAAGAAAUUGUUUUGCACGUAUGGCGGGGGGGGGUACUAGGCUUGACUUUUUCGAGAAAGAAAAAUCACAAUUUGUAUUGUUUUGCUACUUUUGUACGUCCCUCUAAGAUCUCCGAUUUUUAUGUAGCCAGAGGGCUAACUAGAUGUAGUUCUCACAAAAUCGAUUUGUCAACCUUAUCUUAAAAGCCCAUUCGACCCCUGCUGCCUCAAUUUCGUCGUUUUCUUGGAGCUAUUUGGGCAGGGCGGCCCGAAAUUUCUACGAGCCAACCUUGUUUGUCAUGGAUCAUCAAACUCUUGUUAUUGUGGGUGCGAAAAUCUUCACAUCCAAUCAAGUUAUCCCUAAAGGGUAAUAUCCCUUGGAUAAUUUUAUCCCUGGUCAUUGUGUUAUAUUAUAGCUAUCUGCACUUAUCAAGAGAUUGUUACGAUUUAAACAAGCUCAAAUUCAGCUAACAGCUUAUACAAUGAAAAUCCACUUGGACUUUGGCUUAGUGAUGAACUACUACUCUCAAAGUUAAGUAGGACUAUGAGGGUAGUGGUUCGAGUCUCCAUAUACUCAACCUCCCUCAAUUAAGUAAAAAAUUGUGUGAAAUUAAUUGUAAGUCUUUCUCUCUUACAAAAUCCGAGUGGAGUAGAGACAUCCCUCGUCUGUGAGGGUCAUAUGUUUGAGCAUGUACUUCAUAGAAUUAAUGUAAUAAUGUAUCAUAGAACUAAUGUAAUAAUGGAAGUCCAAGUUAUAUAUCUGAUUGUAAAUAUUAGUGUAAUACAUGUUCUAAUGGCAGUUGUAAAUAUUUGUGUAAUAUAUUAAUAUGAUGUGUAAUCAGUAUUAAAAAAAAAACUUAUACAAUGCAAGCUUGUAAGAGAAGAGUACUUGUCUAGCUACUAGGGUAGUGAUAUUGUGGCUGCAAAGCUAACAUUGAGUGCCUGAGCUUUAGCCUUUUUGCUACAACUUGUGUCAGCUUAUUGCUCGGCCCUACGGCAGGACAAAGCAAAGCUAGCGCAUGCAGGAGGUUAUUUUGCCCAACGCAAUAUAUUUACCGUGGGCUUUCAAGAUGAAGACACAACCUUCAGGCCCAUUAAUGCCCAUCGACUCUUUGGUGGCGAAUUGAGUCGAGUUCUUCUAUAUCAAUAUAAUACUGUAAAUUUCUAAAUCUUUUCUUAGCUUUAAGGCUACCGUUUCCUAAGGUCCUUGAUCGCUUUACCUUUUUUGGCCAACACAACGAUGCUCAAUUAUGCUCCUGAAAGAAAUUAUAUGAUUGCAGCGAAAGCACUAACACAAGCCGCAAAAUCAAAUUGAUGAGGCAUCUUCUUCUGUAAUACUCUUUCCUUCUCAAUUUCGCUUUGGUUUUACGAUUCCAGCAAAGUUUAACAAUAUUAUAUAAUGUAGUCCUUUUACUUUAUUUUCCAGGACAAAAGUGUACUUAAAGGUUCACCAAAAUGUAUGUAAAUUAUAAUUUCUGAUGAAAAAGAUUCACUUAAGUGAUAUUUAUUUAAUACCCGUGUUAGCGUUUGUCUUGGCUUUGCAAUCAUCAAGAAUAAAAGCAUGAAAGCAUCUUUUUUCCUUCGUUUUCAAACUUUUUAAUGGUAAGAAUAUGGCAAUUUAAGAACUUAAAAUAUAGGCAAAGCAGUUAAAUUAGGCCCCCACACAUGACCCAGAUGGUUUCUAAUUUGGUUAAAGAGAUUAGGUGAUCUCAAAAUUUGAUCUGGCCUCUAGCUGUAUUAAAAGGGACUUUCAGAAGACAAUUAGUAUUGAAAAAGAUAAAAAGAAAAAAAAAAUGAAAUUUUUUAUUUCAGCUCAAGAUAUGUCGUUUAUGGGAAACUGAUGAUAGGGGCCACUGUCCAGUGACAUUAUAUGUAUUUAUUGUUUAGUAUUAAUAUUUGUGAUCAACUUCGCCGGAUUGCUCAGGGUGACUUCUAAUUAUCUCUCCAUGAUCAUUGUUGCAGCUGAUUAGAGCUGGGUAAUAAGCAAAAUAAUACAUCAUAAUGCAAUAACACCAAGAUAAUGACCAAACUAAAAGAUAUAUUAAAAAAUGGCAGGGUUAAGGAAAAGACUGCAAAUUAGAUUCUUACACUUCAUCAACUACACGCCACUUGGUGUAUAACUUGGCACCACUAAUUAUUUCAGAUGGAGUUAAUCACAAGAAGAAAGUUCUAAAGCUUGCUUGUUAUAUUUAUGUUGAUGAAUAUAAUCAUGAAUCUUGAAAUGGAAAUCUUAUGAAUUAAUUGCUUCAUGGGUAAGAUCAAUUACAAAGAACUUCACUGGCUUCUCUUCAAACCAAUCACAGUACAUGGAUGUCAUUGGCGGUUUGGUUUUAGUUAGAUGAAUGCCACUACACCAGAGAUAGUGGAGCUUGUUAAAUGGAGUAAUGAAAUAUCUCCUCCACUCUUUCCAUUCUAGUCUACAGUCUAAUAAGUUUAUCAAAAUCUAUAAUAUAUAUAUAUAUAUAUAUAUAAAAGAAAAAUAGUUGUUUAGAGUCUAAGAAAAGUAAAGGGCAUGGUAAAGGUGAAUGAUAACAUAUACUAUUCAGCUCUUUCCAAGCUAAAUGUGAUUAUUUUGUAAUUAUAGGCUGUGUUAAUUUGAUCUCUCCUCAUAUGAGUUAAGUAAAAUACAAUACACACACACACACGCUAGGUAGUGUUUACUUUCUGGAGUGGGAGUGUGGAGUGUGGAUUUCUCCCACUCCAGUGUUUACUUACCUUAAAAAAGAGGGGAGUGGGAGUGGGAAUCCGUGGGUCCCACCCAAUUUUGGAGUGGGGAGUGGGAUUCCCACUCCCAUGGGGAGAGGUGGGAGUGGGAAUCCACUCCCCUCUCUUCCCAUUUUAUCCUUAUAAAAAUAAAAUAAAUAAAUAAUAUUUAAUAAAAUAAAUAAUAUCAUAUUUAUUAAAAAUAAUAAUUAUAUCAUAUUUAUUUUAUUAAAUUUAAUAAAAUAAAAAUAAAUAAAUAUUAUAUUUAAAUUAAUAAUAUUAAACAUUAAUUUUAAUAAAUAUUAAUUAUUUAUUUAAUUAAUAAUAAUAAAUAUUUUAUUCUAAAAAAUAUUAAUUUUGUACUAUAUUAUCAAUAAUAAUAUUUCAUUUGUGUUGCUAUUAUUAAUAAUUUUUAUUCACAUAAUUUAAAUUAAAAUUAAUAAUUUAGUCUAAGUAAACACCCUACUCUCACUCCCACUCCACACUCCUAAUCCAAGGAUUCCCACUCCUCAGGAUUCCCACUCCAAUCCAAAAAGUAAACGCAGCAAUAAAAUGCAAUAAGGUAUGCGCCACUACACACCUUAUUGUAUGCGACAGUGUGAGUCAAGAUCAAAACUAGAGAGUUGUGGGUCCCACAACACAGCUCUAUGUUUCAACUCUUGACACAUUCGUUAUCAAAUGCCACAUGCUGGCUACUCACUCACACACACAUAAAUGAGUCAUUAUCUAAUAAGAGACUCCUUAAAUUAUUAAAGUUACUCCAAGACAAAUAAAACGCAUACUCUAAUGCAGUGUAUUGUAUCAUAUAAUAUAUUAAAGAGUAUUUUAUUUUGUCUUUUAACUUAUUCCUUAUUUUAAUAACUUAAGGGGUCCCUCAUUAAAAAAUUGAUGUGUGUGUGAUUAGGAUAUAAAUAACAAUAUAAAAUUAUUAAAUUUAAUUAUAUAGCAUUAUAAACAUGCAUGUGCCACAAUACCUUGAGGGAGUGUUGGCAUACUUUAUUGUAUUACAUUAUAAUGUAUUGCAUUAGGUUAUAUUAAGUUAUAAUGCAAUAUAAUGUUUAGUGCAAUAUGGACUGUACUAUAUGUAAUAAUAUAUUAUAUCAUUAUUUAGUUUACUAUAAUUUUAAAUUAACAUUAUCUAGACUUAUUAGCACUAAAGUAUUUAUUAUUAGUUAUUGUAAAUUAUUUAAAAAUAAUUAAUUCUUAUAUAUUAAUUAAUGUAAUAUAAUCGCAUAAUGUAAUAUUUUAUAAUAUUAUUAGAUAAUAUAAUAUUAAAUUACAAAUUUAUUUUUAUCCAAAAACACAAAAAGAAGAAGUAGAAGUAAUGAGGCAUUUUGCCGUAUUAGCCAAACCCUAUAUAUACAAUGCACCACAAUACAGUAGCUGUCGUAGGCAAAUAUGAGACUGUACUACAUAAUGCUAUGCAUCUCAUGUUAUGAGAGGUGCUAAACGCACCCUUAAAGCAAAAACCGCAAGAGAAGAUUCUAACUCCAAACAAAUAUUUUUUUUUCCAUGUUACUGAUAUGAAUUGUAUAUUUAUCCAAUUAAAAUCUCAUAACUUUUAGAAUUUAACUCAAAAACAAGAAAUCACUCAUAAUUGGAUUAUAAAUCACUUUCCCUUCUGAUGUACUAUAACAAUUUGUUUAAAAAGUUCUUACAAAAUUUUAAUUGUUAUAGGUGAUUUAUGUAAUUCUAAGAGGAAAAUCUUCAAAAAGCAACAAAAAAAACUAUUAAGACAAAGUGCCACUAAAGUAUUGGCUAAUGGUAGAUUCAUGUCCUCUAUAAUUUGAGUGUUGAGCAUUCAAUAAAAUUUUCUCCAACAAAUGAUAAUAGUCUCAAUCAAGCAUUAGUCAAAAAUUUAUAUUAUUAAUUCAAGUCCUAUUAGGUAUUGAAAUUGAAUAUUGAAAUUGGACUCCUAUAAUUUCACAGUAUUCAAAUGUUUGAUAAAUACUAACUGCUGUAUUUUGAAAACUACGAUAAUUUAAUCUAUUAUUUAUAUAACUAAAAAUUAUAAUACAUUUACUUUUUUUGUAAAUUAUUAUUUACAAAUUAUAUUUACUAUAUAAUAUUAAUUUUUAUUUAAUAAUUAUAAUUUUUUCACAACAACUGUAACUUUUAAACUACAAUAUCUCUAUAUUCCAAACACGACCACCAUAACUAUUCUGGACCAACUUCGGAUAAUAUCCACAACAAUUACAAAAAAAAAAAGAAAACAAUAAUCAGCACGUGGUGGCCCAACUCUAUCUAUUGGACAAUUAGACUAAUUGGCUCUGCCUUCCCUUGCUUGCGUUCGCCACCUUCUACAUCUACAAAAUACCAAAAUGUCCUUUUGCAACGUGUCACUCCAAUGCUCCAACAGCCGACACUUCAUUUACCGGGGACCCACCGUAUACCGUUGCCGUUGAAUUUCAAAGACCCAUCACAUUAAAUUCUUCACUUGCAUUUGACGAUCAACGGUCGACAUUUCACAGUGCUGAUUUCUCCUUGGCGGACACUCUCCAGUCUCCUCUCCUCUACUUCGUCGUUUUGAAACUCCUUUUAAAGUGCUCAAACGAAAUUCAUCACUCUUCAGUUUUCACUUCUCCAGUUCUCCUCAUGGAUUGUCUCAAUCUCUUCUUGCUCUUUACUUUCACGUUCGCAUGCUCCAGUAUUAUUUCCACCCGUGCUGACCUCCCCGGCACGUGGGAACUCGUGCUCGCUGACGCGGGGAUUUCCUCCAUGCACACAGCAGUAACCCGCUUCAACACUGUCGUCCUUCUAGACCGUACCAACAUCGGGCCAUCCCGCAAAAUGCUAGGCAGAGGCCGCUGUCGUUUGGACAGAAACGACCGCGCUCUCAAACGCGACUGCUAUGCCCACUCAGCCAUCCUCGACUUACAAACCAAUCAAAUCCGUCCCUUAAUGAUCCUCACCGAUACCUGGUGCUCAUCGGGUCAGAUUUUAGCCGACGGAACGGUGUUACAAACCGGUGGUGACUUGGACGGAUAUAAGAAGAUCCGAAAGUUCAGCCCGUGCGAAGCAACCGGGUUGUGUGAUUGGGUUGAGCUUGAUGACGUGGAGUUAGUCAACGGCAGGUGGUACGGUACGGACCAGAUAUUACCGGACGGUUCGGUGAUUAUUCUUGGAGGUAAAGGAGCCAACACAGUCGAGUAUUAUCCUCCGAGAAACGGUGCCGUUUCAUUCCCGUUUCUCGCUGACGUCGAGGAUAAGCAGAUGGACAAUUUGUACCCGUACGUUCAUCUCCUUCCUAACGGCCACCUUUUCAUUUUCGCUAACGACAAGGCAGUGAUGUAUGACUACGAGACAAAUAAAAUAGCAAGAGAGUAUCCACCGUUGGAUGGUGGCCCGCGUAAUUAUCCAUCGGCUGGAUCAUCAGCAAUGUUAGCUCUCGAAGGGGACUUCUCGACGGCUGUGAUUGUCGUCUGCGGUGGGGCCCAGUUUGGAGCAUUUAUCCAGAGAAGCACCGACACCCCCGCGCAUGGUAGUUGCGGUAGAAUAAUUGCCACGUCAGCUGACCCGACUUGGGAAAUGGAGGACAUGCCAUUCGGGCGGAUCAUGGGUGACAUGGUUAUGCUCCCAACGGGCGACGUUUUGAUCAUAAACGGAGCUCAAGCUGGGACUCAAGGAUUUGAAAUGGCUUCGAAUCCAUGCUUGUUUCCAGUUCUUUAUCGACCGACUCAACCCGCUGGAUUACGGUUCAUGACUUUGAACCCGGGUACCAUACCCAGAAUGUAUCACUCCACUGCUAACCUGUUACCGGACGGGCGGGUAUUGAUAGCUGGAAGCAAUCCCCAUUAUUUUUAUAAAUUUAACGCAGAAUUUCCAACUGAACUACGGAUCGAAGCGUUUUCUCCCGAGUAUUUAUCAUCGGAUCGGGCAAACCUCCGACCCGUUAUCGAGGAAAUCCCCGAAACGGUACGUUAUGGUGAGGCUUUCGAUGUGUUUGUAACGGUACCAUUGCCCGUGGUGGGAAUUUUGGAGGUCAAUUUGGGAAACGCGCCAUUUGCUACGCAUUCGUUUCAACAAGGUCAAAGAUUGGUCAAACUAACCGUGACGCCUUCGGUACCCGACGCAAAUGGGAGGUACCGGGUCGGCUGUACAGCGCCUCCAAACGGUGCCGUUGCUCCACCUGGUUAUUACAUGGCUUUUGUAGUUAAUCAAGGCGUGCCGAGUGUGGCACGGUGGGUGCAUUUAAUUGCUUGAUUAAUUUAAUUUUGUAUGUAAGGACUAAGAUUUCCAUUUUUUUAUUUAAGACCCUGUGAUGACCAAAUAUAUAAAAGUUUCUGAGUUAAUUGUUGAUAAGACAAAAAUUAUUGGGAAUAAAGGGAAAACUUUACCAUGAGAAGAUGUUCAAAUAUUUAUUUUAACUUUAGAAUGAAGUGCUCAUUUUGCCCAAAAUUAGUGUAAUAUAUAUCAGAAUUGCAAAAUCAUUUCAACAGAAGAAAUAAUAUUUAGUGGCAUAUGCUGAAUAAAGAGAAGAAGGAGAAGAUUGAAUGGAUGCAUACAAGUCAAGUGGGCAUAAGAUAUAAUUUGCCACUCUAGCUAUGGAUUCCUUUGGGGCCCCCCAUUGUCACUUUUAGAUGAGCAUGAUCCGAACUAAAAUUGAUUGAAAGUAAUGGCGCACAUAAGCUUCCAUUAACAAUAGCAGGAAUGUUGCUUUCAUACGUACAUCCGCCUUGGCCGUACAGCAGAGAGAUAUGAUGUUAAAUAUAUGAAAAGCCGUCUUCAAGUUUUUUUAUAUUAGAUCAAAUUAAAACAUCAAUUUUUAUAAAGUUUGCACACAUCAGCAUCACACGGCCUUUAGUUUGGCAAAAUCAGGACAUUUUCUUGUGAGCCAAACCCACUUAAAUAUAUAAAAAUGUUAGCAGAGUAAAACAAUUAAUUAGUAGACUACAGCAAAUGGAAAUUUAGUUAAUUUUUGGGUUUAGGCUUGCAGAACUUUGAUGUCAUGUGUGUGAAAUUUCUCGUUGCAAUCAAGAUAGAGUUACAGGAACUAUAAAUUACAAAUUGAAAGAGUGGUCUCCAAGUUACAAGUAGGGAUGAUAAUUGGCAGUUUGCCAUUAUCAAACUCAAAUCCGUACAAAAUUUAAAUUAUUAAACAGACCCGCAACCCGCAGCGGGUUUUAAUUUCUUUAAGAAAACAUAUUCGUUGCGGAUUUUGACAAUUACCAAACUUGCAAUAGUAUCCGAUGAGUUUUUUGCGGGUUUGUACACUUAAAAUUACAAAUAUUCAAUAUAUAAAUUUACAAUAAUAAUCUCAAAUUCCACAUAAUAUACUCAAUUUUAAAUUUAACCAAUGUAAAUGGAAAAUUAAAAUUUCAACAUCAAUCCAAAACAAACUCUCAAAUUUAAGUAUAAAAUACACAAAUCCAUUAAAAAAAACUACAAACUAGUAUCUAAAAAUAACAAUUACAUUUCAUAUUAUUGCUCUUAUUUUAACUUUAGAAUGAAGUGCUCAUUUUGCCCAAAAUUAGUGUAAUAUAUAUCAGAAUUGCAAAAUCAUUUCAACAGAAGAAAUAAUAUUUAGUGGCAUAUGCUGAAUAAAGAGAAGAAGGAGAAGAUUGAAUGGAUGCAUACAAGUCAAGUGGGCAUAAGAUAUAAUUUGCCACUCUAGCUAUGGAUUCCUUUGGGGCCCCCCAUUGUCACUUUUAGAUGAGCAUGAUCCGAACUAAAAUUGAUUGAAAGUAAUGGCGCACAUAAGCUUCCAUUAACAAUAGCAGGAAUGUUGCUUUCAUAUAUAUAUAAUUCUUCUAUAUAUAUAUAUAUAUAUAUAUAGAUAGAGAGAGAGAGAUAUGAUGUUAAAUAUAUGAAAAGCCGUCUUCAAGUUUUUUUAUAUUAGAUCAAAUUAAAACAUCAAUUUUUAUAAAGUUUGCACACAUCAGCAUCACACGGCCUUUAGUUUGGCAAAAUCAGGACAUUUUCUUGUGAGCCAAACCCACUUAAAUAUAUAAAAAUGUUAGCAGAGUAAAACAAUUAAUUAGUAGACUACAGCAAAUGGAAAUUUAGUUAAUUUUUGGGUUUAGGCUUGCAGAACUUUGAUGUCAUGUGUGUGAAAUUUCUCGUUGCAAUCAAGAUAGAGUUACAGGAACUAUAAAUUACAAAUUGAAAGAGUGGUCUCCAAGUUACAAGUAGGGAUGAUAAUUGGCAGUUUGCCAUUAUCAAACUCAAAUCCGUACAAAAUUUAAAUUAUUAAACAGACCCGCAACCCGCAGCGGGUUUUAAUUUCUUUAAGAAAACAUAUUCGUUGCGGAUUUUGACAAUUACCAAACUUGCAAUAGUAUCCGAUGAGUUUUUUGCGGGUUUGUACACUUAAAAUUACAAAUAUUCAAUAUAUAAAUUUACAAUAAUAAUCUCAAAUUCCACAUAAUAUACUCAAUUUUAAAUUUAACCAAUGUAAAUGGAAAAUUAAAAUUUCAACAUCAAUCCAAAACAAACUCUCAAAUUUAAGUAUAAAAUACACAAAUCCAUUAAAAAAAACUACAAACUAGUAUCUAAAAAUAACAAUUACAUUUCAUAUUAUUGCUCAACACAAGCUCCAAGAGAAGAUCUUCAUUUCAUUCACUAUUAUUAGCACCCAUCCAACCCGAUGCCCACAAUAAUGAUUAAGAUUAACAUUUUUCAAAGAAAUAAUACUUUUCAAAUAUUAAUCUAAAGAAAAAAUUAUAAUAAUGAAAUAAUUCAUGCAUUAAGUUAAAGAAAAAUAGUCCAUACAAAAACACUUUGAUUAUUUGGCACUUUGCAUAAUUGCAUUAUUUUCCUUAUAUAUUUUUUAGAUUUAAAAUUUUUCAAGUAAAAUUAAAUUUAAAAUAUUAAAAAAAAUUACUGGUCUAGCGGAUAUCCAUACAGGUAUCCACCGAAUAUUGAACUAAUGUUAAACCCACCCGUAUCUAAGUGCGUGUUUCAAUUUGUAAUAUCAAACCCGCCCGCAACCCAUAAAAUUAUCUACACUUGAUGGAUUUUUACGGACAAGUUUGGACGGGUUUACAGGCACAAUUGCUAUCCCUAGUUACAAGGGAUGGAUCAAGCUGCCAUUCAUAUUUUUGAACGAAGAUAGGUUACAUUGAUGGUUUGUGACCGGACCAAGUUUGUUGACUUGCAGAUUUGUAUUGAGGAGAUCAUGUGCUUGGCCUUGAGCGCAAUUACUUAACAAACUCUAUGGACAUUUUAGAAGGCUUUACAUCGACCAAAAACCAAAAAUAACAAGCCCAGCACGGGACAGUGGGCUUAGCCUAUUCACAAUAAAUACUAAUGUUAAGACAUAUUACAUGCAAUAUUUGAAAUUUUAAAAUAUGAAAAAGUCUAAAAAAAUACAUAAAUCAUACGAUUUAUGGUUUUAAGUUUUAACCCUCUUAAACCCUACAAUUUUAAUGUUUUCCUGUACUUUCCCACACUUUAAAAUCUUGAACUAGAAAACUAUUAUAUAUAACAAAGAUCAAGUCAUCUGCAGCAUGCGUGAAAAUUAAAAUUUGAAAUGCUAGAUGUAAUAUCACUAAAAAAUAAUGAUUCAUCAUGUCUAAAGUGAAAUUUUAAAAUAGUUAUUUUUUAUUAAAAUAAUAGAACAACACUAUUAAUAUUUUUUUUUUAAUUUUUUGCAAAGUACAAAAUUUUCUUUAUUUUUUUUUUAAGUGUAAUUCGGGACAAACUGGCUAUUUUUUAUUUUAUUUUGGUUUAGAUAAUGGUCUUUGAAUUUUCAAUUUUUAUAAAUAGCUUUUCUAUCCCCUUAUAUUAAUAUUAUGAAAAUAAUAAUAAUUCGAAUAAAAUUUAUACAAUUUUUACAUUAUUGGACUAAAAUUUAGGAUCAACUUAAUGAGAGUCCAAGUGGUGAUUUUUACUCAAAUAUAUAAAUAACUUAUUUUUACUUUGGAGAAAACAAACAUGCAAAAAUAUAUGAAUAAUUGAAAUAGCUAAUUAUUUUAUUUAAUUGUUAAAAUAGAAGCGAUCUCUAUAAUUUCAUUAAAAUCGUGCAGAUUUCAACGUUGUAGAUGACAUGUCGUUGUCCAACAAAAAAAAGUGUAUGUCAUGCCGUCUACUGUUAGUUGUAAGAAUGACUUGUCUUUUUGUUCCAGAAUCCAAAUAUGACUAGUAAGGAGCAUGCGCCAACACAUACUGUUACGCUUGGUUGUUUAUGAAAUUGGAGCGGAUGUCAUCUCAUUUCUUAACACAUGACAAACUCGACUUGGCAUCCGGGUAAGAAAAUGACAAAUGCCCAAUCAUCUUAAGCAUGCUUGCAACUUAAAACUUAAAUAUUGGACGUAAUGUCCUUGAAAAUAAACGACUUGUUAUAUCUAAAGUGAAAUUUUAAAAUAGUUAUUAUUUUAUAAGAAAAUUAAUGUUGAAGGUGUUUUUUUCUCAAAUUUUUGCAAAGUGUUAAUUUUUUUAAUUUUUUUUAAGUGCAAUUGGGGAUAAAUUGGCUACCUUUGAUUUUAUUUUGGGUUUACACUCUCCAUCCACAUAUAUUUAAACUAUAAAACAUAAAUAUUUCAAAUAAAAUAUAUUACAUAUAACAUGUAUAAUUUUUACAUUAUUCGACCAAAUUUAGAAUGAGCUUAAUGAGAGGUUGAGAAAUGAUUUUCCUAUAUAAGGCCCAAAGUGUGUGUGUGUAAAUGAGAAAGAGUAAGGAGUUUAUAUACACAUUCAACAUGGUAUAUAUUCCCUUUAGUUUCAAGUUAAAGUUUUCCCUUUAAUUUUUACUUAAAUAUACAAAUAACUUAAUUAUCAAUCUUGGAGAAAACAAACAAACAAAAAACGAUUAAGAUCAUGCAGAAUUUAAUGAUGUAGAUGAUAUAUCGUUGACCAAUAAAACAACAGUAUGUUAUGUCGUUUGUCUGCUAUUUAAAACACGCACAUGUUUUUCUCCAGAGCCCAAACAAUAGAAGGCAACUAUUAUACGCCAGCGCAUACUGUUUAGGGUUUGUCAUUUAUAAAAUUUAAGUGGAUGCUAUGUCGUUUGUUUGUGAAUUAAUGAUCUGACGUGUUGUCCGAACAAGCAAAUGACAAACGACUAGUCAUCUUUAGCAUGCUUGCAAAUUAAAAAUUAAAAUAUUGGAUGUAAUGUCGUUAAAUAAUAGAUGACUUAUCAUGUCUAUAGUGAAUUUUUAAAAUAUUCAUUUUUUAUUUAAAAAAUAGAAAAUAAUGUUGAAGGUACUUUUUUUUUCAAUUAUUUUUUUGCAAAGUGUACUUUUUUUUAAAGUGCACUUCAGAACAAAUUUGCUACUUUUGAUUUUAUUUUAGUUUAGCAAAUUGUCUUUCCAUUUUUAAUUUUAUAAAUGGUCUUUCCAUCGACAUAUAUUAAUAUCAUGCAAAAAAUAAAUAUUUCAAAUAAAAUGUUUACCUAUAACACGAACAAUUUUUAAAUUAUUAGACCAGAUUUAUAAUGAGCCUACUGAGAAAUCAAUAGAUGAUUUUCUUAUAGAAGGCCCAAAUUUUGUGUGUGUGUGUGUCUNNNNNNNNNNNNNNNNNNNNNNNNNNNNNNNNNNNNNNNNNNNNNNNNNNNNNNNACAGCAGAUAUAUAUAUAUAUGAAAAAGAGUACAUAUAUGUAUAUAUUAGGGAUGGAAAAAAUCGGGUCUAGGUCCGGGUUCAACCUUUCCAGUUUCGAACCUGUAUACCAAUUUGUCUUAUGGGGUAUGGAUUAAAACCCAGAUUUUUUAAUUGCAGGUUUGGAGCGGGUUCAACCCGGAAAAAGUCCGGGUUCCCAAAUUCCAGAUUUUAAACUUGGGUUGUUGGGUGAAGGGAGGAAGAUGAAUUCUCCAAGCAUGACACUUUUGGCUCUUUAGAAUUUGCAGAAAUAGUAAAAGGUAGAACAAAUGUAUGAGAUCUUAACUAAAUUUACUUACAUCAAUAAUAAAGUUUACAAUUAUAUCGAUAUUAUGUGUUUAAAUUUUGUAUUUGUCUAUUCACAACAACAACAAAAACUUUAAUAAUUACCAAAGUACCGACGAAAAAAGGUUAGCGGUUUCUUUGAGAUGUCGGCUGAGGCACUGGCGAGUCUAGGAGACAGCAGCUACGAGAGCGACAAGCAGUGUCCGAGAUCCAACAUCCACGAAGAAGAUAGGUACCUUCCGAUCCCUUGGUUGAUGACGAUGAAUGAUGAACAGUGGCAGAGCUUGGUUGUUACUCUUGAUGAUUUAAAUUGAUGUUGAGGAUGAUAUAAAUUGUUGCUGCUCUUGAUGAUGAAUUGACGAUGAUGGAUGGAUGAUGAAUUCAUGUUGAGGAUAAGGAAGAUUGGGGUGGCGGCUGGUGUAGGGCCUUAGGGUUUGUUCUGUGUUUUUAUUUUUGUUUUUUUGUAACUUUUUGCUUUAUAUUUAUAUUUAAUAAUGAAAAUUAAUUAAUUAUAAACUACUGCAGUCUUGGUUCGGGUUUCGGAUAUCCAGAUUUAGCUGAACCUGAAACCGGACCUAGAUACAUCGAGGUUUUAAAAAAUGCAUCCGAAUUUUGCAUUUUUUUUUAUACAUUUGGGUUUAUCCAAGUCUAGGCCGGGUCCGAAAAAAUUUGCCAUCUCUAGUAUAUAUUCAUUCAACAUAAUAUAUAUUCAUACUUAAGCAUGAUUUUCAAGUUAAAGUUUUUCCCUUAGUUUUUACUCAAAUAGACAAGUAACCUAGUUUCAGUAUUGGAGAAAACAAACACGCAAAAUAUAUGAAUUAUUGAAAUAUUUAAUUAUUUUAUUUAAUUGUUAAAAUAGAAACGAUCACUUUAAUUUAGAAUGAGCCUAAUGAGAGUCUAAGAGAUGAUUUUACUAUAUAAUGCCCAAGGAGCAUAUAUGAGUGUGUGCACUUCUCUCUCUCUCUCUCUCUCUCUCUCUCUCUCUAUAUAUAUAUAUAUAUAUAUAUAUAUACACACACACACGCGUGCACGUGUGUUUUGUGUAGGAGCGUGUGUGUAAUGCCCAAUACAAAUUGGAACUUAAACCCAAAAAAAAAACCCACUGUUUGGAUUUGUUCUCAUUCGUGUUACAAUUCAAGUUAACUUUUGGACUUUAGUGUAUAUUUACUUACUGGAGUAAGAGUGGAGAGUAUAGAGUGCUCUCGCUGCAGUGUUUCCAUGUUUACUUAAGGGUGAAAAUGAGAAUCCUACUUUGUGAGUCCCACCCACUUUUAGAGUGAGGAGUGGGAUUCCUACUUCCAUUGGGGAGGUGACAGUGAGAAUUCACUUCCGCCUAUUCUUUUUUUACCCUUCCCUUUAAACAUGACUAUUCUUUUUUUACAAUUCCCUAAUUAAAUACAAUAUAAUUAUAUUUAUUAAAAUAAAAUAAUGUUAUAUUUAUUUAAAACCAGAAUAUUAAUAAUUAAUAAUAAUAAAUAGUUAAUUCUAAGAAAGUAUUAAUUUUAUGCUAUAUUGUUUAUAAUAAUAUCUCAUUCAUGUUGCUCUUAUCAGUAAUUUUUAAUUUACAUAAUUAAAAUUAAAAUUAAUAAAAAAAUUAUGAUUUACAUAAUUAAGAAUAUUAAUAAUAAUUAUUAACUUUUAUGACUAAAAUUAGUAAUAAAAUAAAUGGUUUAUUUUAAAUAUAUAUUUUUUGUUCACUUUUUAAUUAAGAACUACAAUUCUUUAUAUAAGAGUAAACAUGUAAUUUGAAACAAUUUAUUUCUAAUUCAAGAUAAAGUAAAUACAUAAUAAGAUUCUGACUCCUAUUCCACACUCACAUUCUAAUGUAAGUAGAUAGCAUAUUCCUUCUUCCACUUAACAUUCUCAAUCCUAUUAUUCACACUGCUUAUGAUUCCCAAUCCAAUUUGAAAAAUAAACACUAUCUUAUUUCCAUUUUCAAUUGACUCAAUUAGAUUUAAAUAUGCCAACCUUGUUUUAUUUAUAUCAAUGAGUAGAACUUCCUAAGUUAAAUGUGUGAUAUUGUGAUUCAAAUUUCAACUUAAAAAACGUAUUAGAUCUACUUUCAAAUAUUUAAAAAGAAAAUAUCAAUAUUCACAAAUACAAAUAAAAGACUCAAACUCCUUUUUAUAUGCUUGAAAACACGGUGAUUUACCUUUCAGUUAUUAAAUAAUUGCUAAUAGUUACUACCAAUUAAUGGGGCAUUUUCGGCCACAUCCAAGUUAAUAUCCAGAAUUAUAAUCAUACAAUAUUUAAGUAUUGAUUUGCAAUAGAGAGCAAAUUAAUACUCAUAGGUGGAUGUGAUUAAAACCCUUCGAAGAUAUAUAUUUUUUCACAAUGAAACUUCUAUGAAAUUUGAGACUUAUAAAUCUAUUUAAAUUUGGACAAAAAUGAAAUGGAUGCCGCGAAUAUUAGUCUAUAUUAACAUAUAAAAUUAAGCAUACAUCAAAGAGAUUAUCAUGCGCUACAACUUGAUUCACACGUGCUUGAAUGCUAAAUAAGUUAAAAAUAUGAACUAUUUUUAGCAGCCAUGCUUAUUGGUUAUGCAUAAGAGUACAUGAACAGAUAUAUAUAUAUAUAUAUAUAUAUAUAUAUUAAACAUGUGACCGUGACCGAUCACCUUGGUAGCAAUCAGCCACAGCCACACUCCUUUGCACAUUCUUGUAAGAAUACCGUCGAGCCACAACCACAUAGACGAACAAAUUGGCCGCAACCAGGGCUGCUAGUAGCCAAUAGAAUUUGUCUAAGCGGCUGCUGUUCAUAUCUUUCCCAAACCAACUGCGCCCACUCUUGUCGGUAACAUGAUCAACAACUGUUAUCAGAAAGCUGCUAAGGAAAUUCGCUGCUCCAAUGACACUGAGGUAGAAAGCUAUGCCUAGGCUUCUCAUGGAAUCAGGCACUUGGUCGUAAAAAUACUCUUGCAAGCCCACAAGAGCAAACCCAUCGGCAACUCCGCUGAUGAUGGAUUGCGGAGCCAACCAAAAGACACUCAUUGACAGUGAACCCUUUGUCGGGUUUUCCUCGACGACUCCGAGUCUCUUUUCCUCGACCAAGGCCGCGACGACCAUCGUAGCAAUUGAGAAAAGCAUUCCAAUGCCGAUUCUCUGGAGGAUUUGGAUUCCUCUUUCAUUUCCGGUUGCUCUUCUUAAUACUGGUACUAGGAUUUUUUCGUAAAACGUGACGGAAAUGAUCAUUCCGACGGCAGUCAGCCCGAAAACGGAGGCCGGGGGGAUUAGGAAUCCGUUGCCAAUUUCUCUAUUCAUAGUGGUGGCCUGUUUGAUGAAAAAUGUUGUGGAUUGUGCUACACUAAUUCCAAAUGGUAAGCUAGCUAGCCAAACGGGAAUCACGUUGAGCACGAGCUUCAUUUCCUCGACUUUGGUCACGUUUGCAAUUCGCCAGGGACUUUGUUGAUCGACAGGAGUUUCGUAGUCUUCAAGAAUGGCAGCUUUAUCAAGAAAUCUGCAAGUUUAAUUUGGUACUUGAUCUGAUUAGGAUGAGAAAAUUCACAAACUGCAAUUCAAGCUGAGUAGAGAAUUAUUGAUCCAUCAAAACAUGCUUACUCGAGGUUCUUGGUGUGACACAAGAGCCUCCCCUUGGCUACUACCUUUGGAUACUCAAACAAUUGAUCAGGAUCUGAAGGAUGAGGCAGGUUUCUUUUGGCAAUAGCGGCGACUAGCACUUGAAGCAUUGGCGUUAAGGGGCUUCCUUUAGGCACCCUGUAACGAUAAAAUGGCCUUCCAAUGAUGAAUAUGAGUAGCGAGACAGCCAUAACUAUUGUGAUGAUAACAUCUGCUGCACCCCAGCUUACAUGUUCUUGCACGUAAACGACUACAGUCACACCAAGUAAAAGUCCAGAGCAAAGGCCAGAAUUCCACCAGUUAAAGAAGGACAUUUUCUUCUUCCUUUCUUCGGCAUGAUCAUCGUCAAAUUGGUCUGCUCCGAAGCUCUCUAAAGAGGGUUUGUGGCCCCCAGUUCCGAUGGAGAUUAAGUAUAUGGCAAGAAAGAAGACCACUUCAUGAACUUUCCUGGGCUCGAGGCACAUAUCGGCAUGGCAAGCCCUUAAGCUUGGCACGAACCAGGACAUUGUUAAGAGACCUAACCCCUGUUUUUAAACAUCAGAGAAAUAUGGUUAAGAGUAACAUAACCAAUGGUUUAAUAAAACAUAACCAAUGGUUUAAUAAAAAAUUGUCUCAACGAAGUUUACGAAAUUAAUUAAGGUGAAGUCUGGUUUGUUUCACUGGAGCCUAUUGUGUCAUGGUCAUAAUUUUUUUUUCUUUUUUGAGUUAUGGGUGAAAAUGUAAAUAUGUAACAGGGGUUUGAGUAGAUUUUUAAAGAGGUGCCAAUAGUUCAACUCUCAAUUAAAACCAAUGAGCAGGGAAUCACCAAGAGGUAGACGAUGGAUGAGACAAGAACAGUCCAGAAUCUGCCCAAGUAAGCAUCGGCUAUGAAUCCCCCAAGUAAUGGCAUAAGUGUAGUCACACCGGACCAGCAAUUGACACUCUUUGCUGCUGUCUUCAAGUCUUGAUGAAUCACUUUAGUAAGGUAAAGGAUAAGGCUUGUUGCUAUUCCAAAGUAACUCAGCCUCUCACCGAACUCGAUUGCUGCUCAAAUCCAAAACUCAAUACAGUUAAAAAAAUGACAAUUGUAAAUAUAUACUACAACAUUAAUUUUAAAAGAAAUUACAUUAAAAAAAAUACUAAAGCACUACAAAUUUUUGUCUCCCAAGUUUUGUGGCUUCAAAAGAACAAAAUAAUUUUCUACUUUUUGCUGACAUUUUGGACCUUUGGGGGCUGUUGGGCACGUAUCUGUAUAGCCAUUGGAGGAUCAUUAUUUACGUUAGACAGUUGUAGGCCCUUAAACGUCAACAGAGAAAUACUUGUGAAGGGGAAGUAACUGACGGUGGAGAAAAUCUUCCCUUUAACUUUUCUUUUUAUGACUACGGACGACAAAGUCGAUGAAGGAAUAUAAUCAUUAAUUUGAACAAAUAGAGACUAAGGUUACAAAUUGGACUAGGCUAAAGAUUUAGCUCCCCAUUUCGAGUAUAUAUGCCUUGAUUCGAAUUCUCAAGAAAAGAAAUAUUUUAUGUACCAUUUAUUUAUCGAAAUGCAACUAUAUAGUAAACCCAACUCAUAAAAGAUUGAUCCACUACAUAGAGUUAAUUCAAUCCACAUGCAGCCUGUUGACUCUUAAUGGGAUUUUUUACUUUCUGUAGAAUGGGACAUAAAGGUAGAUAGGGUAGGGCUAUUUAAAUGGAGCAGAAAUCACAAACUAAGUGAUGAAAUGACACCUCCGGCCCCCAUUUUUCCCACUCAGUUGAUAUUAUUUACUAACGUAUGGCUAAUAAUGUUUUACACUUGAUACCAUUCUCAUUCUCAUGACCCACAAAUGUUUAGUGAUCGUACGGUAAUAAGAAUAUUGAUACACAGACACGAUACUUUAUUCCCUAAAGAACACCCAAAAAAAAAGAACUUAAUCAAUCAAUGUUUAUUUUAUAAUCUCAUGACAAUUCAAUGAUAUACCCCUAUAACAAAUCUUAAUUAGUGGCUAACAGAAAAUUAAUAGAUUCUCUUCUCAGAUUACUUUAUUUAGGAUUAAUUUUUGUUUAUGACACAUGCAAGGAUUAGAAUAUGAAACUGUGAAAGUAAAAUCUGGGAAUAGGGUUUCCAAGCCCUCCUUACACCUCUGGUGUUUACAGGCUUUUGUUAAUAGUUUGAGAUUGGAGCAAGAAAGAUAAAAAGAAAAUGAACCACGCACCAAUAUCCAAAGAUAUAGUUAUUAUCUGGUGCAGACAUUCACACUUUAUAAGUUGUAAACUGGCACCUUUACAGUAUAAUGAAGGGUUUUUUUACAUGCUUUUAAUUUAUAAUGUUGUAAAGACUUUUAUACUGCUAUAUAGUGGUGUGAGUUUAAACUUUAUAAAAAUACAGACAUCUUGAAGGACUCCCAAGAUAAUAGGAAUGGCACAUUUAUGAUUUUUUUUUUGAGGCAUGAUGUUACUUGAGAAUAUGAGGAUCACUAGUUUAAAAAUUCAAAUAAUUAAAUUGUGUGUGUGUGUGUGUUUGUGUCUAUAUAUAUAUAUAUAUAUAUAAUCUUGUCUUGAAGAGAAUUAAGAAAAGGAAGGAAAAAAGAAGGUAAAAAAAGAAAAAGAAAAAGAAAAAGGAUUAAUUCUAUACGUGAGAGAUAGCUAUCCAUGCGCAGAGGAGCUAGCAUUCAGAAAAACUAAGAGAAGCAGCAGAAUUGAUGGCAUCGAAAACCUUGUGAAAGCCUAAAGCACUUUUUAUAUUAUUAACUGAAAAUCUAACAGGACAAUUUCUAAUUCACUUUCUUGGCAAUCAAACCAACUAAAUGAAGCAUAAAGAAUAAAUAAAGUAGAUAUUGUUGAUGAUAGUAAUAGCUAGUGCUUAUUCCAUACCGAUAAUAAAGAGGGAAGCUUUCCAAACUCCAGUUGAAGAACGAAAAGGAACCCUCCCUUUAUGAUCCACAGAGGAAUCAAAAACCCAUUUCUCUUGAUCAUCAACAAGAUCUCCAUUUUUUCCUGCUGCUGCUGCCACCUUUUUUGGCUCCAUCUUCAAUUUGCUAGCUAACUCAGAAACAAAUACUUACUAUAAAUUAUUAACUUCUUAAGCAAAGAGAAAAUAAUAAGAAGAAGAAGGAAUUGUUGGUUGUUGUGGUGAUGGCACUCCUUCGCUUUGUACCUGCUUAUAUAGGCAGAGAAGUAAGUGGAGUUGCUUUUGACUCACUGUCGUACUCAGUUUGGAUUGUUCUAUUUUCUAAAUUUUAAAGAACUAGUGAAACAUCUUCUAUUAAAAAAAGAAGUAAUGAAACAAAAAAAUAGAUUACUAGGUAAAUGGUAUAUAUGAUGUCAAUGAAAAUUUUUUCCUGGAAUAAUAAUUGUUAUGAGAGAAUAUUUUCAACAAGUCCACUAGUUUACGAAAGUGUAACAGGCUAACAGCUGUGUUGUUAUCAUCAAUUAGAUUUGAAGCAAAUGUCUAGCAUCAAUAGAGAGGAGCAGCAAUCCUACGAUUCAGGUUAUGGGUUUGAACUUCAAUGAGUGAGUGUGCUAUUAAUAAAAAAAAAAUUAAAAAAAAAAAUCAUCAAUUGGAUUGAGAUGUUUGAUUAAAGAUACUAUUAAAUGGAUUGAGAUAUUUGAUCUGUAAUCAGUUUUUAUUCCAUGUCUAAAUUUAUGUUUUCUCAGACCUCUAAAUUCUUAAUUUUCCUUUAUAUUCUUAUAGUUAUUAUGUUUUCCCACCAGUGUAAUUAGGUGGAACCAGGAUUAAUUUUGAUUUGGGGGUUGACGAAAUGCAUAAAAAAGUAUUGCAACAACAAUAAAAGAAUGCUAUUCAAACCUUAAAUUAAUGAAAAUAAAAUAUAAUUUUCUAUUAUACUAUUUAACUCAAUUAUAGAUGAAAAGUGAACUUUACAUCUUUUUAUUCUAUAUGUUCUUGAACCUUAAGGUACAGCUGGUGGCUGUCGCCCUUGUGGGAGAGAAUAAAAGAAUUAGGAAGAAAGUAGAAUGGUUCUUUUAGUUGUGUUAUGUGAAAUAAACUUAAAAAAAUAAAUCGAAUAUGAAGACGCCAAUUUCUAGUCUUGGGAACUUGAGGUACAGUUAUGCCACUUUGAUGGGAGAGGCAAAAAUUAAAUAAUUUAGAGUUUAUAUAAAUAAAAGAAAAAUAAUAAGUAGAAGGGAUAUUUAUGUGUUUUCAAAGUUUAGGAGUUUCCAGCUAUUAACAUUUUUCUCAAAUUUUACUUUUUACUUAAUAUUUUCAAAUUUUCCAUAGUAUUAAAAGAAAUUUUCUAAAAUUUUGGAGGUUGUCUAGGCAUGAAACUAGUUACACCACUUAUCAUAUUGUAACACAAUACAAAGUGUAAGAUAAUUAAGGUCUUGUAUGCAUGAUAAAUUACAAGACAAAAAUGUGUAUGCAUUAAAGUGUGUAAGAUAGAGACUUAUAUAUAAAUGAUCGAAAGUAAGACGUAGACUUGUAUGCAUGACAGAGUGUUAGACAAAGACUUACAUACACUCUAUUAGACGAGUUAAGAGAUUGAAAUUAAAAUUUUAAUAAUUAUGAUAUAAAGUUACUUUUAAUUAUCUUUUUACACGAUUGUGGUCCAAAUAAAUGAAGUUGGUCAAGGAGGUUAAGACUCAUGACUUAUGAAAAGAGCUGGAAGAGUCUUCCUUUGCCAAAUACUACACUACAUAAAUAUUUUUUAACUUGAGCGCUUUUUAAUUUUUAAAAAUGUCGUGUUACCGACAUAUUUAUAUAUAGUGUAAAAAUAAGCAGUUGAAAUUAAUUUCAAUCAAUUUUAUAUUUUUAUCUAACAUUACUAGUCACAAAUUUAGAUUCUCUUAUAUAUUCAGGAAAAACUCAUGGGAUGAUUGCUGUCCAUUUUUAAGAUGAAAAACGGCAUCCGUCCUAAAAUUGGAUCGACUUUUAUUUUUAAUGGGGACCAAAAACAACGUAAAUAUAUAUAUAUAUAUAUAUCUGCUGUACCGUNNNNNNNNNNNNNNNNNNNNNNNNNNNNNNNNNNNNNNNNNNNGACUGCUGUACCGUACAUCCGCCUUGGCCGUACAGCAGAUUGCCCCGGGCACUCACCAAAAAGGCUCUCAGUGCUUUUUAACAUUAGAAAUUUUGUUCAGAGAUUUUAAAAAAAGUUUUUAGAUAAAUGCUCGUUUAAUAUUUGUAUAUUGAUUUAAGUAUUUAUUUAGUUCUUAUAUUUUAAAAAAUACCUUAAAAAUUUUAUAUAGUUAAAAAAAAUUACAUUUUAUCAUUUCUUUUGCUUUCUUUUUACAAUAAUAUUCUUCCAACAAUAUUCUUGACAUAAUUAAUUUAUCUAUAAAAAAUUUGAUUAAGAAAUUGACCAAUAAAUUUCAUUAUAAGAGAAUUAUUAUUUUUUUGUACUUGUGCAAUAAUAUUAGUAAUAGUUAUUUAUAAAUAAAUUAAUAUUAGUCAACUUAAAUCAAUGGUUAAUAUCCUUCCAACAAUCUUACUAAUAAUUAUUAUAUAAAAAAAUUAAUUUACCAAAUUAAUAAUAUUAAAAUUUGUAAAAUUUUAUGUUCCCUUUAAAGUUAAUUUGAUAAAUUAUCCUUUUUUAAUUUAAUAUCCCUAAUAAUAUUGUUGCAAGGUUAUUAUUGUGUUAAAAAAAAGAAAAAAGAAAAAGUAAGGCUAGGAUUUUAACAUGUUUAACAGUAAGGGCGGCUUGGGUUGAGCUAUGUUGCAACGGUUGUCACGUACCCUAAUUUUUGUCUUUUAUGAUUUAACUAAUGUUAAAUUUCAUCGAGCUCCUUAUACUCCUUUUUACUCAUAAAAUACUAAGAAAUAAUAUGGUAUUUUCUACUUAAAUACACUAUUAAAAUUCUAUUUAGCACAUUAUUCUCUUUUUAUUUAUUAUUUUUAUAAGUAUUAAAGUACUUAUUUGGAUUAAAUCCAAGACAUCUUAAUCCACGUAAAACACUAAGAUCAACAAAAAGACAACAAUACCCUUAAAUUUAUAAAUUAAAAAUAAAAUUUAAGAUCUUUUUCCUCUUUCCUCUCACCUUCAUCUCCAUCAUCAUUACUUCUCACAUUCAUCUUCUUCCAUUGUCAUGAUCUUCACCUUCAUCUUCACAUAUUUUAAACUUACGGAAUAUUAAUAGAAAUGACAUUUUUGCCUCUAAAUGUUCUAAAAAUUUCAUGGCAAUCACUUCAAAUCUAAACUCAAAUCGGCUACUCCUAUCAAAGCGAAUUGUAAAUUGUUUCGAUGCCAUCUUCUUCGUUACAAUUAAGGGAAUAUAGUGGAUAAAAAUUAUAAAUUUUACAAUAACUUAAUCCUUAAAUUAAAGAAUACUAGAAAAUCAAAAUAAAGUUUAAUCACAAAAAUUAUUAUUUCUCAAUAAAUAAGAACGUACACUUUAAUAAUAAAAUUUCACAAAACAUGACAUUAACAAUCUAAUAAUAAAUUUUACCACUUGUUAUUUAUUAUGUAAUAUUUGUUUUUAUUUUAUCAGACAUUAACAAUCUAAUAAUAAAUUUUACCACUUGUUAUUUUUUUAAUUAUGUAAUAUUUGAUUUUAUUUAUCGUUUUGGUAGUUUUGCGUUAUGUUGUCUACUUAUAUGCUUAAUUUUAGGGAGAUUGCCACUUUCCCCCCUACAGUAAUCAAUAUAUAUCAUUUUUCCCCUUUCUGUUUUUAUAAUGACCAAACCCCCCCUAAUAUUAUAAGUUUACAAUAUUAGUGUGUAUGCUUUAUGUUCUAAUUUCAUUAUAUGGUAAGCAAAGUUUUGUACAGGGCCUAAUAUGACCAACUUGGACUGGGUAGGUGUCCAAGUUGAGUUAUUAUUGAUCACUAGUAGAGUCUCCUACUCUUUCUAUGAUGAGCCUUCCAUGUGGGAGGAAUUAUUUUUGUAAAUAAGAAAAAAAUUUAUGUUAUUUACAACAAUAUUUAUUUAGUUUAAAUUUAUUUUUACUGUUAUUUUCAUUUUCUAACUAUUGACAAUUGAUUACGCCGCAAAAAAUUUAAUGGUGAUCUUUCACUUAUUUGUGUUCAUUUAUUUCAUUUGAAAAAUUUGAGUGUUGGGGUUUUGUCCAUAACCCAUGGGUAAACUAUACCCAACCCAUAAUGAAAUAGUUUUCUAUAUAAAACUCAUAUCUAACCUAUUUUCAUGAUUUACCCAACCCAAACCAUUUAAUUUGAUUUGGGUUUGGGUAAACCCAUGUGUUGUGGGUUUAUGCCCACCCCUAGUUACAAUGUCAUCAAAUCCCUUAGUUUCAGACCCAUUACUCCAAAUCCCCAUCCCAAACUCAUUAGCCUUCAAGCUAAAACCUUUAUUUUGAACUCAACAACUCUAAUUUUAACUAGUAGCAGCAAGGAUAAUCAAGAAUCCCUUCUAAUCUCAAUCUCAAAGUGCAAUAAUCUAUAGGAGUGAUGAUGGUGGCGUUCAUUUCCAUUAGCAUUGACAAAUCCAAAUCUUUUGAAAGUUUCGUUUGUUGUUGCUCUCUUUUUUAUUUUGGUGGGGCUAUUUUUAUUCUUGUUGUUCAGUACAAAUAAUUGGUCUCUAGCAAAAGAUUUCGGAUCUUAAUCAUUUACUAAUGGAGACAACGAAAUCAUUAUUCGUUGGACGUGACACUCAACAUUAGACUUUGAUUAUUCACCUGUAACAAUAACGACGCCGGAGGUGGCGACUCACCUUGGGUACGACGGAGCCGUAGUCGAUGCGUGGUCUUGUAAGGAGAUAUUGUUUGUGUUGCUUGCGGGUUUUUAAGCAACUUUAGACAUGGUUGUGGGUCACUAACGUUGAUGAAGAUGAGACUUGACAAUGGCGUGCUUUUGUUGCUGGCUAUACUGGUUAACUUCAUUUUCUUCAUUUUCUUCCACCUUUGUCGAGAAGGAUAAUUUUGUCUUUUUAAGACUCAUAAACAAAUUGUAAAUGAAAAGAGUGUAAGGUGCUCAAGUAAAUUUGACAGUAGUUAAAUUAUAAAAGACAAAAAUUUAGUAUCGUACAAUUGUUGCAACAUAGGCAAUCUGACUUAAGGUAUUUUUUAAAAUAUAACCACUAAAUGGACACUUAAAUUAAAAUAUAGGGAUUAAACGUGUAUUUUCUCAUAUUAUGUGUGUAUAUAUUGUAAGAAAUUUUAUAAUUUUUUUUCCAAUUCAUUAGGGGUUUAUAAGCAAUAUAUUAUUCUAAUCACAUGAUUUAUUUUCCAAGUAGCAAUAAAUGUUGGGGGGAAAAACCAAUCAAAACUAAUGCAAUUUUAUUACGCUUGCAUACACAUUUAUAUAGGCCAAAUUAUGUUGGCGCCUGGAUUUUUCCUGGCCCUCUAAGCAGGAAAGAAAUCUAUAGAAGUUUACACAGCGUUGAGCGUUCAAUGAAAUUCAAUUUAUUUUCAUUUUCUAUGUUUUAACCCUAUCACGUUUACGGUUUUUAUAAUAUGUCCCUUAAUAUUUAUUAGGUCUUGCUAACAGCUUAGGGUUCUUGUUUCGACGGAUAAUUGUUUAAUAAUAUAAUUAAAUCUUAUCCUAGUGGCCGAGAAAGUAUUUUAUGAAAAAAAUAAUUGAAAGCUCCAAAAAUCUCGGACAUGGCGAAAACCCUAUUUUCAGAGGUAUUUUUCCUCCGCCGUUUAGGGAGGCUAGAACGACUAAGAAAGCAAGGUUUCGUGAUGAGGAAAACGCUGGUGACAACCCUACGCAGGUCGCGUACAAAGAAAAUCUCGUGAAUGUUUUGCAAGCACUGGAGCAAGGUUUUGUAGGUGGAAUAGAGGACUGGGAGUUUGAGGAAGGGGAUGUGAUUGAGAAUAACGAGGGACCUAUGCCGUCCAUCACUUUCUCGGCUAGGGUUCAUGAAAAGUUAAGUAAACCGUGGAAGAACUCAGUUGUUGUGAAGCUGCUUGGUCGCACAAUUAGAUACAAAACUCUCUGUGCAAGGUUGAAUGUAUUGUGGAAAACAGCCAUGAGUUUCUCGGUGAUUGAUUUAGAGAACAAUUACUUUUUGGUUCAUUUUUGCUCGGCGGGUGAUGCUGUUGAUGCUCUAACUAAGGGCCCUUCGCUUAUAAUGGGUCAAUUUUUAACGGUGCAGCCAUUGAUGCCCUCAUUUGAUUUCACCAACACGGUUUUUGAUCAAGUCAUGGUAUGGAUCCGUUUACCUGGCCUUGCUGUUCAUCUUUAUGAUAAAAAUCCUACAUAAGCUCUAAUAGUUAAUGGGUAUUGUGAUUAAAAUGGAAUAGAAUACAACCUCUUCUACUUGUGGAAGAUUUGGCCAAAUUGCAGUAAAUAUCUCCUUGGCCAAGCCGUCAGUAUCUCGUUUGAGUUGGAUGGGAAGGCUCAAAAGGUAGAAUACGAGGGAUUGCCAGUGAUUUAUUUUAAGUGUGGAAGAUACGGCCAUAAUAGCAAUAACUGCAAAAAAGCUGGUACUUCGACAACCUCUGGAAAUGUUGGGCAGCCUCAACAUGUUAUGCAGUGUAACGAGGCCCUUGCCCAACAAGAAGUUGGUCAUAAUGAUGAUAAUAUUGUAGAGCCCUUUAGACGUUGGAUGAUUGCCACUAGGAGAUGCAGGAAAUCUAAUAGUGGUAAGGAGAAUAUUAAUGAUUCAAACCGAAACUGUAAGCAUGCUGGGGCUGGUACUUCAAGGUUCCAAAUCUUAGCUCAGGUCACAGAUGAAUGUGAAAAUCCUGUGCAUGCAGCUUUCACAGAUAUCUCAUCCACCUCACGUCAACCUCUCUUAACCAUCUCAAACCCCACAUUUACUUCCAAUGAAGAUAUCACAACAAAAGACUUUGGCACGAUGCAAGUCACAUACCAAGGCUAUGGUUGCAAAAUCUCAGAGUAUGAAACCAACUGUCUCAGCGAAUCCAAUCUAAAAUCCCUUCCAGUUGAGUGCUCUUAACAUCAGAGAGAAAGAUAUAAAUUCCCCACCUCAUGCAAACCAUAAUCCCAACUCACACUUUACUCCAUAGCUUGUCUCUAGUAAUCAACAUGUUUCCCCUCUCGCUACUACCUUGGACCCUACUAAGCAUACUGUGGUGUUUUGUUCUUCCCAAACCCUUAUUCACGGGGAUGUGAGGGAUGUGGUCACGUAGCAUAGAGAUCGGUAGGGACCAGAUCCACAACAUUUGGCUUACCCUUCAGAUGUUCAUAACACCUCUCAUGUGAAGGAAGUUAAAAAUGCUCAUACUCAUCCUACUGUGCCUAUGAGUAGUGUUGAUGGGGAUGGGAUGUCUGAUGAUGAAGACUCGAUGGUUUAAGAAAUGCCUUUGGCGUUGAUGGCUGAUGUCAAUGGUCAACAGCAGUAGGAUUUUUCUUUCUUUAUUUGGACUAUUUUUAUGUCGAUAAGCAUCAUGUAUUGGAAUGUCCAAAGGGCGGCCUCGGGUAAUUUUAGGCUCUCUUUCAGGACAAUUGUUAAAAAUUAUAACCCAUCUCUAGUGGUUUUGAUGAAACCUCAUAUUAGUAGGAUUAAAGCAGAUGAAUUUAUCAAGAAAAGUGGCUUUGAUAAAUCUCAUUGAGUGGAAGUUGUGGGCUUUUCUGAAGGAAUUUGGCUCAGUUGGCGGAAUUUUAUAGAGGCGGAGGUUUUUUUUAAUCAUAGGCAAUUUAUUCAUUUCUGAAUUUGUAUGAAUAAUGUCUUUGUGCCUUAGGCAACACCUGUUUAUGCUAGCCCAAAUCCAAUGUUGCGGAGACAGCUGUGGAAUCAUAUGGAUAGCCUUGCUAUUUCAAUUCAAGGUCCUUAGUUGUUUGGCAGAGAUUUUAAAUCUAUUUUGUAUGCUUAAAAAAAACAUAGGGGUGUUGCAAGGAGUUCAGGAAUGUGUAACUUAUUUCAGUGGUGGUUUGAUGGGCAUCAAAUUUUUGAUUUAAAGUUCAAAGGUCCAAGGUUUACCUGGUCACGUGGAUUGCUUCUUAAAUGGCUUGAUAAAGCCUUUUGUAAUAAUGAAUGGUUACUAAAGUUUGCGUACAAUUCUGUUCUCCAUCUUUCGAAGGUUGCCUCAGAUCACAGGCCAGUGCUGGUUCGGUUUGAGAGAGUUGUGUCUAGACACCAAGUGAACUAGCCUUUUCAAUUUUUGGCUUCUUGGCUAACACAUGAGCACAUCAAUACUUUUGUAAAGCAUGCGUGGGAUCCGCAUGCCUAUUAUAGUGCUGCGGCUUCUCAUUUUUUCCAGGCAGUUCAAGCUUGGAAUCAAAAGGUUUUUGGGAAUAUCUUUCAACGAGAACGAUAGCUAAUGGCUCGGAUUAAUGGGAUUCAAGCAACCUUAGAGAAUUAUAGUUCUAUAGGGCUGAUGCGGUUAAAGGCUCGCUUGUGAAACGAGUUGGAAAUGGUGAUGGGCCAGGAGGAGAUUCUUUGGUUACAAAAAUCUAGAAAAGAUUGGUUCUUGCAUGGCGACAUAAAUACAAAUUUCUUUCAUAAAAAAACUAUUGUUUAAAGGCGGCAGAAUAGAAUUGAGGCCAUUCAGGAUAAUUCGGGGAAUAGGUUGUACGAUGAGGAAGAUAUUCGGAGGCAUGUAGUUGGGUGCUUUUCUUUCUUAUUUAAAAGUGAAGCUACAAUUUAUCAAGAUUACCAUGUUCUAAAUUUUUUUUCCAGUCUUAGAUGCUUAUGAUAUUGAUUGUGCUACUGGCCCAGUUUUGGGGAGGAAAUUAAAAGAGCUGCAUUUAGUAUGAAGCCUCUUAAAGCUCCAGGUAUUGAUGGUCUGCCAUUUUUUAUCAGUCUAAAUGGCAAAUUGUUGGUCCUUCCUUUUGUAAGUUUAUUACUGAUAUUUUUAACACGGGCAAGAUCCCUCAAGAAAUUAAUACUACCCUUCUGGUUUUGAUUCCUAAAGUGGAGCAUCCUACCAGCUUAAAAAUGUUCAUGCCUAUAAGCUUAUGCACAGUUGCUUACAAGACAGUGACUAAAAUAGUAGCUAAUUGCUUGCAAGCUUUGAUGCCUGACCUUAUAGGCCCUAAUCUGACAAGCUUUGUUCCUGGGCGGCAUAUUGUAGAUAAUAUUGUUGUUGCUUAAGAAGUGGUUCAUCCCAUGCGCAGAAAAAUUGGAAAAAAAAUGGUUUAUAGCCAUCAAGGUCGACCUCGAGAAGGCGUAUGAUCAGCUUAAAUGGGAUUUUAUUUUUCAUACUCUUCAACAGACUAGUCUACUAAUUCAUUUAUCUAGGCUCAUCAUAGAAUGUGUAACUUCAGCUAGUAUGAGCAUUCUGUGGAAUGGUGAGGCUACAGAGUAAUUUUUUCUAGGGAAAGGUAUCCAUUAGGGAGAUCCUCUCUCGCCUUAUCUUUUUGUUCUUUGUAUUGAGCGGUUGAGCCAUAGUAUAACCCAAGCGAUGAUGGAUGGAAGAUGGAAGCCUAUUCAUUUGGCCAAACAUGGAACUCCUCUAACGCAUUUAUUUUUUACAAAUAAUUUACUUUUAUUUGCGGAAGCUUCAAUUGAUCAAGCUUAUAGCAUUGAUGUAGUUUUGGAGAAUUAUUAUAGGGGUUCUGAAGCAAUAGUCAAUAAAACGAAAACCAAAGUCUUUUUCUCCAAGAAUGUCUUAUCUAGAGAUGCUUAUUUCAUCGGUGAUACCUUUGGUUUUUUGGCUACAAAUGAUUUGGGUGACUAUCUUGGAAUGCCUUUAAUCUAUUCGCGAGUGAAUAAAGCUACUUAUCAAUCAAUCACAGACAAAGUGGACAUGCAACUCACUAGCUGGAAUGCAGCUCAAUUAAUGCUUCAAACAAUGCCUUCUACGCUAUGCAAAUGACUUUACUUCCUUCCCCUGUGCGUUAUAAAAUAGAUAACUCUUGUCGGCAUUUUAUUUUGGAUGGAAAGUCGAAGAGUCAAAAAAUGAGCUUGGUGGGGUGGGAUAAAAUUUGCAUGCCAAAAAAUCAUGGGGGCCAGGGGUUUAAAAAGAUUGACGUGAUGAACCAAGCGUUGCUGAUGAAAUUGAGUUAGGAAGUUGUUUCUAGGUCGAACAAAUUGUGGGUGAAGGUUUUUUGCUCUAAAUACGGUUUUGAUCCUAGUAAAUUAUCGAUUUUCCUUCCUGAUAAACCAGGGUCUCAAAUCUAGAUGGCUAUUAGGAGAACGUGGUCAGCAACUGCGCAUAGAGCUCGCUGGUCCAUAUGUGAUGGAGCUAAAACUUGGUUCUGGCUAGAUUGUUCGGUUACGAAGCACAAUCCCUUGAUUAGUCUCACCCUCCAGCCGAUUCCUUAUGACCCUAGUAAUGCCCCUGUGAUUGAGUUUACUAAUGUGCAUGUGGGCUGGAAUUGGUCGAGAUUUGAACAUUUGCUACCAAAUUUUAUUCUCAUGCAAAUUGCUUCGGUAAUGCCUCUUAUUUUUCAUCUUGGUUCUGAUAAAAUUUACUGGUGUUUUUAUCCAAAAGGCAUGGUUACUGUUUGGUCAGCCUAUGACUCUUUUUGUCAUCAAAACCUUGCCGAUCAUGACAAAACUUGGAACUUACUUGGACUUGGAAGGGGCCUCAAUCCAUCUGCCUCUUUCUUUGGCAGAUUCUGCAUGGUAAACUAAAGACUCACAAUGAGCUUGUUGGACGUUAUAUUCCCGUUUCUGUGGGCUGUGAUAAGUGUGAAGGUGCAGUUGAAGAUAUCCUCCAUGCCUUGAGAGAUUGCUGUUGUAUUAAGCAGGUUUGGAUUCAGCUUGUUUCGAUGGGUAAUCACAGCACUCUCUUUCACUCUAUUUUAUGUGACUGGCUUGUUGCCAACUUACAAAAUAAGUGGAAGAUUGUAUCUCCCCUCCCUUGGGAUUCUAUCUUUGGCAUGGCUGUUUGGAGGUUGUGGUUCUGGAAGAAUCACUUCAUCGUUGUUGGGAAGUUGGUGGAUAGCUCAACAAUCUAUCUGGAUACUAUGGCCAUAGCUAAUGAAAUUCAUAGAGUGAAUAACUCUCACAUAAGCUAGCAGCUGAGGAGAAAAGAGAUUUUUAUUGGCUUGAUGCCUCCGCCAUGGCUAUGGUACAAAUUGAAUUCCGAUGGAUCUUGUAAAAUUACAUGGGAAGCAGGAGCUGGUGGUGUUAUUCGCAACUCUAUCGGGCACUGGAUUUCUGGAUUUGUUAUGAGAAUUGGGGAGAGUUCAGUGAUUAUAGCUGAGCUUUAGGGUCUGUAUCAGAGCUUAAUUCUUGCCUAGGAUGCAGGCAUAAAACGGCUAUUGGUGGAAAUAGACAGUCUUUGUGUUACUCAGAUGAUCUCUAAAUAGGUGGUUGUACCUAAUAUUUUCUAUGCUUUAGUUGUUUCUGUUCGGGAAUUAUUAAGCAGAAACUGGCAGACUGCUAUCACUCACAUCUUUCAUGAAGUAAAUUCAGUUGCGGACUUCAUGGUUAAUAUGGCUCAUUCAGUUCCUCAUGCUUUGUAUUUAUUUUCUAACCCGCCUGUGAGUAUUUAUUUUAUUAUUUUGCAAGAUAUAUUUGGAGUUACUCAACCCUGUUUUAUUCUUAUUUAGCUCGUUCUGAUGAGCACCUCUAAUAAAAAAGAAAAAAAAUCUUAUCUUGUUAAAUUAUAAUGUUGCUGGAUAGAUAUGCUUGAAAAAGAUGGCAAAAGAUUUGAUCUAUAUUGAUUAUAUUUAUUUUAUUAUCAUAUCAUAGGUCAUGUCUUGGGUAAUGCAGAGUGACGACACACUGGCAAAAGUAGUAAGCAUUACGACAAAUAAUGGGCCAUUUUCAGCCACAUACAAAUUUAACUAGGUCCCCAACAAUUGGAUCAAAUAGUGUCGCGUUUAUGGGGCUUAUUUACAAUCCUUCCUCAAUUAUCACAUAAUUAAGUGGAGCCAGUCUAUUCCUCACGAAAUGUGAGUAGAGUGGACAACCCUCGAAUAUUUGAGAUGGUUUGAAGAAUUUGGGCAGCGCUUCAGAGGAGUACAUGCCACGAUGAAGGUCCCAAUUGUAGAAUCUGUGUGUAAAUAUUAAUUGUAAUACCUACAGUCCUGUAUAAACAGUAUUCAAAAAAAAAAAAUAGUGUCGCGUGAUUGUAUAUGUGUUUAGGGCUUAUUAAUUAGCGCGUAAAAUAUAGUGGCGGGACAGCUAAUUAUGUCAAAAUGCAUCAAAGUUCGGUGGUUAGGGUUUGUGGAAGGCCACUCAAGGAGACAUGAUUUUAUAUUAAUUUUUCUAAAUUUAAUUGGAAAAUUAAGUGCCGAUAAAAUUUUGCAAGUGGAUAAGUAUGGUUAGGUUAGGGGAUUUUGAUUCAACACUGAGCCGACAUUUUUGAUAACUUUUUAGGAAUAUAUAAUUAGUAAUUACUGAAUAAAUUUUUUUAAUUUUAUUUAUUAUCGCCAAAUAUAACUGUUCAAUUUAAAUUAUUUUUAAAUUUAGUAGUUUAGAAAAUAAUUAAUUAAUUAAUUUUUUUACAUAUUUAAAGUAAAAUAAAUGUAUUAUCAUUUAUUCAUUAAAUAUUUAGGUUUACUAAUUUUUAUUAUUAUUUAAAUUAAAUUAAAUUUUAUCUAGAUAUGAAUAUAAAAUUAAUAUUAAAUAAAUUUACAUUUAUUAUAAAUUAUUGAAUAAUAAAAGUAAAUGAUUAAAAUUUAAAAUAAAAACAGCGUUUUAAUGCGAUUCAAUACAGUGUAAUACAAGAUGUCAAAAACACCUUAAAUGUAUAAUUUAAUGAGCGGUGUUAGACAUCCAAUGAAUUUUUCAAGGUUCAAGUCAACUACAGGCCUCAUAAUAAAUACAAAGGAAUUAAUUUUAACUCGGCGCCUAUGCUUGAUGAACUUCUAUAGUGCUUAGAGCACUCUCUCAAUUGCACCAUGUUUAAACAAUUAAACUAACUAAAAAUGGAAAAACGACAAAUAAUUUGGCAAUUUAAUAUAUAUAUUUUGCUCUAGUAAUAGAGAUUAGCGGGCAUCACUCUAAUCAGCAUUAAGCAAUCCAAGAAAAAGUUUCAUGGAUGUAAUUAUGAUGAAAUUUAAAAGCUUCUCUUUUAAAAUGAAGCACGUGAUUCUCAUUUCAUUUCUUUGGUUGCGUAUUUUCUUUCUUUCAUCUCUUCAAUUUGGUACCUAUUAAAAGUCAAAACUCAAAAUGUCAAUACGAAUUCUUGAUAGCUGCCCAGUACACACAGCUGGCCACUGCCCACACAUUCUAUUUGCUGAGUUUCAGCUUUGUAUGAUUUUUAUUAACGCAUGUUAUUUCAUAUUAAAAGAAAAAAAAAAAAAAAGGAAUCUGAAGAUGUCGAUGGCUUAUUUCCACGAAUAUAUUCGAAACUUUGCAUUCACAAAUAAUAACGAGACGCAUAGGCAGCAAUGAUUCACAAGCUUUUUGUAAUAUUUGGAAGAAAUUAGGGUUUUGGAUUGUUGAUCGAUUCUUCAUUCUUCAAUUAUUACUCAUUGCACCACAAAAUAACCAGGGCUUGUGGGCAACUAACAGGCACGCACCCAAACGUGGAAAACUUACUAUGAGAUGGUCUCAUAACAUCACAAUAUAUUGUUUAAAUUUUAUUUCUCACUUUUACAUAUAGUAUUGAAGCUGUUUAUUGAUUGAAUGUAUGAAUAACGUCAUACACUCAUACCUAUACGUACAUGUCAAUGUCAUUUGAGACUUUCAUUCCUUAGAAAUAAAAAAAUUCAAUAACUAAAAUGAGACAAGUAAGAAUUUGGAGAUUUGCAAAGAUUCGAGUUGACAAUUUAAAGCUUUUGCAUUAGUGGAAACGAAAAAUAAUGUAAUACGUGAUUCAACGUUAUCUGCCUAGCUUCUUUUUCACAAAAGAUUAAAAAAAAAAAGGGCACUGAUGAAUGUUCAUACUGAAAGUCAGUGGAUAGUCAUUUCGACAUGAUCCCUUUAAUUGUCGAAUUACAACUUUAAUUUGUUUUAUUGCCAUGCUUCAAUGUCUAUCUCCACAUGAUUCCUCAUAAUCUUCACGUGUCAUAAUUAUUAGAUUCUGUACAACAAACAAAGAUUUACUUAUAUUUCAACUUUUGAUAGUGAGUUAUCAUGUCAUGAUCAGCUGCAAGCCUACGACACGAGCCACGAAAAAUGAGUUCGAUCAAAACAGGUUUCUUAAUCAAUACAGCUUGCAUGCGUUAAAAAGGACCUUCGCUACAUCUACAUCCGAUUCAAAUGGAUGAAAUAUACUUCGUUUUAGAGAUAUUUUUCAAUAAGAGCUCCCAUGUGUUAGCCUAAAGAACUAUACAUAAUGUAAUUUUGAUGAUAACAAACAUAUGUAUUAAAGUGAUUUAAUAGAUAUUGUAUUUCACAUUUUCACUAGUUUUUUAAGGGUAAUAUUUAUGCAAUUAAAUACUUUUCAUAAACUAAAAUGUAUAAUUUAAUUGAUGCAUGAUUUAGCAUUUGAGAAGCUCAAGAGAUUAAUUUAAUUAAAUACUUUUCAUAAACUAAAAUGUUUUAUUUUUAUAAAAUAAAGUAUUUUGUGGAUUUGAGUAAUUUGGACUUAAAUGCUAAGUUUUGAAAUCUUUGAUUUUAAUAAGUAUUAUUAUUAAAUUUCAGAGUUAGAUGUUUUUACAAAUAUUUGAAAUGUUUUGGGCCAUACUAUAAUGUAUGAAUAUUUUAGACUAAAGUGAAAGAUUUUGAUAACUUUGAAAAAUAUAGAUAUUAUGUUGAAAAAGACCUUUUUGCGAAAUAAUAAUAUCUUUGAGGCCAUAUCAUAAUUUCAGAAAGAUUUGGAAAGACAACUAUUCUUAGGAAAUUCUGAAAUUGGACCUAUUUGAAAAAUUUUAUAACUUUUGGGGCCUUAGUAUAAUUUUAGUGAACAAUAUUACUGUAGUAAAAUUCAAAAAUAACGGUAAUAUCACUGUUCAUGAAUGGCUAGCCGGAUAAAUCAAGCGGCUAACCACUUGGGCACGGGAAUUUACCUAUAACGGCUAGUUUUCGGGCUUUAAUUAUAAAAAACUCAACUCCAACUUCAUUUUAAGAACCAAUGCAAGCAAAUAUAAGAUCAUACAACAUAUAUUGAGCUUCCAAAAUGCAAAUCAUCAUAGAUUGAAUCAUUGUUGAGCUAUUAUUUGCAUAUUCACUCUUAAAGAGAGUUUUUGUUGUAAUUUUCAUUUCUUAUCAAAUUGUGAGUGUGUAAGUGUGAGAAAUACUUGGGGUGAAAAGAUUGGGGAGAUAAUUUCUUGAUUGUAAAGGUUCAUUGACACCUUAGAAGUCAAUUGUAAGAACUUGAAGCCUUGGGAGGCUUGGAUAGUGAAAUCCUCGAGCUUGGUUGGCUUGGAGGCGUGGACGUAGGCGGGGAUUGCCGAACCACGUAAAAAUCCAUGUGUUUGUUUUUCUCUUCCCUUACUCUUUUAUUUUUAUGCUUGUUUGAAUUUAUUAUUUUCUAUUCCAUUAAGGCGUUAGAUUAAUUUGUUAUGCGAAUUGUAUUGCAUAAUUUUUAAAAACCAAAUUCACCCCCCUUCUUGGGUUGCGUAACUUGCAUUUCACCAUGUAUAUAACUUUUUAAAGAUAAAAUUUCAGUAAAUGUUAUGAGAUUUUAGAAACCAGCGCAAUGGACAACCUACCAUUAAUUGAGUUCUAAUAUGUUUCCAUGCUAGAUCCCCACAUAGGUUAAAAAUACAAAAAUUAAAUGAACACAUAAGCUUAUGAAUACUCAUUCCUACAAGUUAGUUUUCAAGAGUGAGUUCUAUCAAUGAAUUCAUACUAUACACAAUUAAGGUCGAGCUAGCAUAGCAUUGUUGAGUAUGAUCAAAUCGGUAUGUACAACUUCAUGACAAUUGCGAGUGUGAUAUCAAAUGCAUCAUGUUGACUAUGAGAUUUAAUAAAGAUACAGAAUUUGUAAUGUCAACCAAUUGGGAGAGGUGACGGAUUGUCGUAAACGAUGGUUGCAGAGCGUGAUGGACUUCUACAAUCCUAAACUAUAAACAUAAAAACUAAAUGGGUUAUAUAAGUUUGAUAAAUCACAUUUAAUUUCAAGUUAACGAUAUCAAUUAGGGUAAACUUGAAUUUACUCCUACAUAGAAUGAUAAUCUUCAAUUUAUCCUAUAAAAAUGUGAAAACAUCAAUUUACCAUUAAAAAAAAAAAAUCAAUUCUUCCCAUAUAGUCACAUUUGCCGUCAUCUUCUAAACAAAAAUAGUAGAUAAAUUAAAUUUUUUGCAUUUUUGGAGGACAAAUUAAAAAUUGUCACUCUACUAGGGGAUGAAUUGAAGUUUACCCAUAAAAGAAUUAGGAAUGUAACAAAAAGAAAAAAAAAAUUGUGGCUGAUUGCUAGUAUACCGUUGAAGGCGAUGCAGAAAGCAUAUCAAUGAUGCAAACUUUAAUGUUAUUGUAGAUUGGAUUGCAUUUGGAGGUGGUUUUAAGAGAAGUAGACCAUAUCAAAAAAAAAAAAAAUUGUGCUCGUAAAACAGUGGUUUUAAGAGAAGUAGACCAUAUCGGUGGUUUUAAGAGAAGUAGACCAUAUCAAAAAAAAAAAAAAUUGUGCUCGUAAAACAUUGGAGCCGAUACAUGGUUGACAUAUCCUCUCAAAUGCAUGCUAAAAGUAAAAGAAUUUUGGACAAAUUUUUAAGUUAUUAGUAGUUGUUGAGUAAGAAUUAGCUUAAAUUUGAAGGUGAUAAUCAGGAGAAGAUUAAUACAAUGUACAAACGGUGCGGCGGGAAGCUGAUGCUUGGUAGUAUUUGACCCUAAACACAUCUUGAAAGUACGUAGAUACAAAUGAUUCAAACUUAUGAGUAAUUGGUAGUUGAGUCAGAAUUAGCUUGAACUUGAAAGGUCAUCCAGAGAAAAGGGUUCUGUCUACAGAAGGGUUGUCGCAUCAUCAUCACCCUCUACAAUUUUGCUAAUAAUGCCCACUUGGAGCUCCAAUGUGAACCAUGUCCCUUCAGAUCUGUCGAUUAGUUUCACUCACUCACGAAACUAAAUAUUCUGCUCCACAUUUCUCCACUAGCCAUAGUGGCUUUUUGUAAAAUCAUGUAAUAUGCUAAUAUGUUUUCAUAGAAAGUUCAACUCAUUGCAUUAACGUACACAUGUGCAUACCUGAAAAUACUCAUCUAAACACAACCAGAUCUGCCGAUACCAGGGAUGUAGCCAAAAAAUUGUGUCAUCUAGGGCACAUUCAACGUAUAAUAUAGACUAUGAGUGUAGCCUAACCGACCAUGAAAGUGUUUUGCACAGUUGGGGUAACAAUAGAGAGUAAGGACUAGUGUUUAGUGAUGAGGUUACUCAUUUUUAUCCAAAAUUUUUAUCUUUUUUUCAAAAAAGAUAGAAUACAAUUUAAAAAUAUUCAAAUCACAAUAUAUGACACUAUAAUUAUAUUAUAUUAUUAUUUCUUGAUAGAUUUUUAUUGAUUACGGUUGUCCUUAUAAGGUUUUGUGUUUUGGAAAUGAUACAUGAUGAUUUCAUUGGUAAUAAAAUAAUAUACAAUAUUUUAAUGUAUACAACUAAGAAGAAGAAGAAGAAGAAGAUGAUGAUGAUGAUGAUGAUGAUGAGGGAAAAAGGUCAAAAAACCUUAUUUUUUUAUAGUUUCAUAUAUUUUAACUAUUAGUGUGGCUAAUUCAUGUAUAUUGAAUCAAAAUAACUAAUAAAUUUUAAAAAAUUAUUUUUUCAAUAAUGCUAUGUUUACUCAGUUUGGAUAUUUAAUUGGGAUACUCACAGAUGCGUUACCAAUCAUAUAAUGUUAUGUGUAUAAUAUUAAUUGUUUUAUUAUUAAUUAUUGAUAUUAUUUUUACAAUCCACUAAAUGAAAUGACGUAUGAUUAAGUGUCCCAAUUGAGUAUCCAAAAUGAAUACGCAUAGUAUUACUCUUUAUUUUUAUUUUUUUUGGAAGACUGUUAAAUUUAAAACUCUUUAAAACUCUUAAGACAAUUUUAGUAUUCUUAACACUAAGCUGGAGCACUAUCACAAAUUCAAAGCAACUAUGGACUGAUUUGAAAUUGCUCUUCGAAUUUUUUCGAAGUUAACUGUGGCCUGUGCAUCAGCUGGUAUCGUACUGGCAGAGCUGGUCGAUACGAAUAAUCACCCCUAGUCAUAUUGGCUAUCACAAAGCUACUACUUAAUCGGUCGAUAGAACUUUUGAUUAGCACUAAUCACAUAAUAUAAUUAUUAAUGAUCAUAUAGGUCAAUAAGAAUGUAUGAGUCACAUUAUUGUAAUUAGUCGCCUCAUUUUCAUGAGCACAAGAUUAAAGAUAAUGCUUGAGGCAAUACUGAAUAUAAUAAAUCUUUCAAUUGUGUAUGAUGGAUCGAUAGGAUAGAUGGGAAAAUAAGAUGAAUCAAAAUGAUAGCAGUAAACAGGGAACUUCAUCAUGGAAUCCAUCGUGACCAUUUUACACUAACCAUAUGGAAAGCACUAUGUAUAUAAAAGUCAUAAAAAUUUAGAAACACAUAAAAGUAUGUCUAAUCAGGGAAAGUGGAAAAGAAAGUUCAAGCUUAAAAGUUAAUAUCAAUGAAAAGGGACAUAGAUGAAUGAGUCCUUAGUUGAGGCAAGUAAACGUCGUGCAACCAAACAAACAAGCAACGAUUUAACGCAUAGCCUUCAGUACUUUCUGAGUCUUUAGACCAAUAAUGCUAGCUAUAUUAUAGAUAAGAGUUUUAAGUGGCUUAGAUCAGAAGAGUGCAACAAACAGCGCACCACACCACUAAUGAGGAGAAAUCAAAUAUAUGUGGAACUGAGAAUGUUGAUGAAAAAGUGACCCUGUUGACAAAUAGAAGAGAAAGGGCUCAUAGUGCUUCUCCGUAUGAUUGCUUUUGACUCGACAGGUAUCAAAGAAGUGAAAGCAACUAGCUACUGUAGAAGAUCUCCAUGCACCUAAAUUAAAGAUAAAACAUAUCUUCUGGUGGAGGAAAACCUAAUAUGCUGAUAAGAAUUCUCCUAUUCCAGCACCUGUUUGUGUGUGUAGAAGUGGGUGUGCACAUUUGCUCCUAUGAGAUAGUGAAGAGUAAAAGCAGGUACCAUCGGUCAAUUCAAAACAAAUGAUUGAGACCAUUUCCACCAGAGAUAAUGUAAAUGCAAAUAUCUGAUAUUUACUUUUUCAGAAUGAUAAUUCAGUUGGUAAGAUGUCAGCAAUUAACAAGUAAUCUCAUUAUAAUGCAAAUAUCUGAUAUUUACUUUUUGAGAAUGAUAAUUCAGUAGGUAAGUUGUCAGCAAUUAACAAGUAAUCUCAUUAUCUGAGACUCGUAAGACUUUUCUGAAAUUUCUGAGUUUUCGUUUUCAUUUUCUUGUUGAAGGCUGAAGCUUAGAGUUUUGAAGUCAAUAUUCAGUUACACAACCUUAGUACAAUCAAUCAGAAUCCAGUGUUGAAAAAUACAAAGUACUAUCUAUAGGUCAAAGCCUCGCCCCACAGAUAAAUAAAUAAGUAAUUGAAUAGAAUUUAUACUCAUAGUUGCUCAUAUUGACAAUAUAUAUAUUUUUUUGGCUCAAAUAUUACAGCAUUCAUCCAUCCAUUUGGGAUACAAUGCAACAUGCAAGUCAUCCAUUAAAUUGAAAAGGCCACACAAAAACAAUUACAUGCCCUGUUGUUGCAGACUUGAAAAACCAUACAAUUUAUAAAUCAUGGAAGCCCAAGUACUAUAUAUCUCAACAGAUGAUUAGGCACCACAUAGGAGCUUCUAAUGAUGCCAAGAAUCCUUACAGUCCUGCAACUAAAAGCAUCAUAUGAAUUCAAUUGCAGUUUUUUGUGUAAUCUAACACAUUCGGGAAUGUCAUGAAAUUUAAAUGCAGUUACCAGGAAUAAAUUGAGCUGCAGUUCAUAGAAUUCACAGAAGACCUUUGAGAUAAUUUCUCUGUGAUAUUAACAUAAACAGACCAUAUAUAAAGCCUCCACCUGAGCUUUGGGGGAUUUGAUUUCUGAUGUUCUAAUGGUCUACAGCAUUUACAACCUCUAGCAGAGUUGCCAAGCUUACCAAUUUACAAGUAAAUGCAAUAACCCAAAUGCCAUACAUUUCUCUCCCUGUGUGCUUACUAUCGGAACUUGGUGAAGAAACAGAACUUCAGUUAGCAAAAAGAUCAAGAGAAGCCAAACAAUUUGAUUUAUGAACCCUUAUUACACUUCCAUGCUAUUGAAGAGCCAACAAACUCAGAAGUCAUCUCUCAUGUUUCCAUGUCAUAACCUUAUUUAAAUACCCUCGUGUGCCAUUUAUGUCUCCGUUUCCGAACAGAAAAGUAGCAGAACAUAAUUGUAUGCCCCUAGGGGCUUGACCAAGUGGUUUUCAAGCAACUACCUUUCGCUAGCCACCUGAGAUCGAAUCUUGGGGAAGUAAGGGGCUAAACUAUUGAUUUGGGUUUUGCCCACCCUCCUACAGUCCUACAUCUUCCAAACAAAAAAUUAAAAACAAAAUACAGAAAAAAAAGGAACAUAAUCGCAAAGAAAUAUUCUCUUGAAAAAGAAACUAGUUGGUGGACAGGGAGAGAUAUAAGACAAGAGUUGGAAGGUGUCCUGAUGGGCUGAUAUUAAGCGUCUCUUAUACAAGCUAAAAGUUCAUUUGAACAGUCCCAAAAGCGUGGCAUGAAAAGCAAGCUAAAAUUAUGCAAUUUCACUUCAUACAUUAAACAUAUCAUUUUAGAACCUUAGUCUGAUUCAGACUUAACACUAAACCUCUGGUAAUGGCAAUUCAACAGGAAAAUCUUGCAGAGUAUUAUUCUUCUUUUACACAGGCACGUAAGCUUGGAAUUUCAUGGUUCAAAGACAGUUCCAAUAAGAAACCAACUGAGCAGUUUCUAUCAUUAACACACAAGUAAACAUGGGUGUAGAUGUAAGGAAACUAAGGAGGUCUGAACUGAAAUCCACCAAAAAUUAUUAAACAUGGGUGUCUGUGAAUCUUACAUUCAGGGUCCGCUCCUUUUAGUUGAUCACUCAAUUAAAAGAUGAAUGCAACCUUACUCAGAUUAUCUUGUAAUUUAUGCUCCCACCAAACAUCAGCAACUAGCAGUUACAUCAAACUUCUGAAAAGCAUACACGACCAUCUCAGCGAGUUUCAGGUUGAAGCUUAUUAACUAAAAUUAACUCAGUAUACAAAACGAAAGCCUAAUAAAGUGGGGGAAAAAAAAAGCACCUUCAAUCUAUUAGCUUUAUUUCUUGAUGUGUAAUACUACUACACAGUAGUCAGAAAGUACCAUGUAGAAUGAAAUCUACCAAAUGAAUAGAGGCUAUUAAUACAGUAAUUUAAGUCCAUAAGGAAGACUGUUAAUUACAGAAAUUACAACGCGUGCGAAUAAAAACCCCCAUUAUACAAAUUCACACACACAUACAUCUUUACUCAUCUUAUCAUACCAUAUGCAACAAAUGCAUUAUCAAUUAAACUAACUUUUAACCUAAAAAGGAAAAAAGAAUUACCUAAAUAAUGUUUCAUUCAUUCUAAUCUUUGUUUUGCUUCCUAUUCCCCCUCUUCCUCCAUCUUUUCGGCGGCUUUCCGUUGAACCCAUUUGUGCUCGAAACCUCCUGCAAAUUCCCAUUUCCAUUUUCGUUAUCUUCUUUACUCUGUAAGUCAUUGCGCUUCGACGCAAUAAGCCCAUAGGGUUUCACGCUGUGAACGACUCCUUUGGGGAAAAACCUAGCGGAAGGCAACCCGUCGGGGGUCUCAAACAUUUGCGGGCCGUCGCUCUCGGUCCAGAGGUCAAACCCGCCGGGUCUUUGAAACCGGUCCGCCAAGACUUUGACUUGCUCGUCGGCGCUGACAGAGAAGAGGUUGGGGGCUUUUUCGACGGCCUCCCAGGGGCGCUCGAGCUCGGAAACUGCGGCUUUGAGUUCGGCUCUCUUUCGCAUCUCGUAGAUAUGUCUCUCGCGGCAGAGGCGGGCUUUGAGGAGCUGCUUGCCUUUCUUGGCUUGCAUACGCUUCCACUGCCACUUUGAGACCCCGCCUGGAUACGUGCGGGGCCCACCUCCCAUUCGGAUUACUGUUGAUUUUGGGUGGUCGUGAUUGUUGUUGAAAGAAACGUAGGUGGGUCUGUUGGCGAGGAAGAGUUGGGUCGGUGAUGAUAGUGAUUGUGAGAAAGAUAGCACAGAAGCUGAAGAAGCUGUUAUUGAGAGAGCCAUUUGCAGAAUUGAGGGCAUUCAAUUUUGCUGGGAAUCAGACAAACUGAAGGAGCAGAAACAGGUCUUCUAUCAUUGACACAUUAAUCAACUGAUAGAUAAAAAUAAAUUACCCCAAUUAAACAACAGGCACCAGUGGUCUAGUGGUAGAAUAGUACCCUGCCACGGUACAGACCCGGGUUCGAUUCCCGGCUGGUGCAAGCAUUUUGUUUUUCAAAUAUACGUUUUGUUGAGGUCUGCGCGUGCAAUCGCCAACAUUUUGUAAGCCGGCACAAAGACAGGAUCUGUAUUAAGUUACUAACUGAUGCCCCUCAUUGUGCUAUCAAAAGAAUUAAUCAUCCACGCGUUGUGUUUCGAGUUUCAGUGGCAUUCAACCGCAAUCGUAGAUUAGCAUCAUUGACUGACUCUCAACAAAAUGGUAUAAUAAUAUCCAUAGGCUACCCAGAGCUUUAUCAUAAUAGAUCGACUCACUUGCAGACAUAUGUACAUAUAUAUUCGAGAAUCAAAAUAUGCAGCCUCCAUAUCAUGGCACCAGCCUUUUUUUUUUUCCCCCAAUAACAUUACUAGUUCUAUAUAUGCAUGCAUUAUCAGUCUGCGGCGAUACAAGAACAAAUCGGGGCAUAAAUGCUGUCUGGCGAGAGUUUGCAAACAAGAAAACACUUCUUAGAUUCUUCAAUUUAACCCAUGUUCUUUAUGUUAUCAUAAUUUCUAAACUAUAGGAAUAGAGUGGUCUAAUUAAUUGAAAGGGAUGAACUGAGACAAGAGAAGGAUAGCAAAAUUUUGGUCUAAAUUUUCCCCAGGAAGCACGUUUACUUCUUUUUUCAUUGAUUCUGAUAUGAUAAGGCGAGAAAGUUAAACAAUGCUCUUUUGUACCCUGCAUAUCAACAGGGCCACGCUCAAAUUAAUUAAAUUAAGCUGCAGUAUAUGCCAGGCAUGCACCUAAAAACAAGAACAAAACAAGUUUGGUAAAGAAUUAGUGUAUGGCGAUAGCUUUUAACGAGUAGUCACCCUUAAUUUAAAUAUUUACUUGAUUGCUUUAGGUGAUUUGCUGCAGAAGCUUUUAAGUUACAACUGUUAUAAAAAAUAUAUAAUUAUUAAAUAAAAAUUAAUAAUACUUAUUAAAUAUGAUAUUUUAAAUAAUAAUAUUGGUAAAAAUAAUAAAAAUGAUUAAUUAGACAUUUUAGUAUUGUAACUUAAAAAUUACAACGACCAAACCUUAAUUACAAACAAAAUCUUAGUCAUAUAGUAUCAAAGAGAAAGAUUCUACGAUGUGACUAUGAAUGAACGGAAAAUAUGUUAAGUUUGUUCUUCAGGCCAUGGAAAUGAACUUAUACUUUGUCCCACGAUUAGCUGCAAUCCUUAAGAAUUUGAAGAAACAAUCGUUCGCUUGACAAUUAAUUAGACAUUAUGAUUAAUUUUGGCAUUUCUUGGAACCUGAGACACCUUGCUGGCAGAUUAAGCAACUUGUUGGAAUCUUCUAUUAUUACUUGAGAAAUUAUGGGAUCUGGAGCCCGUAUUUUAAUUCACUUUUCUUCAAUGAUCCGCACUUAUAAUAAUUCAAAUUAAAUGCAAUUGCAGCUUACAAAUAAACAUAUUAGAGAUCUUGUACCCUUAAUUAAGAUCUUAGUUGUAUUUCUACUAUUCUAAUACCUCCUUCACUUUCCCCCAUUCAACAGACAGCCCCAUAAACACCAACUUAAUAAAAUCAAUUAAAUUCAUCCAGGAAUCCUACCCACCUGGAAAUUUCCUUCAAACCACACGAUUGGAGGAUCUCAUUUUAAUGCCCUUCCAAAGAAAAAGAGGCACUUAUAUAAAGGACCCACAAGCCAUAGUCUCCAUAAUCGGCUCUCCACAGCUUCUCAAAAUAACUCAAAGCAUCCGUAAACCACCAGCAUUAUUCAAAAUGGCUCAAUCUUUUCUUCUUUGCUUGAUCUUGGCGGAAGUUUUUCUGGCUCUGGCCAUUGCUAGUGAAAACACAAAUACUCGACACAUUCUUCACUCAAACCCACCAGCAUUGAGUCCGUCAGUCAGCCCGGAUUCAUACAAAGCUGAAGCGGCUUCAAUAAGGAAACUCGGAAAGCACCAACCCGCUGCAGCUUUCAACCCAUCCGAGUCACCUCAACUUUCAAACGAAACUAAUCAUUCUUCUGAGCAAACAACUUCAAACGAACAAGAGAUUCAUCUGAAGAAGAAUCACCAUUCAAUUGACAGGUCAGUUGCUGGAGGUGGUGUCAUUCUUGGAGGACUGGCUACAACAUUUUUGGUAGCAGUAUUUUGUUACAUAAGAGCCACGGGGAGACGCAAAGCCGAUAGCCAGAUCACAGUUUAAUAGUGCUACUGUUGUAUAUCCAUGUAAUCUGAUUAAUUCUGUAAAGUAAAUAUGAUAAAUUAAAUGAGAUAUGUAAUAUUGAAUCUGGAGUUUUAUUAAUUAGAUGAAUUUCAUUAACGUAUAAAUUUAUUUAACGUUCUUCGCAAAGGCAACACUGAGUCUGAGAUAUAUUAAAUUUCCUAAUGAUUUUGUUGAGCUUUUGAAAAUCAUAUAAACCUCUCUAAUAUCCCCCAUCAACUUGCCGGGCAUAGGCUCAAUAAAUGGGGCUCCAAUUCUACAGUCUAAUCUAAUGGAUUUACAACUGAUGGGCCUGACCCGACCCUGGACUCGUCUAUCUACUAGUGUGCUACGUAUAAAUCAAACAAAAAUUUCUUGCUAAACGAGCCAGCAGCUUGACUUGCCACGUGGACUAGAGUCAACAUAUAAAUCACCUUUUGAACCUUUUCACCUUCUCGCGGUUUCCUUUCGCAAAACCAAAAGCGAAAACCUCUCUCGUAAGUUCUUCUAAAACCAAAGAUAAAAAACAGCAACAAUGUCGAACGACAAAUCGGUGAUGGCCGUGAUAAGAGCGGCGAGGCCAACCUUCAGAAACGACUUCGAUAAACUUGCAUUCGCCGUUCACGCUACUUUCCUCGCGUCCGGACACGUGUUAACCGCCACCGGCCCUUCCGCCGACACGGACUUCACCUCUCCAUCCACCGGUAAUCAAUGACUUGAUCAAACAAAAUAUUUUAUUUUUCACUCGUUUCGUUUUUUGCGUCUUUCAUUUUUAGUCUUGGCUAAACGGCUGCGUUUUGGUUUGUAGACGAAGUAGGAAUCGAUCACUGGAACGAAUUAGAUGAUAAUUACGCCUUCGUGUAUGUAAAACCGGAGAAAGGCUCAAAGAAAGUGUUAGUCAAGUGUCUCGUGAUGAACAAUAAGUUGCUUGUUGAUGCAUUGGCUGACGGAGCUUCUGAGCCUGUGCAUCUCGAAAUCAAGUACGCUUUUGGUUCCUUUUUUAUUUGCGAUUACAUUAUUAUUAUUCAUUUUUUAAAAAUUUUGUAAUUUGUUUUAUUGUUAAUGUUUUGGUGUUUUGUUGCUAGUGUUGCGGACUUUGUUGCCAAAAACGGAAGCAAUUACUCUGAUCAGUUCCAGAAUUUGGAGAAGCUUGUGACAGAUGUUGAUAAAGAGAUUAUCUUGCAAUUAUAUGGUUCCUCAAAACCAGCAAGGUGAUUUCCCUACCGUCUGGUAUAAUGAGUCGGUUAGAUAUAUGCUAAUUGUAACUCACUCUGUAUCUGUACCUGUUUGUUGUGUCUUUGUUGUUACUUAUAUUUGAGAACAAAUUACUGAAGGCAAUUAAGGCAUAUAGUAAAGAAUGAUAAUAUUAAGUUUUUUUAUGUGAUUGAUGAAUUUUCUUCUAGUUCUUUGAUCUAUUGCAGAGAAAAUAGUAUGCUUAGCUGGCUUGGAAUAUGUAGACGGUGACCAAAUUUAUAUAUUUUUUUCAUGCUCAAACUAAGUUCUAGAUUACUAGAUGUCAGUGGUACUAUUUUAUAUGUUUUAUGGGUACCAUUUAACUUAUUGUUGGUCAGGUGUUAUUAUUCAUAGAGAUGUAGGACAGAUUUUUCUGUCCACUGUAUGUUUGUGCAUUCCCUCUUGAUUUUGUUUGAUUGUGUCAAUAUGAUUGGAAUAGAUGAAACAACUGUUGGAAUGUACUUUUGAAUGGUUUGGAAAAGAAAUAACUGUUGCUUCUUUCUCCGCCAUCAGUUUAGCAUUUGAAUGUGGUAUUAUUGACAAGGUUCAACAUACAUGUAAUUUUGCAAUGUGGAGAAUUGCGCUGAAUAUGGAGUAAUAUUGGUUUUGCCAAAAUUUGGAGCUGUCAUGCGGUUUUGUUUAACUUUGAAAUUGCCCAGAGAUGCAUGACAAGGAUGCCAUCUUAUGAAUUAUCUUUUCACAGAAUUUUGUCUUGUGAAUUGCAGCUCGGAAAGAGGUGAAGGAUCAAGGCUAAACAAUCCUGAUUUUGGAUAUUUUGUUCAUCAAGGGCCUCAACCUUUGCCUACUGGGUAAACCUUCGCUUUCUUGUUGCUUCUUUUUUCCUUUCUUUAUUAUUGGGGGGUGGGGGGCCAAUGGAUUAUAUGUUACUGUAUAGCUCAUGGUUUUACUUUUGCACACUGACCCAUUCUUUUUCCUGUACAUUUAGUUAACUUAAAUUUUCAUUUCUCUAGUUCUAGACUUGUGGAGUAUGGAGUUCAUUGCAAUUGUUCUAGAUUAAUUUUAUAAUUCAUUCAAGAAUUUCUUCUGUUAUUAUGAACUCUGUUGUUCAUGUGAGGGAAACAAUUUAUGGUAAUUGUUGAUGGACUGGUAUGGUAUAAGUCUCUCAGUUUUGUUUAUAAGAUAUUUUGCAAGGCAUGUAAAUUCUUCUGAUAUAGUGAGGGAAAAUAAUAGCAUUGGAUAUCUGGUACUCAACAAGAACUCUGAUUAGCUUCCAUCUUAUGUAACCGAAUCAAUGGUACAAUUUGGUUCAACAAUGCCUCACUCUCUAUAGUACCUAAUUAUCUUUUUUAUCUUGAAAUUGGGUAGUGAUAGUCUCGUUAACUGUAGUUGAGACCAUUCUUGAGGCUUUCGCUGCUUGACAGUAAAUUUUCUAUGUCAUUUGAUACUAGGGGCCGAAAUAAUGGUCCCUAGCACAUUACCCAAUGUUCACCAUAGUUGAGACCGAUCUUUAUAAAUUGAAUCAUGUGCAGUUUAGCUUAUGAAGAAGAAGAUCAAGUUCCUUGCUUGUUACGGACUUAGGUUUUUAUGUAAAGAAUGAACUUGUCAUAUGGCAUAUAAUCAUUGUAGUUAAAUUUCAUUGAAAGCCUGGACAGAUAAUGAUGCUAAUGCUAUUCACAUGCCUGUGAUUAAAUUACAGCAGUUUAAAUGCUCAUAUUGCCAAACUUACCUGAUUUCCAGAUUCUAUAGAUUUGAACGGAAUAAUUGGGAUUGGUAUUUUUAUGUAAUAUCCUUCUUCUUUUUUUCUUGGCAAUUUCAUCCUUCGACUUCACUGUUGCACAGGCUUCCCCAAAGACUAACUUUUGUGUAAUAUAUUGCUUUGUAGAACUCCAGUUCCUCCCAUCAAUCCAGACCUUGGUGGUGAUGUCUAUCCCGGGCCCGGUGCUGGAAUGUAUCCUAGAAGGUAUGUCAGUAUCCCAAAAAAUUAGAUGUUUGUCGUUGCUGUUUCUUUUUAAUUGUGACAUGUUUAUAUCUAUUUUAAAUGUAUUCAGUAUUGCAAAUCAUUGAUUGUUUGUCAUUACUAUUUCAUUCUAAUUGUAACAUGUAUAUAUCUACUUUUACUGUCUUUCAGGGGCAGAUUUGGUGGUGAUGGGGGCAUGCUAAUAGGUUCGUAAGACAAGGCAUGUUCUUACUAGAUUGUUUAAAUAAGCUUAUCAUCUCUCUGGAAUUACUGGCUUUUAUCAUUUGGAUACAGGACCUAAUCAUCCUGGCUUUUUUGGUGGAGAACCCGAUUUACCGAGAGGGAACCCAUGGUACUUAAGAAAAUGUCUCUUCUCGUAUGAAAUGUGCAUCUUCUCAGGAUAUAAUUUUUAAUGGAUUUGUGGUGCAGGCCUAUUCCUCCAGGUGCCCGUUUUGAUCCCUAUGGCCCGCCAGAUGUUCCUGGUUUGGAACCUAAUGGAUUUAUCAGGUAUUUGUGAAUUAAGAUUCCCAUGUUAUGCUAACUUGUUAGCUUAUAAAAGCAAAUAGAGGAAAGAGUUAAAAUUUAGUGUUCCUUAUAUUUUAGCAUACUUUUGCAGUUAUAUUGACUCUUUAGAAAUUAGAAACCUAACUACUUAAGGCACUGCUACAGUGUUUCAAUUGGGGCUAAUUGAUUUGUGGUCUAGGGUGAUAUACUGAUAAUAGUGAGUGCAAUCUAGUGAUUCUACCAGAUAUAGUGGUGUCAUCUGGUAUUUGGUUUACUGCCAAUCAUUAAGGGAUUUUCAAUAAGUUAGGCAUCAUCAUUAGAACACAAACAGGGAUCAGGAUAACCUAGAGUUUGAAAUUUGACAUUCUUUGCUUUCUUUUACUUCAGAAACCCAGCACGAAGGCCUGAUGGGACUCAUCCAGACCUGCCGCCUCGUCCAGACGGUUCCGAUUUUAUUUAGGAGAGAAGACUUAGAACAUUUUAGUAUUUUGAGUGCUGUGAAUGAUACUAACAGCCCAGUACAAAGAUUUACGACCUAAUUACAUCAAAACUCUAGUAGUAUAUGCUGAACAAAAUCAAAUGUGAUGCGGGCAUUAAUUUAGAGCAGGGCGUUAAUCUAGAGUAGUGAUGCCCUUGUACAGUUUGGAUAUAAACUUUGUAUUUUAUUUGAUGUGACAAAUAUUUUGGUCUUUUAUAUAAAUCACUGUGUGGCAAUGAUCAAGAGUUUGACUCUUGACAAGUUAUGAUGAAAUACGUGGAUAUAUACUUUAUAUUUCAACUUUGCAUACAUAGCAUUGAUUAUUGAUUCAAGUAUGGUUGGUUAGGCUUACAGAAUAGAGUAUAGAGAUGCAAAAUUUAUAUGUUAAACAUGAAAAUAAUCAAUGAUUGUCUGUUUCAGGUCAUUGUUGAUUUUUUACAACCAUUAAAUGGAUAAUUAUACUGUACUAAUGAAUUGGCAAAAAGCGUAUUGCCAUAGGCAUAUUUUGUAUCUAAAUUUUGUAAUUGUAACAUAAUUCUUAAUUUCAUGACAACAGAACGAAAAAAGUGUUUUCUUGUGACCAGCCCAUUGGAAAACUUUCAAGUGAAACCUUGUCCUAUUUUGUUUGUAAUGUCAGUGAAUAUGAGGCAACUUGAACAAGAGGUGCAAUGUCCUAGACCUAGUAAACUGCAAAUAACCAUCGUCAGUGUAAUUUUAGAAGUGGAGAAGUUGCAGCUUUUGUCAAUACUCUCAUUUUUGCUUUGUUCGUAAUUAUCGCUUGAUUCAAUCAAAUAUUUAUGGUCGACAAGUAUUGACGACGUUCGCAAGUGGUAAUUUAUCUUUAUGAAUCACAACAGAUGUGAUAAAAAAAAAAAAAAAAAUUGUAACACCUCAAUUCCACAUACAUCGUAAUCCUUCUAGAAUGUAGAUUCAACAAUCCAACCACACAUAAACAGUAAGAGAAAGGUUUAAGUUGUCAUUGCAUAAUGAGGGAUUCUAGAGACGACUCACAAAACGUACAAAGAUCAAAAUUUCCAGCCAAUUUCAUCUUAGUGUCAGCUGAUAACGACAGGAUUAAGUGUGAAACUCCCUUAAAUUCAACGACAUGAGAUGAAAUCACACAUAAAACCAAAGCGACCCAUGCAUGCACUUUACUUAUUUUCCUUCAUUUUACAUUAAACAGACAAAAUGAGUAGGGUCCAAGUGAAGCUUCAUGGUAUCACCUACCCUCAUCAGAAACGUAAAGCAAUUGGAGACUUGGGGCAAGUCCAUUUCAUGAUAAUUUUCUAGAACCUCUCACUCUCACCAAUCUGAUUCAAACAGAAAAAAUCCACGCUUCUUAUAAUAAUAUUUAACUAUUUUGUAAUUUCGAUUGAACUGACGCUUCUGUUGCUCUCUUGACUCUUGUUUUCUUAUAAUUAGCAUCUAGUUUCUGGUACGCCUCAAAGAUAAAAAAAACCCCGACUGUCAUAUUAAUCAAAACCCUACAUUUGUCUUUUCAAAAAUAUUGAGAUAUGGGCACGGCCAAGCCUUCAGUACUGCCUCUGAUUCUGCUGAUAACGUUUAUUUUCAUGUCACGUACACAAAAUAGCGUUGCAGAAGCAAGGCCACUUUCAAUCAUCCCACCUCAACAGAGUAAGAAGAAUUCAAUGAAGCUUCUUUCAUUCAUCGUUUCUCUCCUUCAUUUAUGAUAACUGAUGAAUUGUUCUUGAUUAUUCAAGCUUCUUAUUAUGUAUUGUCAAUUACUGUUUGCAGGAUACGCUAAGAUUUUUGCAACUCUUGGGAUAGUUUGCAAGUGUUGUGAUGGUAGUGGAAAUGAAUGCACAAGCACGUGGACGGAGCCUUGCUCUAAGCUUCAGUGCUUGCCUUGGAAGCUGUAGUAGUUAGAUGCUAGUUUUGUACAUUCUCAUAUCAUACACAAAUGAAGUGGGUUCUGUUUCGCCCUACUAAUUGAUGACAUUAACUCGUUGAUUAUAUAGCAGCAAAAGUUUUACUUGCCCUUCUCCUUUCUGCUUUUCUCUUGUUUGUCCCUCAUAGUCUGGUUGGCCGUCACGCGUUUUAUGUCAGAUGUUGUUUAAAUUUGAGUAAUAAUAGAGAGCUAAAGAGUUGAUAUUUAGUGAGUAAAACUUCUCUACCAUCCAAACUUUGAAAAAUAAAUCCGCAAUAUGCGAAUACAAAUCUUUAAUCUGGGGUCAAUUUGUCUCAAAUAACAACAAAUGGGGUUCAAAGAAAAAAAAAAUGUUAAUUUUAAGAAGCCCUAAUUUGGUUUUUUUUUUUAAAAAAAAGCCAACUUCUGACUUCUAAUAACUCCAAUUAUUUUUUUUUCUUUUUCUGCGAUGAAAUAAUUGUUGCUUUGUCUAUCGAAAUAAAUGGCUUUGAAUUUAUUAUUUGGACAAUUGAUCAAGACUUUUGUUCAUUUGAUUACAAAGCUGGAGCCUCUCAUAAGCAACGGCUUGCAUUAAAUUUAUUUUUGGACUGUGCGGUAGACGGCUUCUAGAUUGGAAUCCGAUGUCACGGGGGGUUUUUUUUUUAUAUAUAAAUUUAAAAUAAAAGAAAAUUUGAAAUGAUCAUUUGACUAAGCAACAUUUAUUUAACAAGAAGAUUGAUUCUGAAUAUUCAAUUAUUAUUUAUUACUCCCCUCCUCAUCACCCCUCUAGAAAGCUUGAGAUGUUAAUUACGUAUAAUGAAUAAAUAUAUUUGAGACAGAAUUGAUCGGCAACUCAGCAGAAAUUUCUUUUAUAGCUGAUUAGUUUGUAGAAAUUUUUUAUGGAGAAAUUGAACUUGUCUCAAUUUAACACGAGAUAUUAAUGUUAUUGACCCUCUCACCUUUUUUUUUUUUUUUAAAAAAAUAUUCAUCUAUUUUGUUGUAGCAGCAGUCGGUCGUGUUGUUAAAAUCACACCCACUUUCUGGGUUCAGGCACAUCGAACAGCUUUGAUAGUCAAAUGAAUUUUUUUUUUUUUUUUCCUUUUCCCUUUUCUUUUUAGCGACAACUUUUUUUUAACUAUUUGUAUAAUUUAGACAGUGACAAUGUAUGAUAACGAAAAGUUUUGGUAAGUUUUGGUGGGUGGUUAUGCGGGAUAGCUACUGCACUGUAAAUGGGUUAAGGGAAAUUUUAUAGAGGGGCUAAUUUUUUUUUUCAAUAAUACUAUAAUUAUUUAGUUGAAAUAUUUAAUUUAUAUGCUAACUGAUGUGGCAAAAAGUGUAUUAUUAUUGAUUGAUUUGAAUGAUAAUUAAUUAUUAAAUCUUAUUGUUUAUAUUUAAAUAAUAAAUUUCUAUUAGUGACACAUCAGUUAGUAUAUAAAUUAAUCAUCCUAAUUAAGUAAGUAUAGUAUCAUUCUUUCUCUUUCUUUCUUUCUUUCUUUCUUUUUUUCCCAACAGCUAAACGUACAUUACAACGAAAAUGUGAGUGUUUAUCUCUUGAACCUUGGAAUUAGGGAAAAAUAAAGAUACAGAGUAAUUGGGCUGCCUAGGUGUGAAAAGCUUUCAGUUAUCUUACUUGAGGAUAUAUUAGAAGUACCUGUGUGUGUUUUAAUGUAAUUUUAAUUAAAGUCAAAUUAAAACUAUAGAUCUCGAAGAUGGACAACUUUUCAGAGUACAAUUAGAAGCACACUCUGGCCCAAAAACUAUCACAGUUCUUACGCUAGACACAAUUCUAAUAAUACCCACGGCCCAAAUUACGGACGAGGAGGUGUACUUAGAAAUUAUGAAAAAGCAUUGAGCCUUCGCCCUCUGCGUGGCCCAUCUCGGUUACUAUUUUGAACCUCAGUUUCAUUCAUUGAUCGCAAAGGGCAUUAGUUCGUCUCUUUCAAGCACGGAAUUUGUCAUCUUCGUCCAGGGCUCAGAAAAAGAUAACGUCAGAAUUUCCAAUGACAUUAAGCUAUCUAAUAUCAAGUGGUUGAGAAUUUAAUUAAAUUCUCUAAUUAUCCCCUUAAGAUGUGUUAAACUGAAACAGAUUUGCAGCCGUAUAAUUAUAGUUGGAGCAAAUGAUCUCGACCAUUUUAUGGAUUGAAAAGAAAGGGAGCCAGCGGCUUAUAUGUUGACACACACCAUUCACAGAAACAAUGUUGAUAAGAAAACGAAUGAUGGCAAUAUCUCAAAGUGGCACAUGACACGAACUUGAACGCAUGUAACCGCCCCAAAUGCCUUUCAUGUGCUCACUUUUGUUUGCAAGCGUUUCGGGGAUAAGAGAAGAGAAAAAUGAGGCUUUCUCGAGUCAAUUUUGUCCUUUUAUUUUCGUUUCCUUUGUUUGGAUGGACGUGCGCGCGCCCGCGCUUCCAUGCCUUUCAUCAUGCAAUCAAUCUUGGGUCUCAUAUCUCCUACGUAGUUGAUAAUUCCAUCCUGGCAGGAGUUUUCUUUUCGUUUCUUUCUUUUCUAAACAUUACAUUUAUAAAAAGAACGAGAGAAAGACAAGAGAAACUACAAUCCAAGUUGUCGUUUUACCUCCUCUCUCUCUCUCUUCUGUCAAUUUUUUUUCUCUCUCUCUUCUCUCAGCACAUACUUCAUUCUCUCGUCUUUCUCGCGUUCUUCUUGAUACUUAGCAUUUUCCCAUUUACAAAUCUACAAAUAUUACGCGAGUAGAUCUACUGUAGAAUUGAAAAUCUAGGGGGGCCAAAUGUUAUAGAGAUCAAAGUUUUUAAUUUUUUUUUUCUUUUACGUAGUCUAUUACAAAUCAGAUGCAUAAGAAGAAGUCCUAUCAAAAACUGAAGUUUAACCUAAUGCCUGUGAGGACGUGUCUUGAUCCUUCAGAGUUGAAGUUCAGUUUGAAAAUUUAUUAGGAGGGAAGAAAAAUAUGCUCCCGCACAUACUUAUUGAUUUCUCAACCUCAAGUAUGAGGCAAAAAGGGUAUCUAUUACUUAAUUAAGGAGUAGUUUGAUAAGGUUUAAUGUCAAAUAAGAGAAUUAAAUUAUGGGUACCAUCUUAAAAAAUUAAAGUUAUCGGAUCCAAGUCAUGAAAAUUUAUAGUUUUUCUAUACCAAAAGUCACUUAGAGCCUCUAAGGCUCCUGGCAACUUUGCUCUUGUACUAGAUCAAUUUUGUGAUAACAAUUAAGAUAUUUAGAUUUGAAUCCAAAAAAUUAAUGGUUCUCACUUCUGUUUCUUCAUAAAAUGUCUAUCCAACUUUUUUUUUCUCUCUCUCUCGACAAAUUUGUUGAACAUAUUAAUUACUUUCAUCAUUUACCUAAUAUUGUUUUUUUUUUUAAAGGCUUACCUUUAAUAGUAACAACAAACUCUUACAAAUCAACUUAAGCUUGUGGGUUAAAUAGUUUUUCAUACAAGCUUUUGGAGGCAAAAAAUUGAUGAAGUUUAAUUUCGUCCACAUGCAAACAUCUAUUUGCUCUUAUCUCAAGUUUUAUUUCAUAUUUCACGUGAGGGAGAUUAUUAGAACCUUUUUUUCGAACUUUUUUACUCUAUAACUUAAAUUUUUGAGUUAAAUAAUUUAUCUAACAUCAAUUAGGCAAAUCAAAAUAAAAGAAAAUAUACAAAUUUUGUAUCAUAAAGUUGUUUUAUAAAAUAAAAAUACAACUUCACAAACCAUGGAUAUAUAUAUAUAUAUUUUUUUUUUUCUCUUCUCUGUUGAGAUUAAGUGUUUUCAUAGAGAUAGAAGCAAGAACAAAGAAAGGCAUCUGUUGAGACAGAGAGACAGUGAAACAAACGCGACUCUCGUGGUGGUGCAAUCAAUCUUAAGCGUCUUGCCGCAUGAUGCCGUAAGCAAAGCGAGUAUCAUAUAAUUAACGUGUGUCGUCCUUUUCUUUUUCUGUUCUUAUCCAAAGUUGACAUGUCGUUUGGAAUUCUUUAAUUUGUUAUCAUCUCUAGUGUAUAUGGUGUAGGUAGGGAUGGUAAUUGUACCCGCAAACUCGUAAAUCCGUCUAAAUUCACCCGUCAAAACCCGCCCGUUGUGGGUAAUUUUACCCGUUGCAGGCGGGUUUAGUAUUAUAAAUUAAAACCUGCACAUGGAUGCGGGUGGGUUUGGUAUUAACCUUAUAUCCGGUGGAUACCCGCAUGGAUAUCCACCAAACCCGCAAUAUUUUUUCCAAAUAUUUUUAAUUUAAUUUUAAUCUUAAAAUGUAUAAAGAAAAUAAUGUCAUUAAUCAAAUUACCAAAUAGCCAAAGACUCAAAGUUGUGUAUAUGUGUAUGUGGCUCAUCUCCUAUUUUAAAGUCAUAACCUAAAGAAAACUAAAGGCAUUUCCCUUCGAAUUAGUAUUUGAAAAUAUUAAUCUUAAUUAUUAUUAUAGGUAUUGUGUUGGAUGGGUGCUUAUGGUAGUGAAUGAAAUGAAUAUCUUCUCUUGGAGCUUGUUUUAAAUGAUAAUAUGAAAUGUAAUUAUUAUUUUUAGAUACUAGUUUGUGUUUUUUAAAUGGAUUUGUGUAAUUUAUACUUAAAUUUGAGAAUUUGUGUUGAAUUGAUGUGGAAAUUUUAAUUUUUCAUUUACAUUGUUUAAAUAUAAAAUUGAGUAUGUUAUAUAGAAUUUGAGGUUAUUAUUAUAAAUUUAUAUAUUAAACAUUUGUGAUUUUAAAUACGGAAACCCGCAAAAAAUCCGCCGGAUACCAUUGCGGGUUUGGUAAUUGUUAAAACCCGCUGCGGGUGGGUUUUUUUAAAAAAAUUAAAACCCACUGCGGGUUGCGGGUGGGUUUGAUAAUUUAAAUUUUAUGCGGGUUUGGGUUUGGUAAUGACAAAUCCGCUGCGAGCGGUGCCCAUUGCCAUCCCUAGGUGUAGGUUUAGGUGGCACAUACCACUUUCAACCACCACCCUCUCCCCAACAUUAAUUUCUGAUUAAAUCUUAUUCAAAAUAAUUUAAUUGCGUUGGCCCAUUUUUGUUGAUUGUUUUCCUUAAUUCUACUGACAAGUAAUAUCUAGCCACCCCACCGGCAUUGGCAUUAUAAAUGGAGAUAUUUGUCAUUGACAUAUUAUUGGUGUUAUUUUCUUGCUAUAGUUUGUAGAUUUGUUUUUUACUUGUUAUUUGUUUUUUCCAAUUCUAAUAAAUUAUUGGCAAGUGGCAACUCAUUGUUCACCUUUCCGAACUUAUCUUAGAGGUUUCUAAUUCUUCAAACAUAAUCUUUAUUUUUAUCUUUAUCUUCCAUGUGAUUUUAGGGAUAAGGAGCUUGUGGAUGGAAGGUAAAGGUAUGUAAGAAAAAGAAAUGAUGUUGUUUACAUGUUGAGUCCAAUAUUUGUUGGACCUUGCAAUUAAUUUAAAUCUUAUUAUAACUAUGUUUAAUAGCAUAAUUGUAAAAGUAAUUUCUUUCUUUCUUUUUUUAACAUAUGUAAAAGAAAAACAAAAAAUUGAGGUCUUAGCAUGCAUGCAUGCAUACAUACAUAAGAAUAAUCUUAUUCAAGAUUUUAAACUUUAUUAAAAUCCGAAAAAAUUAUUAAAUUAUAUAAUUUAAUAAUAUAAAAUAAUUUAAUAACUUCAUCGACCAUUAUACUAUUUAAUUAUAUGACUUAAUUACUUUUCUGCUUUAACUAAACCAGGAUCUUAGAUUGUAGUUUAUAUAUAAUUCUUCCCUUAUGCUGGCUGGCGCUUUCAUUUGUAGUUGAUUUUUAUUGUAAAAUAUGGAGAGACCGGUGCCUUUUCUCUCGUGUCAUUGGUUCAAUUUGUAGAACAAGCGAUUCAUGAGAAGCUGUAAAGACGGCAGGGGUAAUAUAGUAAUCUCACUGUAUAGCAAGACCCAACCAGAUCCUACAGGAAGAAAUGCUGGGACCGCGACGAGACACUUGUCAGAAAACCGAGAGCACAUAGAUCAUGCGGCGACUCACAGUGGCCAAAGCCAACGACUAAACCUUCCACAUGGACGGAUGGACCCAUUAAUAUCACGUCGGCAACGUCUCGGCAGUUGCCCACAUCAUUAUCUCCAAUUUUAAAUCUUUAGUUGAUCGAUAUUUCAUUAUUUAAUUACCAAGAUUAUCGAUAAAAGGACCGACAUGCUUAAAAAAUUAAUUCUUAAUUUCACCUCAUUAGAUCCUGAUUAUCCUCAACUGUAUAACUCCCUUAUCCGGAACAGCGAGUCAAUGGCGGAAAUUUUCUUCACUCUUCAUCAUCGUCGUGGGUUGCCAUCACAAUUCACAAACACUAAAAUGGAAAUAAAAAAAAAAUUAAAAAAAAACAAUUGGGACCCAACAAUUUUGGACCGACCGAACCGAAACUCUCAACAAACAGAUAUUUUUAAUAAGGAUAAAUCAUCUGAGUAUAAUGUGUAUCAUUGUCUCGUACAUUGUAUUGUCUCUUUCCAUUACCCUCGUCACCACAGUCCAUCACUACCAGCAAGAUAUCAUGAACAUUGCACGGAUAUUUUAUUGCCUUCUAAUAAUUUGCGUGCUGAUGAUAAUUAUUUAUAUUACGGUGAACGACGUUAUCACAAAAUCGAAUAAAUUAUUUAAAGUAAAAUUAUGUCGCCCGUAUAGUUAAUCGGAAACGGAUAAAUUUAUUCAGAAAGAAAGAAAGAAAGAAAGACCUAGUGGGUAACUGGACUGGAUAUAUUGUCUUUGAAGAUUUCUAAAUAGAAGUAAAAGGGUGGGUCGCUUGGGCGGAGUGGAAUCCACUGAUUGUAUGGAGCAAAUCUGAGUUAAAAACAAAGGUGAAGAGGAGCGAGUGAAGAAGACAGAACAUGUAUACGUAUGUUCGGUCCGACAAGAUGAAAAGAUAAGGUCGUAAUAUUACGAAGCGUCGGGGUCUCAUCGCUCUCUCUCUCUCUCACUUACUCAGAGUCCUUAAUUUUUUUCUCGAUCGCCUGUUGUGCUGUGCCCGUAGUAGUGGCUUUUCUUUUGUCUUUGAAUCCAAAAAGAGACAGUAACAAAAAGUCAAAAAUGGGUUCCAACUUUUCGACUCUCUCAAGUCUCAACUUCCAUCAAACGAACUCUUAAGGCGAAAAAAGGCCGGAGGUUGUUGUUAUCCACUUGGGUACUCGUGGCAGUAAGCUGUUGGAGAUUCAACCCCUGGCCCCACUCCCCAGUCCAGAUUGUUCCACGUGGCGCCCAUCUGUUUAUUCCCUCGACAGGUAUAAUAGUAGUAGAAAAGGAGGACGAAGGAACAACCAACAUGGGGAAACCGCAAAGAUUAGAAUUUACAAGGUAAAUAUUAUUAUAAAAACAAAACAAAAAAAAAAGAGUAAAGAAACAGUUUAAUUGAUAAUUAUUAGAAUUUGGUAAAAAUUCAAAAGUAAAAAAAAAAGUGUUUGUUUUUAUUUUGUUGGUUUUGUUUGACGAGGGAGCCUAUAAAUUGGUGUGCCGUGCGACGGUUUCAUUUCUAACUCCGCGGCGAUCUUCACGUGUCGGUUUAAAAAUUUUCAGUUGCGAGUAGGCAAAGGCUUUCUUGUUUUUUAUUAUUCAAAGUUUUUCAAUUGCUUAUUUCCUUUGACGGUGGGGGUGCUUUGAAUAUACAAUACAGUUUGCACUUCAUACGUAUCUCUCCCUGUUUGUUUCUUGGCGGGCUAAGGCUGAGAGAUAUUCAAUAAAAACAGAGAAGCGUUUCAGUCUUUCAAGAAACAGCAGCCGAGAGAGAGAGAGAGAGAGAGAGAGAGAGAGAGAGAGAGAGAGAGAGAGAGAGAGAGAGAGAGAGAGAGAGAGAGAGAGAGAGAGAGAGAGAGAGAGAGAGAGAGAGAGAGAGAGAGAGAGAGAGAGAGAGAGAGAGAGAGAGAGAGAGAGAGAGAGAGAGAGAGAGAGAGAGAGAGAGAGAGAGAGAGAGAGAGAGAGAGAGAGAGAGAGAGAGAGAGAGAGAGAGAGAGAGAGAGAGAGAGAGAGAGAGAGAGAGAGAGAGAGAGAGAGAGAGAGAGAGAGAGAGAGAGAGAGAGAGAGAGAGAGAGAGAGAGAGAAAUGGAAGGAAGAAAGCAAACAGGUUCCUCUUCUUCAUUGACGAACGAGUUGUUCGGCUCCAAAGAAUCUUCUUCCUCCUCUGGGAUUUUCGGUUCUAUCUUUUCGCCUCCCUCUAAGGUAUUGUGGAAUCAAUUAUCAAUUAUAUUUAUGUGAAAUAAUUGAAUGCUGAGCUAAUAAUAUCAUUAAAGCUUGAUUCUUUUUUAUUCUGACACGCUGGUAUCUUCAUUUCUGUUGUUCUUUUGGGGACCACUCAUUUAUUGAGGAUGUUGUGCUGUGUUGAUUUAGGUGUUAGGGAGGGAGUCUCUGCGUUCUGAAUCAAUGGAGAAAAAGCAUGACUCUUCAAAGGAGGCAUGGAACACCAAACCCACUACUCCUGGUACGUAUGCCAGUUCUUAUAAUUCGUGCAUGCCAAUGCUAAAUUAUGUUUGAAUCCUUAUAUAAUUUGGAAAAUGCUCUGUUAUACGCUCUUGCAUUUUGAUAAUUUCUUCUAACAUGUUGAAGUGAUUUUUCUUUUUUUCUUUUUUGGGUUAUAUUGAUUAAAAUGUUUUUUUGGGGGGCUUAAGUUCUCUUACUUUCCUUUCCAGGUGAUGCAUCGAGAAGCUAUGAAACUGAAAGCCAGGGCACGGCAUAUAAGGACAUGAGUUCCAUGUAUCAGGACCAGAGAGUGCAACCGUGCCAUUUAAGUUCAUCAAUCUAUUAUGGUGGCCAAGACGUCUAUUCUCCUAGACCACCGAAUUCCCAGGGCCCUGGAGUUAAUUCUGUGGUGAGCACCUCCUGCACUAAUUGUGGCCACACACCUUUAAUGAAAAUCUAAUACCAAUUUAAAAAAAUGGAAUUUUAUUGCAUUUUAUUGUUUCUCGUAUUGAAUUGAGGACCAAAUUACUCUUAUUUAAUUGAUUGGUCUUUUAGUUUCGGAAUCUGCUAACAUGCAUUGUGAUGCUCUCAGUUCAAAAAAGAUGGAGAAGAUGAUUCUGGGAGUGCUUCCAGAGGAAAUUGGUGGCAAGGUAUUGUAUUAUAUAAUCAUUCAAUAGAUGUUUGAAUUAGUAUUCUGAAGUUGUACAGAUUGUAACUAAUACCUUUUGUGGUAAAUUUUCUUUGUGCAGGAUCUCUCUAUUAUUAAGAGUUAACUUGCCAAGGGUUGUAUACUCAUCAAGGAAGGUAUCAUACAUCAAUGAAUUUCAUCCGGAAUGCUAAAUGGUUUAUCUUCUUGUGCUUGCAUGUUCCUGAAGUGCAAUUUUGUUCCAGCUUCCUAUUACUUGAUUAAAUCUUCCUUAGUCACGCGCUGUUUAUUUAAUCAUGUCCAUGAAACUUUGUUGAUUGUUGGGAUUGUUGCCAUUUCUAUCUGCUGAUUCUAGUAUACAUUCUGUCGUGCUCUGUCUCACCCUGGUUUCUAAAAUUUGGUCAACAUUUUAUUGUUUUAGUUGUAAUUCAAGAUCAAAAACCUCAGCUUUUUGUUGUUCGAAGAUAAUAAGGACAUAUUUAUUUAUUUAUUUCUUUUGGCCCCUGAAUCUUUUUUAUUGGUUUAGUUGAAUUGUGCUGUAUGAUUUGCAGGUACAUAGGACGAUAGAGUUGCAGUUUUAUCUACCUCUUAUAACUAGUAAAUAGGAGAUAAGUUAUAGCAGUUCGAUGGUGGCAGAGCUGGUAGUUAUUGUUCCUCCAGCUCAACAGCAACAUCUUUAUAUGAACUGAUAAUAAUUGUACUUUAGUUGCCCUUUUCCUUUAUCACUGUAAAGGGUACUUGCCCUUUUCCUGUAUCACUGUAAAGGGUAUGAACCUCUUGUUUUUACUGUAAAAGUAUGUAUGGUUGAGUUACCAUUGAGUAUAUAUAUAUGUGGUCGAUGUUGAGGAUCUUAUUAUGGUUGGCCUCUCUCAGUUUUUACUUGUAUCAAAUUUUCCCUUAAGCUUUUGGAUUGAAAUCAUCUAAAUCUUUUCGAGUCAGUAAACGGUGAGAAUAGUUUUUAACACGCUGUUUCAUGGACACUUUGAGAGACAGCUUGAUUCUAGAUUUCAUCUAACAGCAGCCUUCCGUGUUCGUAUGAAUCAUUUCCUCUUGGGGGAAGAGGGUUAUAAACGGAGGAUCUUUUAUGUUACAUGCACGUAACUUACAAUCCUCUUACAUGAAUAGUGAGUGGUGUGGGCUCAUUUAUUAUUCACGUGAGAGGGUUGUAAGUUACAUGCAUGUAACUUAGCAUUUUAUAAAUUACCCUUUUUGAGCUUGACUGGCAACUGGGGAUAGAUGGACUUUCCAUCUUUCUGUUUUUUCUCGUACCCCCUCGCUUUACAUCCAUUUUAUCAGUUGAUUGUCAGUUUUGCUGGAGGUUCCUGAUAAUGGUACCGCUCAGCGAAACAGUAAGAACCAUAUGAAACUUUCCAGAUUCCAUACCUCAGAAAUUGAAUUUUUUCAGGAUGCCACGCACUCUGAGCAGGGGCCCAGCAAGCGCAAUUAUCUUGCAAUGCGUCCAACUGCUGGUCUCCGAGCAGUCUUAUCUAUCUGAGUCAGGAUAACGCAAGUCAAGGUUAUCUUUGUCCGAAAUGUGACCCACCAUUCAAAGCAGUCUCUAUCCAUUAGUUUAUUUAACAAUGCUUUUCAAUAGUGGUCAGUUCCUGGUCGUUGUGUAAGAUAAUAUAGUUUGCGGACAAAGAUUCUGCAGCCACAAUUUAUCAAUGUUGAUUCCGAGUUUUGAUGUUACUGCGUUAAGUGUUUUGUUUCCAAGGUCCCAUAACAUGCUGCCACAUCGACUGGGCUUUAGAAUAUCUGAGUCAUCUUGAAACUUUAGGGGAUGAUUUCUUAAUUGACAAUCAAAGUGAGAUUCCAAGUGGUGAGUAUUUAGAACUAGAAGACUACUGAAGUUGAGUCAAGUAAAUCACUUUCAUUAUUCUAAUUGCUAAGAAGUACAAUCUAAAACAACAUAGUCAUUUCAUCACACUAGUGACUUCAAUUCAUGGCCUUUAUUCCGGCGCGUUAUCGAAUUCAAGGAAUCGUGCAAGCUGCAAAACCAACAAUCAUGAUAUUAGUGAGUACUUGGGAUCAGCAGAAUUCUAAAACUACGGAACCAACUGGUUUCACACCGGGGUAACAAUUCUUUGAGGCCACGCAACGACCCCAACAGUUUGGAAUAAUAAAUACGACGAGAUCACGAGAUAGAAGUAACCAAGACCAAUAAACAAACGCACUUACGUCCACACUCGUAAUCAGCUGGAAGCUUUGUGAUGUUGCAGCGUUUGGGGAUGGUGAUGGCAACUUGAGGCUUAACUCCUGAUAAUUUAGCGGUAUCAGAUAGAAGAACAGCACAGAGACAGUUCGGAUUCUGGCCUAUUCUCUGCGCAUUUCUGCGGCAGCCUGCUGAGACAGGAACUUUCUCAUCUUGUGGAGCCGUUGCACUAGGAGAUAGCUUCAUUGCCUCAUCAUCCGGUGAUGAAGUUCCACAUUCUCCUGCCCCAUCAACUCUUGCAAGUGUAGCGAUGUUAACAACUAGGAGCAAGCCAACAAGGCAGAUGUAUUCUAGAAUUUGAGAGAAGCAGCCAUUACUUCCUCUGUUUUCCACAAGAGUUCCCCCCCCCCCCCCCCCCCCCCCCNNNCUCUCAUACUGCUACUACGUCAAUAUAAGCUAAUUGCCACUAAUUCUUGCACUGACAACACGACAUGUGUAGAUACCCAUUCAUAGCCAUCAUAAACGAGUUCUUAAUGUAACAAAUUUAUGUGUCAUGACAUGUUUACAUAUUUAAGAGGAUGUUUACAUACUUAAGAGGUUUGAUAAAAUGGGGAUUUAAAUUUAAUGAGAAAUUCAAUUGCUAAUGGGAAGAGAAUGGAAAAGGCGCAAAAGCUUUCUAGUACCUAAGAUUUUUACGGAAUUUUUUUUUUAUUUCUUUUGUUUUUGCUGCUAAGGGACUCAACUUUAAUGGAAAGUAACGAUACAAUUAUAAAUACAAAGAUUUGUAUCUCAACUAAUAUAACAUUAAUAUAAAUUCACUAUUUGAAUGAGAAGUAAUAAUGUUCAAUAAUUAAUUAUCACACGAAAAUAUGAGAUCGUAUGCCACAUCAGUUGAGAUAUAAAUUUUGUAUCCUAACUUUGUAAGUUUAUCAUUUAUUAAUUGAAAUAUGAAAGUUGAUCAUUUCUCAUUCUAUAAAAAUAUCAUAUUACAUUAAUUAGUAAAGAAUGAGAUUUUAUUGGGUCUCCUUUUUUUUUUUUUUUUUGAUUUGGGUGUAUGUAUAGAUAUAUAGAUUGCAUAAAAGAUAACAAACCAAACACACUAAGAAGGCUGCCACAAAAAGCUCGCGACUCCUCAAAACAGUUCGUGCUACUGUGGAUCUAAGUGUGGAAUAUCUAAACUGUGCAAGCAAAUAAUUUAAAUGCACAAAAGCUAAAGAGACAUAACGAUAAUAACUGAUAAGAGAAAAUUUUAAACCUCCUCUUUCCAUUCCUUUUCUCUGUGAAUCUCUAAAUAGAUUGCAAAGGAUUGGUUGCUAUUUACAGGAAGCAAUUAACCAGCUUUGAGCAGUGAAAGAAGUUGCGAUUUGCAUUGCACUCCUCGAAUGCGCAAGUGUGGGGGAAAAAAAAAAUGAUACUUUUCACUAUUCAAUUGCUAAAGUGAUUAGCGUGAAAUGCACGUUACUUUUAUUAAGGGAUGGAUGGAUAAACAUAUCUCAUAGCACGUACUAAAAUUUUUGGACCUUUUGAAUGUUCACAUUAUAUUUAUACUUAUUUGUUGUAAGAUAAAAUCUUAGAUAUUGAUGUCAUUAAACUAUAUACAAACUAAGGUCAGAAGGCAAUAGAGUGAGUACUUAGAACAAGAAGAUUACUGAAGCAUAGUCAAACAGAUAACUUCCAUUAUUAACAGAUAACUUUUAUUAUUCUCAUAACAGAUACGUACAACCUGCUAGCUUUCAUUGCUAGAAAUACAAGCUAAAUUAGCAACAUAUAUAGUCACCAUCAGAUUAGUGACUAUGAUUCCUGGUCUUUAAUUCUUUAUUCCAGCGUGUUACCGAUUCAAGGAAGAGUGUAAGCUGCAAAACAAACAAUUACGAUAUUAUUAGUUUUCUUUUUUUUUUUUUUUUUUUUAAAAAAAAAAAGCAAUGUAAAAAUAAUAAUUAAAGCCAAAAAACCUAUUUAGUUACUUACGUCCACACUUGUAACCAACUGGGCGAUUAGCAAAGUUGCAGCGUUUGGGGAUGCUCAUGGCAACUUGGGGGUUAACUCCAGAUGCUUUAGCGGUAUCCGAAAGCAGAACUGCACAGAGACAGCUCGGGUUCUGGCCAAUUCUCUUCACCUGAGCACAGCAACUUGCAGAAACAGAAGCUUUCUCAUCUUGUGCGGCCGCUGCACAAGGAGCUAGCUUUAAUGCCUCAUCAUCUGGUGACGAUUUUCCACAUUCUCCAGCCCCAUUAACUGUUGCAAAUGUGGCAACGUUAACAACCAGAAGCAAGCCAACAAGGCAGAUGAAUUUGAGCGAAGCUGCAGCCAUUUCGAUCCUCUGUUUUUCACUAUGCACAAAUUAAAUCCUCAACUAUAUAUCCCACAAUGCUAAAACCCCGUCUUAGUCAAGAGUUUUUAUACUGCAAAAAUGAGCUCUGUAUUAGUGGUCGCACUCAUUAUCCACUAAUCAUGAUGGAGCUUGCACUAACUGACACAUUAUAGUUGCAAGCACUUUGCUGCAUAAAAAUUGGUAAGUGAUGCCCAAUUUGCUCUCUUUGGUCUAAUCAAAAGUUGGUAUUUGCAUAUAAAAAUGAACCCAGUUGAUAAGUACCCAGAUGUUGCCAUUUUAUUAACAAUGGAAAGCCUCCAAAUGCUCUAUUUGCAGCCAACUCAUCUUCACUACACAUCUAGAAUUUUAUUACCAACAACAACAGCAACAAGACUACAGAAUCUCUUUCAAUAAAGCUAACAUUUUGCUUUUGUGGAAAUGUACGUGCAACCUUGAGAUAACUUGAAUUGUGCUCUUAAUUACUAGCAGGCCAACUGUGCAAUUAAGGAUAAUAUUUUCUUUAAACUCAAUUCUGUCCCGUGAACUUAUGAACGAACAUGUAAUGUUUCAGCUAAAAUAGCUAUUGAUUAAUUAUCAUAUGCAUUUAUUUAGUUUGGAAGGGUUUCCUUCCAAAAUGCGUUCUAUUUUCUAAGUUCCUAAGAGUGAAAGUGUAUUGGACGUAAAUUGCUGUACAAGGUCUCCAAUUUUCACACAUGUUAUAUCACUUUUCAAAAUUUUCUCUUUUAUUGGAUAAAUUAUCAAUGAAUAAAAAGUCUAGGAUCGAAAUGUGAGUUGAUUUAAUUAUUUCGAGUUGAUUUAAUUAUAUAUACGCAUCGAUGUGAAAAGGAAUCCAACUUAAUUUUCUCUAUGGCAAAUCCCACAUUGUUUAUAACUAAAAAAACUAUGUAUAACGAUAAGAGAUUCCUCAUCACCAUUCCUGAGCUUUUUUCGGCUGUUGUCUUCCUUGGCACUAGAUGAAUAGGGCAAUUUUGGAACUAAAAAAUUUGAAUGAUAUGUUUAGGUGUCAGUUUGUCACAUUUUAUCGCCUUCUUAUAGUGCGACACAUUUCCCAACUUGUGAAUAAAAUUACUAAGGUGCCUUUUUUUUAUUGAAAUUUAAAUAUACAUGAAUUAGUUUGAAUUCUAAAUAGAGUUGAAUGUCUGAAUUUAAAUGAUAUUUUUUUUCUGAAUUGUUAAAAAUAAAUAUAAAUUUGUCUUAUUUCUUAAUUUAAAAAAUCUGAAAACUAUAUUUUUACAUUUGUACCAUUACAAAUUAUAAAUAUUAAAAACUAAUAAACAUCUCAAUGAACAUGAAUAAGAUAAUAUAUUAUUAUAACAUAAAUUAUAUUCAAUUAAAUACAAACCUUUAAUAUUUUAAAUUGGUAUAUAUUAAUUAAUUUUAUUGUAGUUUAUGAUAUUUUUAUAUAAAAAAAUUCAUUAAAAAAAUUGUGCAGAUAAAUAAUGCUAAUUUGAAGAAAAUAAAAGGAUAAAAAAAUAAUAAUAGUCUACCACUAUAUUAUCACAAGUUAUAAAGAUGGGUAAUAUCGCUAAUUAUUAGAUUUUAUUUAAAUAAGGAUGAAAAUUAAUUAAUUAAUAGGAAAAUUUUAGAGAAUUUUUUUUAAUGAUAUCAUUCAAAUUUUUUAGAUUAAACAAAAAAAAUUGACUUAAUAACUUAAUGACCUAAUAUUCUCAUUAAUUUAAAAAAAAAACCGGACUUAGUGUCUUAACUUGCUGAAUUAAAUCAAUUAUGUCAAUAAGUAUUAAAAAAAAAAAAAAGCAAACAGCCCCUAAAUUGGGGAAUUUAAAAACUUGAUUCAUAAGGGCAAUACCACAGCUAAAAUUGCUUAUUUAUAAAAUUGACCCUAAUAUCAAUUUUUAUUUACAAAACUACCCCACUCAAAGAUAAUUUUUUCAAUAGGAAAUUAAAACAAAUUUAUUUUGAGUAGGAUUAAUUGCCCCCAAACCCUAAAAUGUAGACCUGUCCCAGAAUAAAAUAACCAUUCACCGAAGCUCUUCUAUUGAGGGCCUUCAAAGGAAUAUAGGAAAAGCCACUUGCCUUAUUAAAUAACACUGGCGUCAACGAUAACUUUGAAGUAGCUGUAUCUCUAGAGUGCUUAUGAAUACCCAAAAUAUUGGGCCCUUAUCAAUAAGACAAUAAUGUUACAGGUCCUAAUUCAAAAGCAGAAAUUAAGUCCCCUAAUCUACCUCCAACAAUGUAUUUAUAAAUAAUGAGUUUCUUCCGCAAGUUAAGAAUAUAAAUACACUCUUAUAUAACUGAAUAAAAUUCUCUUCUAGCUCAUCAUUCUUAAAUACACAACCCUAUAUUUUACUUAAGAGCUAGAGUGUUUUUUACACUUAAGCACUUAGUAAACAGCAAGCACAAAAAAAAAAAAAACUAUCAUUUAUUCGUGAAGGUAAAGAAAAAGUGAAAAACACCGCUACAAUAUGUAAAUAAAAGAAGGGUCUCAAGAGACAAAUUAAAAAUGAAGUCAUGCUACUCUCACAAGUUGAGCCCAAUAAAGCACUAUGAGCGCGUCACUCCUUCAAUUAUGCAAUAAUUAAGUUGGGGUAAUCUUUGCAUAAUUAAGUGGAGAUAGUUUUUUUUUUUAUAAAACGCAAGUGGAAUAAACGUCUCUUAAAUAUUAGUGAAGAUAAAAAUAUGAAAGUAUUUCAUAAAAUUUAAUGUAAACUAAUUUCAGUAUUAGUUUGAUAGUCAAUAUUAGUAGUAAUCUUAUAUAAUAUAAAUUAUAAUUUGAUUGUAGUGACAGUGUCCAAUUUAAAAAAAAAAAAACACUAAGGUCACUGGUAAGGGGCUAGGACGCAGGUCGAAAGUGUUGCAGGGAAGAUGAGGAAGCUAACAGAAAAUCAAUCAAUUUCUUUUCAAAAUUUUACAUUUGGGUGACAUAAAUUUAUAGAUUUUAUAUUCUGCCUCCUUAAGUUUACAAUCUCUUCAUUUUAGCCUGUACCGAAACAAAAUCUUUGGAUGGGCCACCACUGGUCAUAAUUGGUCAAAUCUUUCAACGACCUUAGCUCUUGAUUGAAUGAACUGAGUAAAAACGGUUUCGAAACGGCUCAAAAUUCUUGUGUAAAGCGGAAAUGGCGGACGCUGACGUGCCAAAGUUGAGUGGCUAAAAAGUUAGUUAAGUUAGUUGAGGAUUGACAGCAAAUGCCAAAUGGUAUCUGAGCGAUUGGUUUUCUUCAUGGAUGUGGCCUGUGGGUCUGAAAGGACGAACCACUAAUAGUUUCGUGUCAUCUUUUUGUUAUAUCCUCUUGCAUUCAUUGUAUUGGAUGUUUAAUGUUUUUAGGCUAAUUACUGUGACAUCUUUGAUUGGUCCUUCAUGCAUGAUUGAUUUUGAAAAAGAAAAGCAAAAGUGAAAUAGAUAACGUUCAUUAUUCUCACUUUGUAUUACAACCUGCUAGCUUUUAUUGCUAGAAGUACAUACAAGCUAAUAAAGUAACAGUCACCAUAAACCCAGUGACUUCAAUCCAUGGCCAUUCAUUCCAAUUCAAGGCAGUGUGUAAGCUGCAAAACCAACAAUUAUGAAAUUAGGAAGCUAGUGACUAAUGAGGCAAAAUUAUUUAAAAGGCCAAGAAAAAAAGUCUAGGAACUAAUCAAGAACACUUACGUCCACACUUGUAACCAACUGGGCGAUUAGCGAAGUUGCAGCGUUUGGGGAUGGUGAUAGCAACUUGAGGGUUAACUCCAGAUGCUUUGGCGGUGUCCGAAAGCAGAACGGCGCAGAGACAUUUCGGGUUCUGUCCCAUUCUCUUCACCUGAGCACAGCAGCUUCCAGAAACAGAAGCUUUCUCAUCUUGUGCAGCCGUUGCGCAAGGAGCUAGUUUGAUUGCCUCAUUAUCUGGUGACGAUUUUCCACAUUCUCCUGCCCCAUAAACUCUUGCAAAUGUGGCAACGUUAACAACCAGAAGCAAGCCAACAAGGCAGACGAAUUUGAGUGAAGCUGCAGCCAUUUCGAUCCUCUGUUUUUCACAAUGCGCAAAGUAAAUCCUCAACUAUAUACCCCACGAUGCUAAAGCCCUAUCAUAGUCGAGAGUUUUUAUACUGCAAAAUGAGCUCUAUAUUAGUGGUCACACUCAUUACCCACUAAUCCGAAUGGAGGCGGCACUAAAGCGUUGUAGUUGGGAGCACUUGGCUUCAGGAAGAUUGGUGAGUCGCAAUGUUUAUUUUGUCCUUCUUGUCCAAUCAAGGGUUGAUAUAUAUUUUCCAUAUAAAUAUGAUCCCAUUUUUAUAUCUUUCCAGAUGUUGCCAUUUGAAUAGCAGUUGAUGGCCUCCAAAAGCUCAGUAUGAAGCCAACUCAUCUUCAAAUCUAGAAGUACUCCAUUACUAAUCACCAACGGCGAAAAAACUAGAGAGCCUCUUUCAAUAAAGCUAUCAUUCUCUGGAUACGUGUAACCAAAUUAUUACUACCUACGACAGACCACAUUGCGGCGUGGCCAAUAUCUAAGGUUCAUGGAACGAGCAGACCAACUUUAAAACUCUAACCAAAUUAGGUUAAUUUCAAAUGGUUCAUAGUACCAUUUCUCAACUUUUGCAUGCAAAAGAACACAUUUUAUGACUUUCAUUCAUUUGUUGGAUGACAAGAUGUAUUAUACUAAGGCCUUGUUUGGGAGUGGUGCGCAAUGGCAUGGCUUGGCUACCACAAUUACAGCACUUCCAUGCGCAAAUUAAAGUGAAAAGUUCUUGGUUUGUAGCUGCUUGGCUGCUGCAGCGCAGCACUAGCAAACGGGAACUUAAAUGAAUGUCAGUUUAUUACUAGGAUGAACAUAGCCACCAAAACAAAAAAAAAAAAAGGCUGAACAAAGACAUUAAAGGCAGAUAAUCUAACAUAGUUUUUACCACAUCCUAAAAUACGAAGUGGGCUCAGAUAUUUAUUGGUGAAUAGGAUAUCGCCGUUGCCGGGGAUCCCGGGUCGCCCGCGUGACAGGCGGUAAAUACUCACCACUAUACUACAACGACUUUGCAUCGAGUGUUUGAAACAAUAAAAAAAUAACUAUAUCAAGGCGAGGUGGGCCAACCCAGGACCGCUUGAGGGGAAGAACAGGAGCGUUGCAGUUUGCUGAACUCGGUCGUACAUGAAAUUUUAAUUAUAAUUUUAUUGUAUUGAAAUACUCCAAGCAAAGUCGUUGUAGUAUAGUGGUGAGUAUUCCCGCCUGUCACGCGGGUGACCCGGGUUCGAUCCCCGGCAACGGCGUACUGAAUUUUUGUAUGGCCCAUGGUGGUGGUGAUUUGGUUUUGAUCAUAUUUGUGAUUUUAAAACCCUCAAAUCGAGUCCACAACAAGGGCAUUUGGUCUAGUGGUAUGAUUCUCGCUUAGGGUGCGAGAGGUCCCGAGUUCAAUUCUCGGAAUGCCCCAUUUCUGUUUUCUUUUUUGCUUCAUCAUCUUACCCAUUUUUUUUAUUUUUGAAGUUUGAACUGUUUUAUUUUACCUUAUAGGGGUGGUAAUUUGUGGGCUUGGGCCAGGCUUUUUCGAAGCUCAUGCCUAAGUUCACACUGUCCAAAUAAAGUUCAGACCCUUUAAAAAUCCGUUCAAUUUGGAUGGAUGAGCUUAGGUCGGACUCAUGCUUUUUUAUUAAUUAUAAAAUAUUAUUUUUAAUUAAAAAAUAUUUAAAUUAAAGAUAAUUAUCUAAUACAUAAUAGAAUAAUAGUCCAAUGUAUAAAAUAUUAGUAAUAAAACCUAAUAAAUAACAAAUACUAAUAUAAAAAAUUAAACUAAUUUAAUAUUUUGAAUUUUUUUUAAUUAAAUUUAUUUUUUAUUUAUAAAUUAAAAAAGCUCAGGUCAAGUCCAAGUUUUUUUGUUAAGCCUUUGUUCAGAUAUAUGCGGGCUUUACAUUUUUUGAGACCAUAUCCAACCCUAACUGGCGGGGCUUUAGGCCCACCGGCCUAGGGUGGACCUGGGCCGGCCCAGACUUUUUUGCCCUUCUGAUUCUAUCAUUCUAAGGGAAUAGCUGCAUAUAUAAGCACAUUCCUGGAUAAGCCAUUACGAAAAAGAGGUACUGGACUCAUUAUCGUUAUAGGUAUCUCAUUACCACAGAUUUUAACAUCAUGAUAAGCUCUCGGUAUCCAAACGUUUACCCAUUGCUAUGAAAAGUAUACAUCAAAUAACUAAGUACGGUGAAAAGCUCUCAAAGCUUUGGCUCAUAAUCCCAUCCUUAAAAUCCCUUCCUCCACAACUCGGUUUUUUGUUGGUGAGCUUACUGCUUUUUUUGUACACUCAAAUGAUUCUGUUUCAGUUUGAGAUGGAGAUGCUUCUCGAAUUAUGUUUAACGUGGAAUCUGCUUCAUCAAUUGAAUUGCUGUAAUCUUUCCCUUUGUUCUCAAUGCUAAGAUAAUCUGUCAAUGCCUUUUUCACACCCAUACCACGCUGGGGAAUCUUGCUGCUCGUGCGGAAUGGAGAUAUAUCUCCCUUUGCGGGGCUAACGAGUGCUGGUGAAAGGGUUGGUGUAGCGAAAGCUGAUUUAUAUGGAGUGCUCGAGAAAGGCACUGAGUAUGGGAUUGAGAUACUCUUAUGAGCAAUCAUACCACCUUUUGACAUUGGAGAGAAAGAGUCUGAAUGUUUGGUCAGGUCAUCCACAUAAAGUAGAUCAUCAAUACGUGCCACAAUGUUAAAUGCCAAGCUCUCCAAAACUCUUGAGUAACUCUCCAAGAUGGACUUCCCAACAUCCUAAAUAAUACAGUGUGGCAUAGUUAGUUUAAACUAACAAUCUAGUAUGACAUUGAAAUUUAAAAGUGCUAUUAUGAAUAAAUUAUUGGACUGGUGCACGAUAUGCGUACCUUGUUAUACUGAAUUUUGCUCAUAUCUAGAGUUGUCUGGGGAAGACCAGGGAACCACUGUUUCAAGCAAAGUAGGAGGCUUUCUGCUCGAUCUGCAAGUAAUUCUCUCUUCUCUGUAUCAACAACAAAUUCUUUGACCAAUCCCCAUGAUGACUUUGAACUGGACCGGGUUGUGCUAUUGGCAGGCUUAGAAUUGGUUCUUUUGCGCCACACAUACAUUGCAGCCUCUACCCGGUUGGCAAUCUCUGUAGCUUGAUGUUCAGAUGACAAAUCAAGGCAUUCAAGCAGAUAUUCCGGAGAAAACUGAUCUGAUGAAAUGUAUCGAUAAAUAAGAUCUCCUAGGCUGACUCUUCCAUUCUGAAACCAAAAUAAAGCUCAGAUUCACAACACGGCCUAUUUGGAUCUCAUAACACUAGAUAUAUAUGUAGAGGAUUUUACCUUUGGAAGAGACUCAAAGUAUGAUUCAGGGACUUCCAUGUCGGCUAGAGUAAUGCUGUUGAUAGCCAUGGCAGCUUUUAGUAUUUGGUUAGUACAAUCACGCUUGUGCUGCAACUGCUUUCUUGUAUUUUCAUGGAGACCACCAAGAGGAACCCGAGGCACAGGUAGCCACCACUUUUCCUCCUGACGCUGUAGGGCUCUUCGGAAAGAGGUUGAGCCAUCAGCCUCUGAGGCUAGAAUCCCUUGGUCAACAUACCAGAACUCUGUAUUUUCGAAACUGUCCAAUAUUUCCUGCCAAAAAAGAUUGAAUUCAGAAUGACCUUAUUCACCUGGAACAAGUUACAAAGUCAAAAGUGUUGCUAAAUCUUACCAGAAGCAUGUUAUCUAAUUUGCGCAGAGCCGGAAGGUUAAUGUAGAGAUCUGAUCUGGGCCUGCAAGUCAUUACCUGCAGAUAAUGUCAAAUAGAUGAUGAGAACAAGUUACAGCAUAUCAUUUUUCUGACCCUCAGAGAUAAUGCUUUUCUCCUAAUAAUACACAUACACUGAUCCAGUUAGCCGUCGUGAAUUAAGAAGCAAAUAAUUAGGAUGUACAAUCCAAUGAAAUUGAAUGACCCCAUGAGUUUUAUAUAAAAUUUGAUGCUACAAAUUCAAAAUAAAUAAAUAAAUAUUAUAAUGCAAAGCAAUUGCUAGUCACUUGGGGUAUUUCAAAAGUGAACAAUGUUAUUGGAAAAUAAAAAGCUUAGAGCUUUACCUCAAGCUUGCUACCAUCUGGAAAUGUUUGCCAAGAGGGUGUCAGCUCAACAAUGUGAUCACUCACACAAAGAAACCAUUCCAUCUCUCUUCGCCACAUGGCUUUCUUCUCAAGGGGAAGUGGUUCCAACCUCCAAAGUUGCCCAAACAAGGUAGCUGCAAUGCAAUAUUGAUCAGACCAAGAGCAAUCACUAUCAUAGAAAAGCCAACACAAAAAUUACAUCAUCAAAUACAUACAAUAAUUAUAGAAAAUUCAUCAAGCAAUAUAUUAAGCAAAGAAAUUUGUAAGCUAGCUUACGUACCACAAAGAUUAGUGAUGGCAUUUGAAAUAGCUAAUGCAGUUGAAACCCCAUUUCCGCAACCUGACAUAUCUUCUCCAAGCAGCAAUUUUGCAAACCUCUCCUUCAUCAUUUCAACGUCUAUAAUGCCAAUCACAAAUAAUCAAACACAUUAUCAAAAGAAAUUAAUUAUAGAGUCUAAAGAGAAACGUAGAAAAGAAAAUACCCGGAAGUGUUGAGCCUUUUUUCUCCAAAUCCAAACGUGAUUUCUCUAUUUUUUCAUUACCAUCAACACUACUACUAUCUUGUGCCUCAGCUUUUUGUACAGGCCACCCUAAUGGAGGAGAAGACGAUUCCUCAGAGCUACUGUGGCUCUGCUCCUCAUGUCCUGUUGUCUCAGAUGUCAAAAAAUCAGAACUUGAACUGCUCUCGCGACCUUUCUCUUCAAUCGACUCCCCAAAUGUCUCCACUCUGCUCACAUUUUCACUAAACUCGUCAUGCUUAAUCUCUUCGUUGCCUUCAGUUUUCUCUACACUCAAACCCUCCAUUGUCGCUAACUCUUCUUCAACUAGCUCGGGCGUUGAACAAAAAACAGAAUUGUUCACUACCAUAACAUUACAUUCAAGCCGUUUCAAGCCACACCCACUUGGGAAUCCAACUCUGCAGUAAAACUUUUUCCAAGAUUUUGACACCCAGAAACCGAAAAGAGAAAAUGGGCUUGAGUUAUCAAAGCCUCUAACCUUCACUGCUGGUACACGAGGCUUAAGCUGGUAGCAUUGUUGUAGCUGUUGAGGGUCUUCUCUUUCUUCUUGGUGAAUGAAAGCGCUAUCCAUAAGGUUUCAUUUUCAAGAACCAUUUCUGCUUCUAUUUGAAGGGUAAAACAGAAAGGGGAAAAAAAAAUUAUGUGUGUUACUUGUGAAAGGAGCGUUGUAAAUUUAUGCUUAAAUCAUGUGUAAGAGACUACACACUGAAGUUCGUCGUGAAUAUUACUGAUGCUUGACAAAACAUAUGACAUGUGAAGCAAGAGUUAGAGGCUCUCUCCUGUCCUUGAAUAUUUAUGAGCUCUGUUUUAGUCUUAGAUUUAUUUUAGGCCACCAUUUUUCACUUUUAAAGCAGAGAGAGAGAGAGAGUCAAUAAAAAUAAAAUGCCUGUGAAUCUGUGGCUCCUUUUCUCUCUCUUUGGCUUUGCUUUUGCUUAGACAAGGCUCCUAAUUAUAAUGAUAAUCAUGUAUUAAUAACACUUAGUUUGGUUCAAAAUAAUAAUAAAGUAAAGGCAAUAGGAAAUUGGGAACCGUGUAAACGACGGAUCUAUCAACGAUGCCUCCCAAUUUAUCCUUCAUUAUGUUUCUAACUUGAACUUCCCAAGACAAUGGGCUACGUUUUAAUUUCUAAACUUCAAGGACUAAACUAACCUUUGCUAAUUAAUUAAACUCCCUUAGUGCCAACUUGUUGCAUGGUAAUCGAAAAUGAAAAUUUAUUUUAUUUUUUUCAUAGACAAGUUUCCGUGGGAAAAUAUAUCUGGAAAUUGAUCGGCUAUAAUCGUUCCUAUGUUUGAAGGGUUCUAAAAAGGAUAACAGAAAAGGAUGCUUUGUCAUGGAGGGCAAUGAACAGGAAUCCGAUGGACGGCAGGGUAGUUUGGUAAUUUAAUCAAUGCAGAGGGGUUUUUCAAUAGCACGUGUCUUGGAUAUGGCCAACAAAUUACUUUAAUUAAUUCCAACAUCAUUAGGGUUUAAGGGCAGGGUGCUAUUCUAUUACGAGUAUUAUCCAAUAUUUUUAGGGUUCGAAGGGCACUGUAGUAAUUCCAAUUAUGUUAUUUUCAAAUUUAUUAGCUCUCUAAUCACUUGGUGAGUCCAUACAGUCUCUUCUAAUUAUUCUGGUGUAAAUAGAUGACCUCUCUAAUAAGUCACAAAUAUAAACUUAUCAAAAUAUGCAGUAGAUGUGUGAGUUAAUGCUCUGAAUUGAUUCCAUUAAAUUUUUUUCAUUAUAAGAUAUGAGUGGAGUUCUAAUUUUUAUCAUAUGGGUGUUCAAAAAAAAAUAAAUUAUACUUUUGUUUUUAUACAAGCUACUUUCUUGUGCCAUAUGCUUAAUUUUGAUAUUACUUUUGUUUCCUAGUAACAUUAAAAAAUAAACAAAGUGUGAGAGAAAGAUGAAAAUAAUUUAUGAAUAGGAAUCUAAUGAGUGCAACAAACUAAACCUGAUGAUUAUCUCAUAACAAACACCAACAAUGAUAACGAAAGUGACAUUAUUGAAGUUGUAGUUCAAGAUCAAGAUCUCAUGACAGGAAUAUUUAAUUUAAGCACACUCUUUACGAUCCUAAUGGCUUUGGUUCCCGUCAGGUUGGUCUUUCUUUUUGUAACUUUCCUUACAAGAUUUGAUGCUUUUCGGCUCCCUUAAUUCUCUCAUCUGUGAUCAUUCUGCCGGUUGUUCAAACUUAACCACAUUUGAAAACGAAGGCUCCUCCCAACGGCUACCAUUACCAGGUUUGUUAAGCUGAUGUUGACAUUUAAUUUGAAAAUACCCCAGAGGGAAAAUUUCAGAAAACUUCAUUUGCAAGCUCAGUUUUGGGUUUUUUUUUUUUUUUUAAAAAAGAGUAAAGUUAUGGUAUAUAACUUUGUUUUAAAGACUGAUCUAUUUUCUUUAUAAAAGUGUAUUUAUAUAUGUGUUUGUGUACGCCCAAAUGUAGUCUUCUUAUCCGGGCUUUAUUUCAAUUUUUGAAUGCUGAACAUUCGAAUGGGCUAGCCAAACUUUUUAGCUCAUAUCAGACAAUGUGCAUGGAAUUGGAAUCUAUUCAAAAAAUUUUGUUACCAGCUGUUGGGUAAAACUAUUUAUGGCAUUACCCGCCUGGGUGCCCGUGAAAGAAGUGAAUGAGAAUGUUUGAAAUAGUGUUUCCAUAACUCAUCCUGUUUUUGAAACUUGAAUAACAAUUUGCAGGUGUUAUUAACCCAUGAAAUUUGGAUGGUGAAUUUUUCGUUUUCGUCUUUUUCAAUACAAGUCUACUUAUUGGUCCAUUAAUGGAGGUCAUUCUAAAGUUAGUCCAUAAUUUUCAGUCAUGACUCGGUCGAUGGAGCAUUGCGUACGCUAGAUAGAAAUGGUGUGGUGGUUUUUAUGUCCUGUUAGGAAGACUUGUAAUUUGUUGGGUGAGAUUUAAGCCCAAGAUCCUACAAAAUUGACAGAGGACAGAAUCUUUAUGGCUUUCUCAUGGACUCUGUUUUAGCCUUGAAGGGCCAAUCAGAAAAGGGCUUUGAGUUUAGCCCAAUCCAAAAUGAAAAAAAAAAGUCCAUCCAGAUUUUGUUUGAGUUUGGUGGUCAAACAGGCUUCAACUUUGACCAUUUCAGCCUGCGGGAUUACAACUGCUUAUCUGCCGCAACAAAACAGUCGCCAUAGCUUGCAUCAUCAGUGAUCUUUUGAUCCCUUGGAUCUUCAAAGUCUUUUGGACUCGCUCUAUACUCGUGCGUGGAAAGUUACCGAAAACUGCCCAGAAAAUUAUAUAUACAAUGAAGACUAAAUGAAUCAGAAUAAUCUACACUAAAAAAAAGGAAUGCGUGUGUGUGUAUACAGUGUUUCUCUUAUACUAGCGUCCUCUUUUUCUUUUUUUUUUUCCUUUUUAUGAAGAUAUAUUAUUAGAUCUUAUGAUUCAGUACAAUCACACUAUUAAAUAAUAUGAUUUUAUAGUGAAUUAAACACUAAUUUUUUUAAAAUCAUAUGACUAAAUAGUGUGUCCACAUAAAAAAAAAAGAGUAUGUCGGUAUCUGAGAAUUUUUAUAUAUGAAAAAAUAAAGGAACUCUUAAUUUAUGAAAAUUAAAAAUAAGUAAAACAUUCAUUCCAAUGCAAUAUAUUUUAUCUUAUAAUGUAUUGAAAUAUGUUUUUUUUUGUCUUUUAUUUUAAUAACUUAAAGAAUCAUUCGUACUUAGUGUUUAUUGAAUUCGAGCUUAGAAUUCAGGGAAGAUUUAUGGUACCAUAAAUCAGUUUACAACAUUAUAAAAAUCGAUUUACAACAUCGUAAAUCCGUCCUACACUUUAAUUCCAAAUAAAAAAAUCUUUCUCAUUAUAUAUAUAUAUAUAGAGAGAGAGAGAGAGAGAGAGAGAGAGGUGUCCUACGAUGAGGAUUAUCAAUCCAUAAUCAAAAUUUAAAUCACCGUCCCCAUUGUAUAUUUUUUUCAAUUUUUAAUGUUCAUGUAUUCAAUUUUCUAACUACUAACCGUUGACAAUUUUGAUCAAAAUCUCAUAAAUACUGUAGAGGAGCUAAAUGAAACUUGGUGGCUAAGUAACAAAACGCUGAUCAUCAAUCCAUAAAUAGGCAUGGGGCAUGGAUAAUCAAACACAAAACAAUAAUAAAGUAACAUAUAUAAUAUGGCUCAAGUGCAGUUGUUUGGAUUAUGGGGAAGCCCUUUCAGUUGCAGAGUAGAGAUAGCUUUGAAACUGAAAGGAGUCGAAUACGAGUACAUAGAAGAAGAUCUUUCUAACAAGAGCCCUUUGCUUCUACAAUACAACCCCAUUCACAAGAAAGUUCCUGUUCUUGUCCACAAAAGAAAGCCAAUUGCUGAGUCACUUGUCAUACUCGAAUACAUUGAUGAGACCUGGAACGAACGCAAUCCCAUCUUGCCUCACGACCCCUAUGAACGAGCCACGGCGCGAUUCUGGGCGAAGUUCAUCGAUGAAAAGGUUAAUGUAAUUUACAAUAUUAUGCAUAAACAUAUGUUUAUUGAAUUAAAUUUCAGUGCUUUUGCUUAUUUCUUGCGGUUAUGAAUUUAGUGCAUCUUUGCUCUGUGGAAAGCCUGCUGGAGUGAAGAGAAAGAAAGGGAGGAGGCUGCGAGAGAAGCCUGCGAGCACUUACAAACGCUAGAAGAUGUGCUCAAAGAUAAGAGGUUCUUUGGUGGAGACAUGAUCGGGCUAGUUGAUAUUGUUGCGAACUUCAUGGGCUUUUGGCUCGGAAUCAUUGAAGAAGCCACGGGAGUUAAGUUAUUGACAGAAGAGAAAUAUCCGAAAUUAUACAAAUGGAGUGAAGAGUUUGUCAAUUGCAGCGCUAUCAAGGAAAAUCUGCCUCCAAGAGACAAGCUUCUUGCCUAUAUGCGUGCUCGUUAUGGAGUGUCCAUAACUUACUAGAAUGUUAAUUCUAAAUAUGGGUGAUGUUAAUGUUACUUCUUGCUACCCAUGUUGUGGUUUAUGCUUCCUUAUAUAUGUAAUGUCAUGUGGCGCUUUUUAGUCUGGUUUUAGUGUCGGCCACACCUAUUGGGCCACUGAAAUAUGAUGUGUUAUGGCAGAUUGCACUUGUUUUCUAUUUGACAUGAAAUAAGACAGUAUUUAAUAUAUUUUCUGGAUUUUUUCUAUUAUGUCUUCAGGUUUUUCGAUAAAAUGCAAGCAAGACUAAAACAAUUUAAAAGGUAGCUCAUGUUUAGCUUGGGCAAAACCAAAGAAAAACUUGUCUAAGAAAGAAUCCAUUGUUCAUAACUCGUUGAAGAAAUAAGGUGUUUGAUGAAAUGCCUGUGAGAGGGAAUUUCGGAGUUAAAAUUCCGCCACUCAGCACCGAUGACUUGGCAGUAAAUAAAAUGGAAAAUGAUGACACAUCACUAAAGUUUAACUACAAGUAACUUGAGUUGGAUUGAAGGUUCAAGGGAUAAUAUGUAUACCAAUAGUAAUGAUAUGGUUCUUCAUUUGGAAUACAAAUUUAUAUCUCAAGUUCGAAAACAUGUCAUUACUCUAAUAACAAUAAAUGAAUGUCAUAUAUAUAUAUAUAUAUGCUUAUUCAUCUUUUCUCCUCAUAUAACAAAUCCAUGAACAAUCUCAUGAACUGCGGCCAACUUCAUUUGAUGACUCAUUUAACAAAUUCAACGUAAUUAUCACAGUUGAGCUUCGAAUUUUAUGUAUUUGGUAUUUUAUUCGUCUUGUGGGAUCCAAAAAAAUCGUAAUUGGGAUAGCUACAAUUGGUUUAAAGCAUAAGAAUGAUUACACAAAGCUUCAAACCAAAAAUAUUCCAGGGAUUUAUGGCCGUUUAUUUAAUCUGCCCCCGGUUGUUGGACCGUCCGCCGUCGGGUAAUUAGCUGCCACUGCCUUUUUUUUUUUUAACCAAAAUUUAUACAUUAGGUCUUGCCUAAUAAUUUUUACCAAACACCAAAACCUUUUCCUUAACAGUUAUAGUUAUUAGGGUGCAUUUGGGAGAGAGGUGUUGUAGCUGUUCUGGAGUAAAAGUUAUAGCUGUGGAGUAUAAGCUAAUGGUGUUCGGUAAAGGUGUUGUAGCUUUUAAAUUGUAGUUGCUAAUGGUGUUUGGUAAAGGUACUGUAACUUGUAAGCUGCAGCUAUUGAUUUUGUUUGGUAAAUUUUAAUAGUUGUGGAGUAGAUGAAUAUUUGUAAUAAUUAAUUUUAAAUAACAUUAUUUUUAAUUGUUAACAAAUCAAAUUAUUUUUCAUACUUCGAAUUAUUUUAUUGACAUACAAUUACGAUUUAUUACUUUACAAAUUAAAUUAAUAUUUAUUUGUUAACAAUCAAAUUUAUUUUUUUGCACAAGUUGUAAUAAAUAAUUUUUAAAACAUAUCAUGGGGCCAAUUAUAAAUAAUUUUAAAUAACUAUUGUUGACAAUGCCAACCGGGCAAUGUAAUUUUAAAAAUUAUCCCAAUAGAAUAUUUUUAUUUAUUAUUUUUCCCCCACAAAACUCUAGAUAUUAUCAUAUUUUUUAGUGUGUUUUAUAAAUUACUUGGUGGACUAUCUAUCCAUUCAAACCCAGUUUAAGUUUUGCUUCGGUUUGUACAUGAUAUGAUUAAUUGAGUAUUAUUUAUUAUACCAAAUAUAUCUAAUAAAGAUCAUACAACAAAACAUAAUAAAAAAUUUCUAUUGUUGUUCCUCCAUUAAACUCGCAGCAAUGCCAUCUCUCAAGAUUAUUAUAUCUUGAGUUGUGUUAUCAAUUGUUUCAUAACUUUCUUCAUGAGAUUCAAUAUUGCUUAUAUGUUUGUUAUUUCAUCAAAAUGAUCAUAAUUUUGUGAAUAUCUUCUGAUAUAAUUAUGUAAGGUCAUGGUAGUAAUAACUAUUUUCACCUGCUUCUUGAGUGGAUAGCUUGGCAUAUUUCGUAAAAUCUUUCAUGUAUUCUUCCAAACCCUAAAAGUACGCUCAAUAACACUUCUCAAGGAAGAGUGCUUGCAGUUGAACAAUUCUUUAUAACCUAUUUGUUGGCUACCUCUACGAAAUCCAGGAAUAACCCUUAUAAGGUCCUAAGUACCCACAUAACUUCGGAUAUCUUGCAUCUACUAAAUAGUAUUUUCCUAAAAAUAAAAAGAAAAAUACAAAAAAAAUAACACAAUCUAAUCAAUUGAAUAAGUAUUUAAAAAAAAUUAGAAAUACAAACUUGGAGGAGGAUUUGGAUAAUUGAAUGCAGGAUUCGUAAUAGUUGUUUGAAAUACCCUUGCAUCAUGGGCACUGCCUUCCCAACCAGCCACUGUAAAUAUGAAUUGCAUAUCAAAUCUACAUACAGCCAUUACAUUCUGAGUUGGUGUCCCUCUUCUACCAAUAAAUAGAAUUCGAUCCUCCGAAGAUAUUGAGGCAGGUAUAUGAACACCAUCAAUAGCACCAAUACAAUCCUAAAAGUAUCACAAGCAUAUAUACAUUAAUCAUUUUAUGAAGUGGUUAGGUUUGUAAAAGAAAAUUAAUAAAUUAAAUUAGCUUUAUCAAUUACCUUAAAGUAAUGUAUAUAUCUUGAAUCUUCAGAUAUCUCUUUGGGAGUGAUAAUAAAGUCAGGAUCCAACAGUUUUAUCAAAUCUACGAACAUGCGACACAGACUAUCUAAUACAUUGUCAAAAUAUCUACUCAUAGUAUCACCAGAAUGUUGGAACCGCUCCAUUAUUGACCGAUUUCCUACACUUUUUCCUAGUAUAUACAAAAGCAUUCCUAACAUCUCAGCGCCAUAUGCUCUCCUUGAACUCUUUAACCCAUAAUUAUCUUCUAAGCCAGUGCAUAAUCUUAAAAAUACAUCAUUGUUCAUUCGAAAUAUGUUAAAGCACCUGCUUACAUUUCCACCAAGUGUUUCUAUCAACUAUUUAUGCCCUAGUUAAGUAGAAUUCAUACAAGGCUCCUUAUGGAUAAAUGUCAAAUAAUAAUGAUGCAUCAAAACAGAUGUUACACAAACAAGCUGGUCAAACUCCUUUUCAUCAUUAUCCAUAUUUUUAGAUCAAAUCUACAACUGAUUAUCUAAAAUUAUAAUGGGAUAAUUCAAACUACUAGCUAGCCGAAUUCAGACUCCACUCUCAAAGUAGAUUUAUGAUUGGCAAUAAUCUUUUGAAUUUCAUUAUGUAUUGUUCGUAAAAAAAAGGGAAUAAUGAAAUAAUUGCACAAGUAAUUGGAUUCAUUGUUGAAAUAUAAAACACCAUUCAAUAAAAGAGUAAAAAAAAAAACAUGAAAACACAUUAAGUCUGAGAGCUUGAAGUUGUGUUCCUUUUCUCUAUUGCAUCAAUGAGACGAUCAAGCUGCCUUGACAGUUUUACAACAUCUCCUACUUUGUUCCCUUUUACAACCACUCUUUUGCCUUUGCUUCCCUUACUAUCAUCAAACACGAUAUACUCAUCAAAGUCAGCAGUACUCUUAACACGAAGAGAUUCAGACGCGUCAUUACUCUCUAAAGGAAAACCAGAUGAGGGAACCCAAACAUGCUCACCCGUAGCCACAUUGUUCAUGAACAUUAAAUUUAUUUUUUUUCUCCAACUCUAAUACCAUUUUCUUUUCCCACCAUUCCUCACUUGCAUCAACUGUCCUCAACCUAUGAUUUCACCAGUUUCUUACCAAUCAAAUUCUUCCACAAUUUCCAAUUAGUUUUAAAAUAAUCUCAUUUAUUUUUCAUUUGAGUUCUGUUGUAAUCUAAUCCAGUUUCUUUAAUGAACUCCUUAAUUAAAUUUUCAUAUCCUUGGGAAGUCAAAUGAGUCCCAGGACGAUGUCCGACAUCCACCUCUUUAAUGCAUAAGUCACAAAAUACAUCUAAAGUCUAGGCGUUCUAGGUAGCCUUACUAGUUGAGCUACAAGACAUAAUUUCAUACACGUAAACCUAGAAAAAAAAUUUCUUUGUCAAACAACAAUAUAGGAAAAAUAAGAAUAUAGAAGUUGAGAAAAUUACUAGAAUCUUGUUAUGGAUGGUGGAAGGAAAAAUAAUUCGAUAUUAAAAAAAUUCAAAAAAAUAGACAAAUCAGAAAAGUUACUUUACUUUACUUGAAAUACUUUUAAUCAAACACUUAGUUUACUUGAAAUACUUUUCCAACAAACAAUAAUGAUCAUAGCCCACGAAUAGAAACAAUUACAAUCAAUUCAAUAAAGCAACAAAAGACAAACCAAAAAAGGAAACAAAGAAAUACAACAAAACAAUCAUCAUAACCAAGAAAUACAUUUAAAGUCUAAGUUUUGCCAUGAUACAAAGAAUUGGAAACUCAAAUCAAAAUUACAGAAUUUGAGGCAAAUGAACACAAUCCAAAUAAUAGAUAUCAUAAACACAAACUUUAAGAAAACAACAUAUACCACUCAUAAGUGCAUACUAUAAAUUACAAAUUCCACAAGUAAAUACAAACGAAAUUGAAACUUGUUAAAAUAUUAGGGCAUGAACUCUGCUCAAAUAAGUUUGAGAUGGAUUUUUAUUAGGGGAAUUUUAUCAAACAAGGGUUGUGCAUGUCUACAAAAAGCAACUACAAAAAUAAAACUACAAUAAAAACAGUGGUUACAAGCAAAUAAAUCACGCAUGACCCAUCACCUAUCAAUUUAUUCUAAACAAAAGCCCCAACAUAUUAUGAACAAAAAGGAGGAAAAUGAAAAAUUGCAUGUAAUAGAGUAAAAGAGCACUCAAAAAUAAACAAUUGGUAAAGGAAAACACGCCAUUGACAAAGGCGUAUGAGAGUGGCCGGUGUUGGAAUCGCGUUGAUGAGAAUUAUCGGUGUCGAAAUCGUGUUGAUGAGAAUUAUCGGUGUCAGAAUCGCAUCAAUUAGAACUGUCACAGUCGGAAUCAUGCUGACGAGAAUGGGUGUUUAAGGUUUGUUUCACACAAAAAAAAUUCAAUUUGAAAUGAAGCUUAAAAUGAGGAGGAUAAAAUUGAAAGUGAAUAAUAUAUAAGGUUAAUUUAGUUAUUUAAUCUACAGCUGGGAAAAAAAAUCUGCUAAACUGCUAAAACCCAGCUACAAGUGUUACCAAACACCUUAGUAGCUAGACUUUGGCAGCCCAGCUACCUCACCACAAUCCCAAACGAGCUCGAACUCUGCUCAAAUAAGUUUGAGGUGUAUUUUUAUUAAGGGAAUUUCAUCAAACAUGGGUUGUGCAUGUCUACAAAAAGCAACUACAACAAAACCAGUGGUUACAAGCAAAUAAAUCACGUAUGACCCAUCACCCAACAAUCUAUAUAUAUAUAUAGCUGAGACUACAAGAGAUGAUGUGGCAUUACUAUUUCUCAUUUUCUUAUAUUAUCUAUUAUCUAAUAUAUUGGUUGAGAUUAAAAAAUAAUUACAUUACAAAAUAUUAAAAAUAAAAAAUAAUUAUUAGAUUACAAAAGAUUACAUGUCUCUUCCUCUUUCUAUUUAAAUUCAACAAUAUGUAACCAUUAAUAAUAAUCAAUUAUAAGUCUUGAAACAUUCAUUUAUUUUAUUAUGCCAAUAAUUAAACUUUAGUGGCUUAAAAUAUAUCAAUUAAUUAAUAUAGGAAGGAAAUUUCUUUCAUCUUCCCUCAACAAUGUCAUUAGAGCCUAAUUUUAAUGUCAUAUUCUCAUAUAUAAUUAUGCAACAUUUUGUUUAGUACCUUUUGGCUUCUUCAAAUUCUAUAAACAUUAAAUAUUUAAGAUUUGUGGCAUCAUUAUUUAUUAUCUUUUUUAUAUUCUCUAUUAUCUAAUAUAUUAAUUGAGAUUAAAAAAUAAUUACAUUACAAAAUAUUAAAAAUAGAAAAUAAAUAGAAAAUAAUUAUUAGAUUACAAAAGAUUACAUGUCUCUUCCUUUUUCUAUUUAAAUUCAACAAUAUGUAACCAUUAAUAAUAAUUAAUUAUAAGUCUUGAAACAUUCAUUUAUUUUAUUAAACCAACAACUAAACUUUAGUGGCUUAAAAUACAUCAACUAAUUAAUAUAGGAAGAAAGGUUCCUUCAUCUUCCCUCACUAAUGUCACUAGAAAUAUUCUUGUGUUUUUAUUUUUUGACUUAUUUGAAUUUUUAGUAUUGUGUGCUUUAUGAAGUACUCUUUUCUUCAUUAGUUAAAUAAUGAUAAAGAUAGUUGGAUGAUAAAGGUUAAGCUUUGUAGGAUAUGGAAGUCUGUUAAUACCAAGAAGAAUUGAGAAUUGAUUAGUGUGAACAUGAUUUUUAUUUAUGAAAAGGUUGUAUAAAAAAUUUUUUCUCCCAUUGUUUUCUCUAAUUUUUUUCCCAAUUGUUUUACACUUAAUGUAGCAUUUUUUGUUUUUCAUAGGAAAAUCUAAUGCAUGCAACAAUUGGGAAAAAUUUAGUGACAGAGUUUAGGCAUAUGUUGAGUUAGGGUUCUUUGUACAGUGUCAAGAAUUUGAAAAUUGUUUCAACUACAGGCGAGUACAAACCACUUUCAAAUCAGUAUAAGAUUAUUUUCUUGAUUGUAACUUCGCUUAAGAGGUUAGAAGAAAGAAUUUUUAAGAUUUCGAUCAAUGGAUUCCAAUUUAUAUCUAUGAAUUUUAUUGAUAUAUGUUUGAAUGAUAACACAAUCCUCUCGGGUAUUUUUUUUAAUUAUUAAUGUUUGUUCAUCUUUACGUUUAUAUUAGAAAUUAUUGAUCCUUAUGUUUUAACAUGUUUAUGUUAUUUUUCCAUAAUAUUAUAGAUGUUGUCGGAAGUUUAUGAGGUAUGGGUGAUAUUGAGAUCGUUGGAGCUGGUUGGAAAAAAAGAAAUAUAAAAGUUCUAACAGAUUAGUAAGUUGAAUAUAAUUUAGAACUUAUUAACAACUACAAAAGGUAUAAGGUUUGUACACUUAUACUAUACACACUAAUAUAUAUUUUUAAAGUUAACAAAAAAUAAUUAACUUUCAUAAAUAACAUUAGUUAUAAGGCUACCUCAUCUUAAAAAAAAUCAAUUCAUUUUUUUUAUCAGUUUCAUCAAGUGCAAAGUAAGAAAAAAAGAUAAUAUUAAUUUUUUUUUAAAAGCCACAUGAAGGGCGGUUGUAUUUCCCAGUUUAUUAUAAACAAAAGCCUCAACAUAUUAUGAACAAAAAAGAAGAAAAUGAAAAAUUGCAUGUAAUAGGGAGCACUCAAAUAUGAACAACUGGUUAAAAAAAAAAAGCCACCACUGAUAGAGGCGUAUGAGAGUGGUCGGUGUCGAAAUCGUGUCGAUGAGAAUUAUUGAUGUCAGAAUCACAUCAAUUAGAACUGCCACAGUCGGAAUCAUGCUAAUGAGAAUGAGAGUUUAGGGUUUGUUUCACAAAAAAAAAAAUUGAUAUGAAAUGAAGUUUAAAAAUAAGGAGGAUAAAAUUGAAAUUGAAUAAUAUAUAAGGCUAAUUUAGUAAUUUAACCUACAAUUGGGAAAAAAAAAUAUACUAAACUACUAAAGCCCAAUUAUAAGUAUUACCAAACACCUUAGUAGCUAGACUUUGGCAGCCUAACUAUCUCAUCACACUCCCAAACAGGCUCGAACUCUGCUCAAAUAAGUUUGAGAUGGGUUUUUAUUAGGGGAAUUUCAUCAAACAUGGGUUGUGCAUGUAUAUAAAAAGCAACUACAAAAAUAAAACAGUGGUUACAAGAAAAAAAAUCACGCAUGACCCAUCAAUUUAUUCUAAACAAAAAUGAAGAAAAUGAAAAAUUGCAUGUAAUAGAGUAAAUGAGCACUCAAAAAUGAACAACUGGUAAAUGAAAAUGCACUAUUGACGGGGGCGUAUGAGAGUGGCUGGUAUCGGAAUCGCAUCGAUAAGAAUUAUUGGUGUCAGAACGCAUCAAUUAGAACUGCCACAGUCGGAAUCAUGCUGAUGAGAUGGGUGUUUAGGGUUUGUUUCACAAAACAAAAUCGAUUUGAAAUGAAGUUUAAAAAUGAGGAGGAUAAAUUGAAAUUGAAUAAUAUAUAAAGCUAAUUUAGUAAUUUAACCUACAACUGGGGAAAAAAUGUGUUAAGCUGUCAAAACCCAGCUACAAGUGUUAUCAAAUACCUUAGUAGCUAGACUUUGGCAGCCUAGCUAUCUCACUACACUCUCAAACAGGCUCGAACUCUGCUCAAAUAGGUUGUGCAUGUCUACAAAAAGCAACUACAAAAAUAAAAAUAAUAGUUACAAGGAAAUAAAUCACGCAUGACCCAUCACACAUCAAUUUAUUCUAAACAAAACCCCAACAUAUUAUGAACAAAAAGGAAGAAAAUGAAAAAUUGCAUGUAAUAGAGUAAACGAGCACUCAAAAAUGAACAAUUGGUAAAGGAAAACACACCACUGACAGAGGCAUGUGAGAGUGACUGGUGUCGGAAUCGCGUUGAUUAGAAUUAUCACAGUCGGAAUCAUGCUAAUAAGAAUGAGCGUUUAGGGUUUGUUUAACAAAAAAAAUCGAUUUGAAAUGAAAUUUAAAAAUGAGUAGGAUAAAAUUCAAAUUGAAUAAUAUAUAAGGCUAAUUUAGUAAUUUAACCUACAACUGAGAAAAAAAUGUGUUAAGUUGUCGAAUCUCAGCUACAAAUGUUACCAAACACCUUAGUAACUAGACUUUGGCAACCCAGUUACCUCAUCACACUCCCAAACGGGCUCAAACUCUGCUUAAAUAGGUUGUGCAUGUUUACAAAAAGCAACUAAAAAAAUAAAAACUACAAUAAAAACAGUGGUUACAAGCAUAUAAAUCACGCAUGACCCAUUACCCAUCAAUUUAUUCUAAACAAAACCCCAACAUAUUAUGAGCAAAAAAGAAGAAAAUGAAAAAUUGCAUGUAAUAGAGUAAACGAGCACUCAAAAAUGAACAAUUGGUAAAGGAAAACACACCACUGACAGAGGCAUGUGAGAGUGACUGGUGUCGGAAUCGCGUUGAUUAGAAUUAUCACAGUCGGAAUCAUGCUAAUAAGAAUGAGCGUUUAGGGUUUGUUUAACAAAAAAAAUCGAUUUGAAAUGAAAUUUAAAAAUGAGUAGGAUAAAAUUCAAAUUGAAUAAUAUAUAAGGCUAAUUUAGUAAUUUAACCUACAACUGAGAAAAAAAUGUGUUAAGUUGUCGAAUCUCAGCUACAAAUGUUACCAAACACCUUAGUAACUAGACUUUGGCAACCCAGUUACCUCAUCACACUCCCAAACGGGCUCAAACUCUGCUUAAAUAGGUUGUGCAUGUUUACAAAAAGCAACUAAAAAAAUAAAAACUACAAUAAAAACAGUGGUUACAAGCAUAUAAAUCACGCAUGACCCAUUACCCAUCAAUUUAUUCUAAACAAAACCCCAACAUAUUAUGAGCAAAAAAGAAGAAAAUGAAAAAUUGCAUGUAAUAGAGUAAACGAGCACUCAAAAAUGAACAAUUAACUCUUUUUUUUUUUUUUUUUUUAUUCUUCUCUGCAGAAGUUUCAUUAAAAGAACAGAAAUAGGAAAAAGUAUUACAAUUACACAUUAAUCGUAUAAAUCUAUGUUUAUAGAGGCCAAGAAUCUUACACAGCCUUUUGCAAAUACAAUUAGACGGAACAUCCUAUCAAAUACAGGAAGAAAGAAAAAAAAAAUCUGACUUAAAUAUCCACAACGAAAUUACUUUCACCGUAAGUAUAACUAGAGUAAAAAUUUAUUUAUUCUCUAUAUUUUGAUGUUAGUGUUCGUUUAGUUCUUAUAUUUUUAAAAAUACCCUAAAGUAUCCCUAUUGACAUCUUUACCAUUACCUUUAUGUUUCUUUUGACUUAUUUUUACAAUAUUACUCUAUUACAAUAAUGUUUCUUUUUUUAGACAUUAUUAAAAAGAAAAAUUAACUUAUCAGUUUCACACCAAAAAAUAUAUAUAUAUAUAUAAUUUUUUGUGGAACACUCUGCAGAGAGUUAAAAUAUUAAUUUUUCUUAAAAAAUUGAUAGUUUAAUUUUUCACAAAAUUAGUUUUUUUGGACACACAUGAGCUUCAACAAAAAUUAAUAUAUAUCUUUCUGCUGUACCGUACAUCCGCCUUGGCCGUACAGCAGAUGUGUUAAGUUGUCGAAUCUCAGCUACAAAUGUUACCAAACACCUUAGUAACUAGACUUUGGCAACCCAGUUACCUCAUCACACUCCCAAACGGGCUCAAACUCUGCUUAAAUAGGUUGUGCAUGUUUACAAAAAGCAACUAAAAAAAUAAAAACUACAAUAAAAACAGUGGUUACAAGCAUAUAAAUCACGCAUGACCCAUUACCCAUCAAUUUAUUCUAAACAAAACCCCAACAUAUUAUGAGCAAAAAAGAAGAAAAUGAAAAAUUGCAUGUAAUAGAGUAAACGAGCACUCAAAAAUGAACAAUUGGUAAAGGAAAACACACCACUGACAGAGGCAUGUGAGAGUGACUGGUGUCGGAAUCGCGUUGAUUAGAAUUAUCACAGUCGGAAUCAUGCUAAUAAGAAUGAGCGUUUAGGGUUUGUUUAACAAAAAAAAUCGAUUUGAAAUGAAAUUUAAAAAUGAGUAGGAUAAAAUUCAAAUUGAAUAAUAUAUAAGGCUAAUUUAGUAAUUUAACCUACAACUGAGAAAAAAAUGUGUUAAGUUGUCGAAUCUCAGCUACAAAUGUUACCAAACACCUUAGUAACUAGACUUUGGCAACCCAGUUACCUCAUCACACUCCCAAACGGGCUCAAACUCUGCUUAAAUAGGUUGUGCAUGUUUACAAAAAGCAACUAAAAAAAUAAAAACUACAAUAAAAACAGUGGUUACAAGCAUAUAAAUCACGCAUGACCCAUUACCCAUCAAUUUAUUCUAAACAAAACCCCAACAUAUUAUGAGCAAAAAGGAAGAAAAUGAAAAAUUGCAUGUAAUAGAGUAAACGAGCACUCAAAAAUGAACAACUGGUAAAAAAAAACGCAUCAUUGACAGAGAGGUAUGAAAGUGGCCAGUGUCGGAAUCGCGUUGAUGAGAAUUAUCGGUGUCAGAAUCGCAUCAAUUAGAACUGCCACAAUAGGAAUCGUGUUUAAGAAUGAGCGUUUAGGGUUUGUUUAACAAAAAAAAUCGAUUUGAAAUGAAAUUUAAAAAUGAGUAGGAUAAAAUUCAAAUUGAAUAAUAUAUAAGGCUAAUUUAGUAAUUUAACCUACAGUUAGGAAAAAAAAUCUGUUAAGCUAACAAAACACAUAUAUAAAUGUUAUCAAACACUUUAGUAACUGAAUUUUGACAGUCCAACUAUUUCACCACACUUCCAAAUAGACUCUUAGCCCAGUGACUUAAAAGUUAAAGCCAUGACAACUCAUUACCAAAAAAGACACUUAAUUGAGAUUUAUACAAAAGUCUUAUCCCAUGUAAAAAAAAGGUUCAGUACAUUAAUUUGAAUAUGGAAGACAGCCAAAUUUAAACAAAUCAGAUUGGAGUUUGUCCACUAAUGAAAGUGGAUAGUUAAUUUUAAAAUAAUAAGUCUGUUGAUGGAAGUGAAAACUAACAAAACAUUAUCAAUAUUCUUGAAAAUAAAUGGGUAAUUGAAAAAUGUUUAUCUUCCUGUGCAAAUAAUUAAGUUGAUGAGUAGAGCUAUUAGCACCUCUUUAAUCUCCUAUUAAAACUCCUCUUUUAUGUUUACACUUUUACCCUCAUUUAAAAUUACAUUAAAGCAUAGUAUAAAAUGAGAGUACUAAUGACGCUAAUGUUCUAACGAAUAUUUUACAGCCCAGUAUUCCUAUUUUGAUAUCAACAUAAAACAAAUAAAAUAAUUUCAGAGUAGUCUCUUGAAACUAAUUAUUAUGAUGCUAUUUUAAUUAUGUUGCUAACUAUUUGAUUUUUUUUUUAAAUCAAUGAACCAUUUUCUACAAUAGCUAGGAUCCACCACUAACACCCCCUAAACUAUUACUUCUGAAGAAGUUAAUAAGAAGUUAUCUUUGUCCUCGGCGAGAUUGUAGUUCAAUUUAAAAAAUUUAUGCUGAACUUGCAGACUGACAAAUGUGUAAUAUAGUUAUUCACUUUAAAAUUUAAUAUAGCAACUUGCGGUUUACUUAUCAAACCACUCAAAUAUUCCUACCGAUAUAAUAUGUUCAGCUUUCUUAUUUGUCACCAUAUACUUUUGAAAUUGUCAAACUCAUAUGGGAACCUUGAGCAAUUGACAAAUUUUAAUGAACGUAACUAGUAAAGAAAAUGAAUUGCGAGACAAAUUUGUUUAAUUCGUGUGAUAUUUAAAAUUUGACAUAUAGAUGAGCCUUUAGGCAAAAGUGAAUAGGGUUAUUUGUGGAAACUAUUUUAGUGUUAAUAAAAGUAAUAUGAGAUUUGAGAUUUGACAUAUAGAUGAGCCUUUAGGAAAAAGUGAAUAGAGUUAUUUGUGGAAAUUGUUCUGGUGUUAAUAGAAGUAAGAUGAUAUUUUAAAUUAUUUUACGUGGUAUGUUUAGAAAAAAUGUUUUAAGAAAUUAAUAAUUGGGUGCCAAUAGCUCCACUCAAAGUUGGUUAAUUAACAAAGGAUCGCUUAUAAGUAAUCCUAAAUUUGCCAUUAUCAACUUUGUAUCCUAACUCUUUUUUUUUUUUUUUUUUUUAUUCUUCUCUGCAGAAGUUUCAUUAAAAGAACAGAAAUAGGAAAAAGUAUUACAAUUACACAUUAAUCGUAUAAAUCUAUGUUUAUAGAGGCCAAGAAUCUUACACAGCCUUUUGCAAAUACAAUUAGACGGAACAUCCUAUCAAAUACAGGAAGAAAGAAAAAAAAAAUCUGACUUAAAUAUCCACAACGAAAUUACUUUCACCGUAAGUAUAACUAGAGUAAAAAUUUAUUUAUUCUCUAUAUUUUGAUGUUAGUGUUCGUUUAGUUCUUAUAUUUUUAAAAAUACCCUAAAGUAUCCCUAUUGACAUCUUUACCAUUACCUUUAUGUUUCUUUUGACUUAUUUUUACAAUAUUACUCUAUUACAAUAAUGUUUCUUUUUUUAGACAUUAUUAAAAAGAAAAAUUAACUUAUCAGUUUCACACCAAAAAAUAUAUAUAUAUAUAUAAUUUUUUGUGGAACACUCUGCAGAGAGUUAAAAUAUUAAUUUUUCUUAAAAAAUUGAUAGUUUAAUUUUUCACAAAAUUAGUUUUUUUGGACACACAUGAGCUUCAACAAAAAUUAAUAUAUAUCUUUUUUGUUUUUUAUUUUAUUUUUGGGUUUAAUUUAAUAAUCCAAUUUUUUUAUUAAUAUCCAAAAAGAAAACAUUACUGUAAGAGUGUAAUAUUAUAAAAGCAUGCUAAAAAGAAUAAAAAAUAAUGGCACAAGUGUCAAUAUUUAACAACAAGAACGUUUUGAGGUAUUCUUAAAAAUAUAGGGAUUAAAUAGGCACUAACCUCAUAAUAUAUGAACUAAACAAGCUUUUACCCGUAUAACUACAAUGGAAAUGCAAUGCACCUAACUUAUUUAUCUCAUAAUUUUACACAGGUGACAGGUCCCUUAUUUAUUAAACCAUGAAGCAAUUGUUUAAUGAAGCAUCUUAUUAGUGUUUAACCGGAUGGUUUAUGCUAAUAGAACCUCAGUGGACUCUCCACAAUCUCAUCAUCUUUUUUUUUUUUCACUUUCCCUGUGGUCGCCAAAACUAUAAUUUGAUAUGUAGAAGGAUAUUGAGGGGUGCCAAAAAAAUGAAUAAAUAAACAAAUAAAUGAGUGGACAAGCAUGCUUCAAUUUUGCUAAGUAUCAUCACUUCAUAAAUAGGCACGCAACAAUAUCUCCUUUCAGUGCAAGUCAAAUAAGAAGACAAAAAUUAUUAUGGCUGAAGUGCAGUUGUUUGGUCUAUGGGGAAGCUUCUUCAGUCACAGAAUAGAGAUUGCUUUGAAACUGAAAGGUGUUGAAUACGAAUUCAUAGAAGAAGAUCUUUCUAACAAGAGCCCUUUGCUUCUCCAGUACAACUCAAUUCACAAAAAAGUUCCAGUUCUCGUACACAAAGGGAACCCAAUUGCCGAGUCACGUGUCAUACUUGAAUAUAUCGAUGACACCUGGAAAGGCCAUCCCAUUUUGCCAGAAAAUCCCCAUGAACGAGCAAAUGCACGUUUCUGGGCCCAGUUCAUCGAUGAAAAGGUACCCCGACAACAGCUUAAGCUUUUGAGUCGAGUGGUUAAAUCUAACAUGGUAUCAAAACUGAGGUCUUGUUUUUUGCGUUUAUGUAGUGCAGGGUUGCCCUGAGGAAUGCUUACGGGUGCCAAGAGAAAGAACGAGAGGAGGAGGCCACAAGAGAGGCGUGUGAGCUCCUGAAAACACUAGAAAAUGAGCUCAAAGAUAGGAGGUUCUUUGGUGGAGACAGGAUUGGGCUGGUUGAUAUUGUUGCAAAUUUCAUAGGCUUUUGGCUCGGGGCCAUUCAAGAAGCACUUGAGGUCAAGUUGUUUACGGAAGAGAGGUUUCCGAAAUUAUACAGAUGGAGUGAAGAGUUUGUUAAUUGCAGUAUCAUCAGGGAAAGUUUGCCCCCAAGAGACAAACUUAUUUCCUUUAUGCGUCGUCGUUAUGGACUCUCUAGUUAGAAAUCAGGAUGUUAAUUAAGACACGAUGUUAAGUUAUCUCAGCUACACACGCUUGUUAACGACAGAGAGAUAACAAUAACAUGGCAGAUUGCUCUUGAUUCUAGUUCUUUUUGUACUAUAGGCUUGGUUUUUUAUUACUUUCAUUUUCAAAAUGUAGCCAAAGUUCAACUUUACUAGUAACCCCACAUAAGCUACCAAUCUUUAAGCUCCAACUUGUCCUAAAAUUAUUUAAGAACUCAAAGCAAGCAUCCCUUUUGUUAUUGUAAUCUUAUUGGCUUGAGGGUCCAUAACGAGAUUUUGAUGUGGUCGAUUUUAGGCUACAUGUCUCAGAUGUAGCAUAAAAUAUAUUCAUAGGCAUUUUAGAAAUUAGUCGUCGACUAGGGUCUCUAUUAAAGUAUAACAUAGCAAGGAUGUAAAUCCUCCGGCUACACAAUAUUUUAAUCCAUAAUAGAUUCUUAAUUCAAAAACUUGAUUUCUUUAUCUCGUUUAUGAUUCCUCACAUUCCUUAUACUAACUCAAGGAUAUGCUAAAAGAAAUAAUUGAAAUAAAUUAUAUGCCAACAUCUAAGAAAAAGAUGAAAUUAAUCGCGAAUAAUUUCUCUUUAAAUUAAGAUAUAGCAGAAUGAUCAUGUCCAAAAUAAUCGAUGGACAAAUAAUAUCAACGCUCAACAUCUCAUAGGUCUAAUUAUCUAGAAUUUUAGACAGUUAUUUUAGUACCCAGUAUUUCUUUUUAUAAAGUUUGCAAAUGCUCUUUCUGUACUCACCAUCCAGUAAGGGAAAAACUGUAAUUAUUGUAGCCACUGUUUUAGCCAACUGCUUUUUAAUUAUUGUAGCCAUGGAUGCUCGCAUUAGUAAACUUCAGUCAACUUAAAUUUUGUUUUUUUUAAAUCUUUGGUUUGUUCAGUAACCAUAUGCGAAGGGUCCAUAGAAACUUAUCACGUUAUUUAAAUAUAAUCAAAAGAGUCAUUGUAUAGUUGCGCGAUAAUUAUUAUUCUUUUGCAUAUAUAGAUAAAUGGCCAAUUUGAUAUAACAAGUGUAUUCACACUCUUUGUACACUUACUAUCCAUAUUCGUCAUAGCAAGUCUUCUUCUACUAAUAUUAAGUAUUGCUAUUAAGGAAGUAGAGAGAGAGAAAAAAACCGCAAAAAGUAAUAAGAAAUACCAAAAAUAGAAGAAGAAAAAUUUGGAGUUAAUGUAUGUUUGACCUCAGUGAAAUUAAAUCUUAUUCAUAAAAGAAUAGGACUAUUGACGCCCUUCCAAAUACCUCUUAAAACUCUAAUAAUUAUUUUUACAAUUUUAACUUUUAUUAAAAUUAAAUAAUAUGACAAUUUCUAAUUAAACCUCCACUCAAAAAUCAAAUAAUUUUCUUUCUUUAUAAAAUCUAACAUUUUAAAAAUUAAAAAUGUUGUUUUUUCCUCUAAUGUUCGGGUAAGAAAUUUACCACCGAUAACUACAAUAGAAAAAAUGAAAACCUAUCAUUUUUUCUUUUAAAUAUAAGAGACCUCAUUAUUAAAAUGGGGUUUAAUAAUAAAAAUUAAAAAAUGGGGUUUACACAAUAAGUUUUAAUUAAUGAUAUUUUUGUUAUUGAUGGAUGUGUUAAAAAAUUUAUAAUUUUUUAAAACAUUCUAAUGGGGUUAAUUAAGAAAAUGGAUGUUAAGAGAUAUUUAGGGAGGUGCCAAUAGUCUCACUCCAUAAAAUCAUUAGAAUAACAUGUGUCAACAUCUCUUACAAAUUUAAAAAAGAUUAGAUUAAGAGAAAAUCCAAAUCGAAUGAAAGAUAUCACCUCUUUCUCCUCGCCCCGAUCAUUCCUCUUUCUUUCAAUUGCUUUUUGGCCGGUGAAAUUAAAUUGUUUUUCUUACUUUUUUAUUAUUUGUUUUUUCUCCACUCAAAUCUUCAUAUCUAUAGUGGUUUGUUAAUCCACUCACACAUUUUUAAAUUUACAAUGGCGAUUUUUAGUUUGUUUAGUCUACUCAGAUGUUCAAAUCUGUGAUGGUUUUAUUUAUCGUAUUUUAUUUUGUGUGUUAUAACGUGGUUUUUCUUACGAGUCACAAUUUAAGAUCUAGGGCAUUUCGUGCUAUCUAAAUGGAUCUUUACUGAAAAUCCAUCACGAUAUCAAUUUGAAGGACCAAAUCUGUUGAAAGAGGAUGCUACAAAACAGACAACAGAAUCAACUAUAAAGCUCGACUCGUAUAUGUGCAUAAAUAUUUGAUGGUGACGGACAAGCCUUCAUCCCAAUCUUCAGUGUAGAAGUAAAAUAGUUCAACUAAUUGAUCGUUGUAAUAAAUUAUCUUUAGUUAAACUGAUCUUGUCUAUAUACCGUGACAUAUGUAAUAUUGUAAUCUAUGUUUCAUGUAAUGAAAUAAAUUUUGAAAAAACAAAAAAAACAAAAAAAAAAACAAAAGAAGAGAAAGAAAAUAAUGUGAUGAUGGUGAAACUUGAAAGGUCAAACAAAUUGUGUUAUUUUCUUUUCCAUGUUUUCACAUAUGAAAUUGGACAGGGCCUGCGAAGCAACUUGCAUUGGGAAGAAAGCGUGACUUUAACUUUCCCUCGCACAAAUAGUUAGGCUUUGGCUGUUCCUGAAAUGAACAAACCAUGUGUGUGUGUGUUUGUUGAAUCAUUGAUAUUAUUUAACAUUAUUAGACGAAAAUCAGUACGCGUGUAGAUCCCAUCUCGCCAAUAAAAAUGCAGCAUGGCACAUGAAAUUUUCUCAAACGCUAUCAGUGCUGGCAUGCAGAUCGAGAUUCCUCUGUUCAUAUAUAAUGCUGCAGCAGACAAAGUUAUAAAAAAGCCUUGUACUAUGGAUGGGACACAGGUUUUCUGAAGCCAUGCGUUUCGGCACUUUGGAUGGCCAUUAAUGAAUUAACAAAUCAAUGAGUUCACAAAAGAAAUAUGUUCUAAUUUUAUUUAUACUAAUCCAGGGGGAAUAAGGUGGUGAAUACACCUUAACCCCAUUUGCUUCC
rnacentral:lncRNA from 1 species